UCCAACUCUUGCUCGUAGUCAAGAGCUAUAUACGCAAGCUUCUCCUUGAUGUCCCUUACAAUUUCUCGCUCGGCGGAGGUUGUGAAGGAAUAACCCCUCUCAGUGAGAAUUUUCAUGAGCGAGUCGGUGAGGUCCCGACCAGCAAGAUCCAGACGUAGAAUAGCAUGAGGAAGGGCAUAUCCUUCAUAAAUGGGCACAGUAUGGCUCACACCAUCACCAGAAUCGAGAACAAUACCUGUAGAUUGAGAAUAAAAAAAGAGGAAACUUCAGUCACACCGUGUAAACAACUAAUUUUGACUUCCGUUAUUUAUUCUUGGUAUACUAGCUGAGAUACUUAUUUUUUCCCUGAAUUCAUAAUUUCAUAUCACCAUGCAGACUGAGGUAACCACAUAUGCAGUGUAUUUUGAGUUAUGCAAUCUCAUGAGCAAGAAUAGAAGAUAAAGAUACUUGGUGGGUUGAUAAGAGCCUAAUGGAAACAAAGAGAGAGAUUACUAGAAAACUGGAUCAACACUGAACUAAAAGGAAGGAGCAGGUCAUACCAGUAGUACGGCCACUAGCAUAGAGUGACAGGACUGCUUGAAUUGCAACGUACAUGGCAGGAACAUUGAAAGUCUCGAACAUAAUCUGGGUCAUCUUCUCCCUGUUGGCCUUUGGGUUCAAAGGAGCCUCAGUAAGCAACACAGGGUGCUCCUCCGGGGCAACACGGAGCUCAUUGUAGAAAGUGUGAUGCCAGAUUUUCUCCAUGUCAUCCCAGUUGCUUACAAUACCGUGCUCAAUCGGGUACUUGAGCGUGAGAAUACCUCUCUUGGACUGUGCCUCAUCACCAACAUAUGCAUCCUUCUGCCCCAUCCCUACCAUGACACCGGUGUGACGAGGACGCCCAACGAUGCUAGGGAAUACAGCCCUUGGUGCAUCAUCGCCGGCAAAACCAGCCUAGAAGAUAGAUACACAAAAUUAGUGGCAUAUUUGGGUGGGGGAGACUAUGGCUGUACAAAUUAAGGGGAAAAGCACUGACCUUGACCAUUCCGGUGCCAUUGUCGCAGACAAGAGGCUGGAUGUCCUCACCAUCAGCCAUUUCUACAGAACUGCUGCAGGUGGCGCAUAUGGAUAGAAUCAAAUGAGUCAAUGAUGAAAGUGUUUUAGUUCAAUAUGUGAUUGAAAAGGAGCACUGGAUUUGAGACGCAUGCUAACUGGAAGACAACGGUUUCUGACGUUAUAUUGAAUCUGAAAUUUGCAACAUCGCAUUCAGGGGCGGGGCGGAUCCAGUAAAGGGACUUAUAUGCAUCUGAAAAAAAAUCGCACCCCCCGCCGCGCUGAUGCCACCGCUGUUGCAGAUCCGGACUCAUGGAAUGCGGAUCCGUGCCCCUGCAAGUGGAUCUCCACCCACGCCACGCCACGGAUCCGGCCAUAGCGCACCAGAUCGAGCCCAGCCCUAGCUGGCGCAGGCAGGAGGAGGCAAGCACGCUUGGGGAGGGAACUCGCGAGGAGAGUACAAAGGCCUCGCUGCCGCCACCCUCGCACCGGCGCGGGCCUCCGGCCGCGUGCUCAGGCGGCAGCGAGCGAACUCUUGCAGCGGCGGCGCGGGUUCCGCCCGUGUCGCCCCGCAGAGGAGCGACGGUUCGCAGCUUCGCACAGCAUGAAGGGAAGGGAAGAGAAGAGGUGGGAGUACCUGGUGGGUGCUCGCUGCCGGCGAAGAGGCCAACGAAAGCCUCAGCACCCUGGCUUAGGGCGGCGGCGGCGGCAACUGUGGUCUGAGAGCGAGGAGAGCAAGAGAGCAGGAAUGCAGCGGACGGAAGGGGAAAGGGGGAAUGCAGGAGGAGCAGUUGUUUGUGGCCUGCAACCGCGAGAAGACUGCCAGACCCAGAUGCGAUUGAGAAGGGAUCUGUUCUGUGCUGGCUUGCAAUUCGACGGGUUUGGCUUCUUCACAAAAUAAUGGACAGUGAGGGGCUUUUCUAUAAACACUUUCCUCCAGCCGUUGGAUCCGUCAACCCGAUCUGCAUUACAGAGACAGGUGUGUCGUCGUCUCCUCACUCUCGCCUCUCCCCUCUUCACCCGUGGGCCGACGCGCCGCCGCAGCAAGCAGCCGAGAGGGGAGGGGAUGCUAGCCGCACGGAGGGGCGCGGCGGCCGCGUGGGCGGCACAGGCCUUCCACUCCUCCUCCGCAGCGCUCUCCAAAUCCACUGUAAAUCCACUGUACCCCCUCCAAAUUAAACUUCCCCGCUCUCUCCAACCAUGCAUAUCUGUGGCUCUUCCUUCCAGCGUACUAGAUGCGAUGUGAUGCGAGAUUAGCCUAGGAAACAUUAGCCAACGGCAGGCGCCAGCGCCACCAAAAAAACAAAUAAUUCCGUGUCAGCACACCUUCAGUGGAAUUUCAGUACCAGUAGACAAUGGAUUUAGCUUGCAUUUCCUUUCCUUCCAAACAAAAAUGUGCGUGUGCAAGUGUAAUGUUGCACGCUCUCACUAGUCGGAGAGCUGUUAGUUGUUCAGAUAUAUUUUGUAAUGACUUAUUACAAGACCCAGCCCAGUGCAUAUAUCACUCAUCGCUCCUUAACCACUCGCCAUGUAUGCACUGUGGCAUCAGAGCGUUUCUGGAAUCAUUUCGAACCUAACAGUGGUUUUGGGCAGCCUCGAUUCCGCUUCACCGUCCGUGAAAAGCGAGGGGAUGCGAAGAGCGCCCUUAAGAACCUUCUGCUCAAUGGCGGCACAUGUCAGGUAUUUGUCUUGGCGAUCUUUUUUCUUUCUCCCCUUCCUACUCGUGAAUUCUCUCUGCCUGCAGACAUGUGAGCUUGUUUGUCUCUAAGCAAUUCCACUAAUGCACUUAACUUCUGGAGCGACCCCGUUUCGAUGCGGUCGUCCUGGUAUAAGUAACUGGACAUGUACCACAUGCCGGUUGGUGCUCGUGGGCACAAACAGAUUUGCCUCCUUCACCGCUACAGCUCAGUUCAUACCUGUGACUGCAUUGUUCUUUUUCAUUUGUUCGGGGAAAUACAUUCCCCGCUGUGAAAGUGGAUUGCUUCAAGUACGCGUCGUUGCUCUCUACAGGAAAGCAGUAACAAACAAAUGAGGAAGCAGAAAGGUGGUACCGGGUCGAAGGCUCAGCGCUCUGCUCCAGGAAAAAAUCCCUGUGGAAAAAAUAAGCGUAAGCUCUUUCAAACCGUUUACCUUGAGUGACUUUUGAAUUUUAAAUGCUUGUGUUGUUCUGUGUACAGCUCAAUUAUAUGUUUUCAAUCAUCUAGAAUACUGGACAGGAUACUAAAAAUACACAAACAUGAGGGCUCUGCCAACCUUUUACACGUGCAUUUGUUCCGCACUAACAUUUCCCUGCGAGCAUUGGCUUUUAAUGAUUUUUGCUCCAUUAUUUAUUUGCUGGACGAUCAUUUUCCUAGCACCUUUGCUAUGUACCUUUUAUUAUUUUAUGGAUAAGUUACAUUUCACGAUCUGCUUGUUACCUUCAAAUUAUUAUUAUUUGGAUGGAUUAUACCUAAAAAAUUAGCCUUGAAUAGGAGCACGAGCACGUAGAAAACACAGUUAUUCACGUGCAUGAACUUUGUCUUAUGCCUUCUGUUGGGUUUUAACUCUAGUCUACUCUAACUUGGGACGAAAAGGCUUUGUUGUUGUUGUAUAUUUGGAUGACAAGAACUGCACAUUGAUGUUUAACUUAGGCGGGCAUUACUGGAAAAGCUUCGAUGAUGACGAUGAAUGCGCGCACACACCAUAUGGUACCUAUGGUGGUAAGAAAUCUUUCACCUGGUACUGGCCUGGGGAGGACGACGGCCUUGGUAGUAAUCCUAGUGGUUUUCAAUGGAGGGAGGAAUCUCAGUCUGCCAAAUCAAAGGAGAAGUUCUGGAACGAAAGUGACGUCGAUGAGGACGAGGGGUCGAGCCGUGAUGAUCUGCGAAGCUAUAGGAUUUCUCUCGGAUUGCCAGUUUUAGGUCCCUUAAAGCUGGAUCAUAUUAAGGCUGCGUGAGUCAUCUGAACGUUUCCUACAACACCACAUUGCACUUGCAGGGCUUCAAUGUCACAAGGUUGCUAAUUCAACAUGGUGAUUCUGCAGUUUUCGUGCAUCUGCUCUCAAGUGGCACCCAGACAAACAUCAAGGGCCUUCACAGGUUGGUGUCAUAGUAUGUGUGUUAUCCUUGCAUUUUAUCAUCUGUUUCAAAUGAUUCUCGUGACUGGUGCUGAAGCUCAGUAUCUAUUCCUUCAGUGCAUGGAUAAAUCCGGAUCGAAUACAGACAGAUACUAGUGAUUUUACAUUUUUUUCCUACAUCUCAUAUUAUAUUCUAUAUUUUUAUCUCGGGUCUUAGAACCAGAUACAGAUUAUCUGGAUAAUGGUAUCUAUCUCAUAUAAGUACAUAUCAGAAAUCUGAUUUUGAAUAUCCGGAUUCGGGUACGGUUGGAUGCUAAAUUUUCGGGCUUAGAUACAGACUAUUCAUAUAGAAUUUUGACCCUUUCGGAACGGAUAGAUAGCGGAAUAUAUCCUUUCCAUCUUCAUCCCUACUUCAAGGAACUGUUUUGCGUGCAUUGCCAAAUUGACAUGCACGGCACACUUAAAGUGAUUGAGUUGAUUUGUUGAAACUGUGGAUUGAACAUGAAAAUACCAGCUCUGUUCUUUUUUGUUGAUUUACUUAACCAAAUCACCAAAGAUGUUAAUUCUGGACGCAUCUGUAUUUUCCAGGCUGAAGCAGAAGAAAAAUUCAGACGGUGCGUGGAAGCGUAUAACGCAUUGACUCGUGCUUUCAGAUCAAGUGGCUAACUACCGCGAGGAAUUUUGUUCUUUAUGAUUUGAGGUUUUCUUAGGACUCCUAGUGAUGUGUGCGUGGCUGCUGGUCUUCAGGACACAGAGACUGCUAGAAGUGAAGUUCAGAGUUAUGGCUUCAUGUUGAUAACGAAAUAUAUAAGCAUAAUCUUUACAAAAAAAACAUAGAUUAGGCCAGUCCUGCCAAAUCGUAUGAGAACGCAAAUUACAGGGCUCAUUUGUAUGAUGAUUUGGUUCCACACAACGCUGUAAGUAGAAAGCAAAUACUGUUUGUUCCAUGCUGAGAUUUUGUCAAGCAAAUACUCCCAGGAUGAAAGUGAAUAACCGAAUUGUUAGUAUAAAUUUAGUAUUUUAAAAUAUAUAUGUAUGAAACUUUAUGUUAUCAAGCACAUUGUUACAAAUAAAAAUAUUUUUCUUGUAUAAAUUAUUUUAUGUAUUAUUUACUCCAUACAAUAAACAAGUGAAAAUAUACAAUAAACAAGUGAAAAUAUCCGAGUUUUAUAUCUAUCAUUUGAAAGAUAUAUGAUAAAUUUAGGGUUUAUUUUUAUGAUUCUAUAUAAGCUCCAUGGUAAAAACAAGAAUAUAAAUUUACAUUAAAGAUUAUAUAUACUAUUUAUUUGUAAUCAAAGAAAAAAAGGCAAAUCGAAUAACUGUUUUUGACCAUUUUUAUCCCUAAAUACUCCAGAAAAACUUAAAACUGUCAGCAAAUACUUUGUCUAACAUAAAAUGCAGCAAGCCUUGCUACUCUCGUAACAAUUGUUUUGUGAUGACUGAAAUUGUCUUAACAGUUGAUGUUAGAGUGUAUAUGGGCCUGGCCCAUUAGGGGUUCCUAUUUCACCCGGUACUGUAGCAGCUAGGGUUCAUUGUACACCAUUCCUAUCACAUGGUACCAGAGCCAGGCUAGGGCUUUCUCCAGUCGCCGCUGCCAUCGCUCUCCAUGGCCGGUCGGCCGCAGCCCUUUCCCUCCUCCCCCGUCGACGGGAAACCCUUCCCCCCUCUCCCCCUCUCCUACCGAGCGGCGCUAGCCGCGCCCGCCACACGCGUGCGUACGUCGUCACCGUGCCCCCCCCAACCGACCCCACAUGCCCUCAGCCGGCACUGACGACCAGCAGCAGUAGUUCCCCUUGUCCCGUGGCUGCUCUGAUCCCGGCCGUCUCGAUCCCAGCGCCACGGCGCUUACCCCACCUCUCCCCUCUCCGCCCGCACCUCCGACCGAUCUGGCCUUCCUCCCCCCACACUCGUCCACCCACGCCUCCACCCAUGCCAUUCCACCAUCUGUCCGCCGGAGCCGCGCCGGCCCCCCACGGAUCUGCUUCGGCCAUCGCAGUCCUCUCCCUAGGGUUCCCCUCCAGUGCGCUCUCCAUGCCGAAUGCCGCCCUGCUUCGCUCUCAGUUGAUGGCGCCUGGUUUUCCCCAUGUCUUGCCCGACAUGACGGUUGGGGCCCCCGUGCGUGCCCACCCACCACCGCUAACUGUCUGCACCCAACCCUCCGCCAUCACCUCAUCCAUGUGCGCUCCUUCAGAUGACGCUGCCACCAUCCUCGCCGCCACCCAGGCGGUCGUUACUGCGGCUCGCCAGCGGGCCCAGGACGCCGCUCGUGCCCUUGAGCAGGAGCAGGCGGUUGUUGACGCCAUCAAGCGCCAAUAUGUCGAGACCUACCAUCGUCUCGCCGGCAAGGGCAUGUCGGACGGCUCCCACGUCCGCUUGGCUCUACGCCACACCUUCGAGCCCGCGUCCGCCCCUGCCUCCACUCUUCGCGCCUCUCUUCACGCUCAGGCAGCGGCCCUCACCAGCAUCAGGACCACUGUCACCGACAUUCUCGUGCUAGACUCCACUCAGUACCCUCGGUGGCGCGACCAGGUCCUGCAGACCCUCCGCCGCUACGCCCUCGCUGACCACGUCCUCUCCCCGGUCACUGACCCCACGGAGGAUUGGCUCCUGAUGGAUGAGGUGGUCCUUUCCUAGAUCCAUGGCACCCUCACGGCCAAACUUCAAGACAUCAUUCGUGUGUCGAACGAUACGGCUCACCGGAUCUAGGGUGCCCUUGAGGCUCAGUUCCUCGGCAACCGCCAGACUCGAAUUCUGUACCUUGAGACUGCCUUCCGCCAGCUUGCUCAUGGCGAUCUCUCUGUGGAUGAGUACUAUCGUCAGAUCAAGACGAUGGCGAACACUCUCCGCACCCUCGGGGCCCCCAUCACCGAUGAGAGCCUCGUGCUCAACCUCCUCCGUGGAUUGAGCCCUCGCUUCGAUCGUGUGACCCCCAUCCUUACCAGCAUGAAGUCGUUUCCCACUUUUGCGGAGGUCAAGAACAAUCUCCUUCUCGAGGAGCUUCACCUCUCCGCCACUACACUGUCGCUCCUGCCAUGGCGCUCUACAGCGCGCCUCGGGCUGCCCCCUCUGACUCUGGGGGUGUCACACCUGGGUUUCACGGGUCCAAAACCCAAGCGCGAAAUAAUCACCAGGUGUGCUGGGACCAAGUCUCACACAUAUGAUGAGUAGUGGUACAGAAAUGAAUGUCACAUCUUUACUAUAUAAUAGGAGUUCUGUACAAAAUAAAUAAAUAAAUAAUUACAUCAUAAGGAGACAACGAUCCAGCAACCUAAAGUUAACUGGGAGACGACGGCCUAGACCUCUCACGAACUCAUCACAGCAUCCUCCAUGCGUCUCAUUCUGUGGUACCUGUUCUUGACCUGUGGGGAGGUGUGAGGCAGCAAGAGUGAGCUCACAUACGUUCAUCGCUCAACAAGUAGUGGAGAAUAAUGUGCAUGAACUCGCCAAAGGUGGGAGCUCAUGUAAGGUGUAAGGCUUACCAAAGAGGAUGGCUAAAGCUGAGCAUUGCUUUUAAAGUUGAUCAAAAUUUUAUUAGCAGUUACUAAAUGUAAGUGAAUAUCAAACCAUAGUAGUAGUAAAUCAAGUUAAUAAUAAAUCUCAAUGCGAUGCAAAUGACAAAUUGAAUUUAAUUCCAUAAAUUAAUCAUGUGAGUGUACGAGCUGCUCAUGACCGUGAGCACGGCUAGUAUACCAGUUUUACACUCUACAGAGGUUACGCAUCUUUACCCACAAGUCAUGUUACCCAUCUGCCAAGGGAUCGUGACUUCCCAUACACCUAUACCGAGGAGGCGAGGCAGGGUAAUACUACGAGGCCUUUACAAAGUCCCACUAGCUUCAGAAAACCCGCUAUAGUUUCUAGGAAGCUCCAAUACAGGUACCUCUCGCCUGACCAUCAUCGCAGCAAAAUCAACCCAAGGGCCUCCCUACACUGACCACUCCCCUACUGCCCUUGCCCCUUUCGGGUAAGGUAGUCCUCCACUAGCUUUCCUAAUUAGUCAGCCAAGGGCAUCCCAUACCACCCUUGUGGUAGCACUGUUUUCCCGGCUGGUUCUCCAUGUUCCAAUUAACAUAAUGAUCUUAUCAUGAACAGUAAAUAACAAACUGAUAAUAGAAGUAGGAUCCUGAAUAAUAUGUAUCUCCAUAUCCAAAACCAUAUAAAGCAAUAACAGGUACUACCCAAAAAUUCAAUGGUGUAAACAAGGUAUAAAGAUAGUCAAACUAGGGUAACCUAUUGGGUUCCAUCAAAAUUAACAUAUGCAGAUCAUUAUAAUUAAUAAGAACAUGAUUGGAUAAAAAGAAGUGAUCAAGGGCACAACUUGCCUGGGACUCGAGAUUCCAGGUACCAGCUUGCUCUUCAGUCGACUCGUAACCUCGCUGCUAGUUGUAGCAAUACAAACAAACAUGGUAUAGGCACAAUAAACAUCACACCAAAUAUAAGAACAAACUGCAUAAGAAUAUUCUAUGUGUCAUAACGAGAUCAUGGGUUCGAGAACUACUAAAAUCGGAGUUACUGUCGAGGAGUUAUGAUUUGUGGAAGAUCUACGUGAUUUAAAUAUUAAACUAUAUUAUAAAUUGAUUAGGGUACACCAUAUGAGAGAAUAUUCUAUAAAAAAAUUAACUCAACUUUAAUUUUAAUUAUACUUAACUAGAGAUCAUGUUUUAACCAACUUAUAAUUAUGGUCAGGUUGGUUUUGAUUUAGAAGAACUAAUCUAGUAGACAUAAGAUAAAUAAAUAUCAAAGUAUGCGACAUGGUAUAAUUAAUGUUGUUACUGCGUAGUAAAUAUUUAUACGGAGCUAACGCAACUGAUACGGGUCAAAUCGGAAUUAAAACGAAGAAGUUAUGAAUUUCCGAAGUUCGUAUGUGCUUGCUACAAAAUUGAGUAAUCAAUUCUAGUAUGGGUUUCAUAUCAAAACAGUGUUACCAAGUAAUAGACAAUAUUAAUACAAAAUUAUAGGAACUGGAAUGGACUAAAAAGGAUUUACCAUGAAUUUUCUAUGAAUUAAAUGGUUUUCUGCAGAUAUUUUUAUACUCAAAAUCGAUUUCUAUAUCUCUUUUUCCUGUUUUCUUUAAUUCCUGGACUGCGCACAUGAUUCCAGUGUAGUUCAGGGUUCUAUUCAUAAAUUCCAGGGCCUCUGCGUAAUGGUUUUAUAAAGGACCCGGACUGCGGGUUAGUUUUGGAAAAAGCGAGGGGCUCUUAUGUGAAUUUGGCUCGGCGAAGUCCACCGCCAGGAUUAGAUCAUACCCCUGACAACCAAAACGCUUCCCAACUGUCGAAUCCGAUCCCAAUGGUGCAGUUUAGAUCUGGCUCUAACCCAAGUGAUACGCGCACAGAGCCAUUGAUCCAACGAUCUGUGGCUAGGAUUCUAUAUAGACGAAGGGGGUAUGCUUGAUUAAAUCAUGGCCACCCAUCUGUGAGUCGACGGUUCUGAUCUAUCAGGCUGAAGCAGUACCUGCGAUCUAAUCGUAGCCGUUCACACGGAAUCAGACGGUAGCGAGAUCGUCGUCCCCGCGGCCCUCCAUAGCCACGCCGGCGCGACCCAAUACCCGGCAGCGCCAUUGCAGGGGCAACCCACCCGCGCAUUCUAGUGCCCGACUACCGAUCCGAAACGGUCCCAACCCAAGGGGCGACCCAGGCGAACGCAUAGGCAACUUCCAUACCUCGAUUUAUGGCGACGACCGCGUGGUCCAUGGCGCAAGGCAGAUCUACGAACGCGCCCAUACUCCGACGAGGAAUCGCCAUGGAUUCGUGGCCUCCCACGCUGAUUUGUUGGUAGCUAAAGCUUUCCCUCGCCCUGUAGAAUCCCGCGCCCACACCAUGAAAGCCUAACCGUGACUCUGGUAAGAAUAGCCGCGGCGGCUCCCAUCCUCUCUCUACUCCGCCUCUGAUGGUGGGGAAAAAGGGGGUCACAGCAUGGUUUUAUGGUUGGGGAUGGGGACACACAUGGCCGACCCGACUCCGAGAUCAGUGCGAAAAUGGGGGAUGUCUGUUGCGGUCAGCCAGAGCCGAUCUCGGCGGAAAACAGAGCUCCGGUUGCGAAGCAAUUCUGUUGAGACGGCGACGACGAAGCACCUGGCGAAGCGGUCCCACCAGGCAGAGGGAUGACCCGCGAGUAAGAACAUGUGCACGCAAACUAGGUGGCCGACCAAUGGGCCCCACAUGGCGGUGGUGUGGCGCGAGUGUAUGGCAAUAGGGGCCCACACGCCAGAGACAACGGGCGCGGCUCAACGCGCACGCAGAGCAGGCCUGGCAAGAGGGAAAUGGGCUGUGGGGUAUAUAUUCGGCCCAAGAGGCUGAUAGGUUUGAUCUUUUCUUUUUAUUUUCGAGUUCUUCCUCCAAAUUCAAUUCCUAUUUCAAAUCUCCCAAGUGUCAGAAUUAAUACUAAUAUAAAUAUGACCUCUACUAUUUUCAAUAUUAUUAUUUUUUAUUUUCCUUAUUAUUUAUUUAUGGGAGGAAUAAAUGGUUUCAUUAAAAUUCCCUCUCUCAUUUUCUUAAUUCCUUUUCUAUUUUUAAAUUCUAUUUUUUCACUUAAACUUGUCUCAUACAUGUAGCGCCCCGAAUUUCGAGUUGAAUUUUUUCUUUUCUCUAUCGCUCGCUAAAUUCGGGCAUUACCCCUCUUUCCCAUUUCUUUUCGCUAAAACCUCACCCGUCUUCAAAACUUUAAGUCAUGUGAUAAUGGUAAACCCUAGAGUUAAUUUCUUUGAUUUGCUGCACCAUGCCGAACCAUGCAUUUUUUGAUUGUUGAAAAUGUGAAAGCAUUCAUAUACAAAAUUAGAUAUCAAAAAAGGGAAAAUAUUUUCUUUUCUCUCCUCUCCCUCUCCUCCCCUUUUUGGCCCAGCCGCCCCCCUGGGCGCGCGGCCCAGAUGGCCGGCCGGCCCAACCGGCCACGCCCCCUCUCCCCUUCCCCCCUCGCGUCGUGGGCCGGCGGUGUGGCGGCUUAGCUCGCCUCUCCCCGCCCCCCGCUUUGGCCCCAGGAGCGGCCCAGCCGCCCCCUCCCCCCAAAUCUCUCUCCCCUCUCCUGCGGGCCCCGCCUUUCAUCCCUCUCCCCUCCCCCCAAAUCUCUCUCUCCCCUGCCUAACCCGCCCCGAUACCCUGCUCGCCCGAAACCGCCGCCGCCGCCAAUCCCCGCCCGCGGUGAGCCCCUCCCUCCCCCUCUCCUCUUCUCUCUCCCCUCCCUCCUCCUUCCCCCGCCCGUCGGCGCCCUUCCCGCGUCCCGGCCGCGCCCGGCCCCGCCCGACUCAAGCUCGCCGGCUAUGGCGCCGGCCCCCAUCCGCCCCGCCCCGGUGCGAGCGACCCCGCCCCUCCCCUCGGUGUGGCCGGCCAUGGCGGGCCGGCGCCUUCCCGCGGCGCGGCGAGCCCCGCCCCGCCCGCGCGCGCUCGCCCGCCCCCGGCCGCGCCCGCCCUCGGCUCGCCCGUCCCGAGCUCGUUCCGCCCCGGCCGCGCUCGCCGACCCCGCCCGCCCCGGCCAUGGUGGCCCCUGCCCGUCACGCCCGCGCCGUCCCCUGUCCCGGCGUGGUGGCCGGCCGUGGCCUCGCCGGCCAUGGCGCCCGUGCGGCGUGCCCCGCCCGCCUGGCCGGCGUGCCCUCGCCCCGCCAUGCGCGCGCGCCCGGCCUCGGCCCCGUCCCGGCCAUGGCGUGUGGCCAUGGCGCGCCCACCCGUGCUCGCCUGCCCGCCCCGACGUGUCCUGCUCGCGUCGUGACGGCCCCGGCGCGGCCUCAAGCUCGGCCCAGCGUGCCUAUGGCGCGCGGCCUUGAGCUCGGCCAGCGCGCGGCCCCGACGUGUGCACGGCUAGUUCGCGGCGCAUGUGUACGGCCUUGCGCGCGCGCUGCUCGCGUGGUGCGCGCGGUGCCUUGGCACGGCUUGCCGUGCCCUCGUCUACCCCUAGACGUGCCCGUCUACCCCCCUAUAUUUUAUGCGCGCUAAUCACGUUGUUCAUGUUAAUGAAAUAGGAAACUCAAUUUGGAAAUUGGUUACGUUAGUUAAUUCAUAUAGUUAAUCGUCUAGCUCAUUUAAUGUUGAUCAACUGAAAGUGGUCAUGUUUCUAUUAGUGCAUGUAGCUAAUCCUUAUUUUUGGAGCUAAGUAGAACUAGAGCACGUAACGUCUAGUUAUUCGUCUACCCAUAAUGCGCCUCGAGCAUAAGCUUUAACCCCUGCGAGACCUUCCCCCGAUUCUUUCUAACCAUGGUAAAUGUAAUAUCGUAUGUUAUAUUCUAUGCAUGUUUAAUCUACUUGUUCUCUUGUAUGGUGUACUGUUUGUUUCCUAAUUUGAAUGGAUGGAUGUAUGUAUGUUUGCACUCGCAUAGAGAACGAUCCGGUUGAAGAGCCCGAAGAACUCGCAGGAGAAGCCCCUGAGCAGCAGUCGGUUGGUGGAGGCAAGUGUCCCUUGACCUAUCUCUGUCCUAUUUAUUCUUUAAUUCACCUCCCGCAUUACACAUUUAUGCCUAAGGAUUGACUAGCUUUGUUAUCCAUGUCCUUGUUUACCUAUUUGGGUUGGAUUAUUAUUGCUUAGUCUUAUGCUAUUGCUCCACUCUAAUCAAUGAACAUGAUGAGAAUGAGCAAUGAUAUGCUGUUUUCCCCCUUCUUAUUAUGAUGUUAUACUUGUGGCCUUUAAGGGGGCUCGAGCGGUUUCUCGAGUGCCUCUCCGUAAGGACUUGUUCGUUGGAUGACCGCCCGGGAAAACAGUGCAACCAUGAGGGUGGAAUGGGGUGCCCUUAGCUGAAUAAUUAGAGGAUGCGGGGUGUAGUUCGCUUCGUCGUCGUGCCGUCAAUGGGGCUCGGUGUAUGCGGCUCGCUCUGCCAAGGUUGAUUUGUCCCUUGGGGAGGAGUGCGGUACAUUUAGGAAACCUAAUGGGCGACUACAGCCCCAGGGAAUCUUUGUAAAAGCUACGUAUAGUGAAACCCUGCUGGGUCACCUUGGUAGUGAUCAAUGGAGAGUCAUGAUCUCCGGGCAUAAAGGGAAUCACGGCUUGUGGGUAAAGUGCACAACCUCUGCAGAGUGUUUGAAACUGAUAUAUCAGCCGUGCUCGCGGUUAUGAGCGGCCAAGGGAGCUCCAGUGAUUAGUGGUACUUGAUCAGAGAUGGUCGGAUUACAGGUGGUAACGAGGUUGAUGGUUCUUGGUUUUGACUCUGGUAAUCGUAAGUGGUACUCUUUCCGUUUGGAAAGGAGUACGUUUGGGUUAAUAACGUGGGUUAACUCUAAAACUUGGCUUUCUCUACUAGUAAUAAUAAUCUGACCAACUAAAAGCAACUGCUCGACUUACCCCCACAUAAAGCUAGUCCACUACAACCAGACAGGACACUUGCUGAGUAUGUUGAUGUGUACUCACCCUUGCUCUACACACCAAACCCCCCAUCCCCAGGUUGUCAGUAUUGCAACCCCUGCUCAGGAGAAGGCGAAGCCGUGGAAGGAGACUUCAAGGAGUUCCAAGACUACGACGAGUUCUAGGCGUGGGUUAGCGGCAACCUCCAGUCGGCUGCCUGUGAAGGCCGCGUUUAUCUACGUUUCUUUUCCGCACUUUGAUGAUUUGUAAAGACUAUGUGGAUGUCUCAGACAUAUGAUGUAAUCGACUACUAUUUCCCUUUUUAAUACUAUUUGAGCACUGUGUGAUGAUGUCCAUGUUAUGUAACUGCUGUGUACGUGAAUUGCUGAUCCUGGCACGUACAUGGUUCGCAUUCGGUUUGCCUUCUAAAACCGAGUGUGACAUAAGUGGUAUCAAAGCCGUGCUGACUGUAGGACCGCUAACCUAGAGUAGAAUGGUCGUUCUAAGGAUUAUAGACCUCUAUCCCUGCCUUGACUUUGGUAUCCCUUCAAAAGUUGGUCAUAUCGACCAAAACCUAUGUUCUACUGUAUAUUAUACCUUGCUGAAAAUUGUGUUUUAUUCUAAUCCUUCAAUUAUUUAUGGUUCAUUACUUGCUGGUCAUACUAGUUCUGUUCUCACUCUUUUGCUUGCGGUGUCUUUUGUAGAUGGCUCGUCUUAGACACACCGCAUGAAAGUCUGUCAUCCCCUUCUUACCCUCUCGUCUCGCGGAGCGUCUGCUUCGCCAUCCCGUGGCCGGUCAGUCCAGUCACUUGGAGAGGCUGCACCACCGCCUGCAUGAGGAGCAAGAGCGUCGACGACAGGAGCAGGGGCAGCAGGGCUCUUCUUUCUCGCUCCAGCAGGAGAUAGAGUCUGUGAGGAGUUGCUCCCCCGUGCUUCCUCUGGAGGUGCCCCCUGCACCACCACUGGGCGCCCCAGCCUCUGGAGUAGCUGCUGAAGGAGGCCUAGAUGACGGAGGUGGCAACGACAGCUCGAGCCACGACAUCGACUUUUCUGCUGACCAGGAGCCAGAAGGAUGGGUUGCUCGACCCAUCACUCGCGACGCUGCUCGCGGGUGUCACUUCCACGAUGCGCUCGACACCCUGCUACAUCGGGCACUUAACCGGCGUACUUGGUCUAUCGAGUAUCGCUGUGUGGUCUACCAGCAUAGUCGCAGGGUCUACCCGGACCACUGGGAGGCGACCUGCUUGGUGCGCCGUCCGGAGAACAGUCUCCAGGGUGCGAAGGCCUGCUCAGAGCACUAUUCUAUCUCUGAGCGGGACUCAGCUGAGGCGGCCAUGCAAGAUGUUGCACGGCGUGCGCUUUCGCACUACUGCUUGGUCCUCGAUGGGGUAGCUGACGGUCUCAACCUGAAGUAUUACCCCCGCCGUCCAUCUGGCAGCACAGGAGGUGUGAUUGUUUCACCUGUCGGUGAGGACAAUACUAGGUUGAGCAGCACAGUCAACCUAGCCGUCGUGCUAAACACGGAGCUAGACCAUGCGCUAGACGAGCUGAGUAGGGCUCAUGCUGAGAUCGCCCUGCUGCGGGCUGAGCGCGCGGAGCGUGGUCACCUGGAUGAUGGUUCCCCCGCUCCUGUCGGGACUCAGCGCCCGUACCGCUCACCUCGUCGUGGACACCAGCCUUAUGGCAAUCCCGACUGCAAGAACAAGAUAGACUUGGAACCAUAGAUCAUCAGUGUGGAGUCUUGUAAUAAAUGCUUAAUAUAGAAGUUUUAGUCUUAGUCUUAGUCUCAGUCUUAGCGUUAGUCUCGCUCUUAGUUAGUCUUAGUUAGACAGGGUAGUUUGCUAUAUCCUGUGCAUUUAUGUUUGUCAUGAUGAACUAUGUUUGGUUUGGAUCUUUGUAAUGACUGUCACCAGAGUGUGGGUAUCCCCUGCAUUUUGGUUUACCUGUUAUGUUAAUGGAGUUAGUCAUCUAGUUGGGAAGCCUUUUACUCCACUUUCCUCUUUAUCUGAGAAGCUGUGUUGGUCUGUGUUGGAGAUCAGUGAAGAUGCUCAUCUGUUCAGUGUUAUGGAGAAUUCUAUACUCUUUUCUUAUGCUGCAAGAUUUGCAAGAUCAGUUCUGAUGUGUGAUUGCAUUCUGCAGAUGUCAGAGAACAGGCGCAGAGGAGGAAGGCGUGCUCAGCAGGAGCAAGCCGCUCAGCAGGAUGAGGUGCCUCAGGAACAGCAACUACCGCCCCCGCCCCCGAUGUCCAUCGAGCAGAUGUUCCUGAUGCAGACUCAGGCAGUUCAAGCCAUCGGUCAGACUCUAGUCGCCAUUCAGCAGCAGCAACAGCAACAGGCCCCACCUCAGCCUCAGAUGCCUUAGAUGCCCAGGGACAAGCGUGCUGAAUUCAUGAGAGGUCAUCCACCAACGUUUGCUCAUUCUUCUAACCCCAUGGAUGCUGAAGACUGGCUACGCACUGUGGAGCGGGAGUUGCAUACCGCUCAGUGUGACAACAGGGAGAAUGUCAUGUAUGGUCCCCGUCUGUUGAGAGGAGCAGCUCAGUCAUGGUGGGAGUCUUAUCUCGCCACCCACGCCAACCCCGACACCAUCACCUGGGAAGAGUUCAGAGGUAGCUUUCGUCAGUACCAUGUUCCUGCAGGUCUGAUGACAGUGAAGAAGGAGGAGUUUCUAGCCCUCAAGCAAGGGUCAUCGUCUGUCAGUGAGUACCGGGAUAGGUUUCUGCAGUUGUCUCGCUAUGCUCAUGAAGAUGUCAACACCGACGCCAAGAGAUAGUAUCGUUUCCUGAGAGGCUUGGUUGACCCUCUUCAGUACCAACUGAUGAAUCACACCUUCCCGACAUUCCAGCACUUGAUUGACAGGGCAAUCAUGACAGAGAGGAAGCGUAAGGAGAUGGAGGAUCGUAAGCGCAAGAUCAGUGGACCCCAGCCUGGAAGCAGCAAUUGUCCUCGUUUCUCAGGCAAUCAACCUCAGCAGUUCAGGCAGAACCAGUGUCCACCUCAGCAUCAGCAGUUCCAAAGGCAGUAUCCUCAGCACCAGUAUCAGAAUCGUCAGAACAAUUAGUCAGGAGGAGGUCAGUUCCAGAGGCAGAAUCAGCAGGCACCUCAUCUUCCUGCCCCAGCAACCCAGCAGAACAGUCAGGCAGCACCAGCUCAGGUUGGAAACAGAGCAUGUUUCCACUGUGGAGAGCAAGGCCACUGGGUGAUGCAAUGUCCGAAGAAGGCAGCCCAGCAGCAGUCAGGUCCCAAUGCCCCAGCAAAGCAGAAUGUGUCUCAGCCUGGAGCAGGCAACCGCUCUUAGCCGCGCUAUAAUCAUGGGAGACUGAAUCACUUGGAGGCUGAAGCAGUUCAGGAGACCCCCGACAUGAUAGUAGGUAUGUUCCCAGUCAACUCCGAUAUUGCAGAAGUGUUAUUUGAUACUGGAGCAACGCAUUCCUUCAUUACUGCAUCAUGGGUAGAAGCACAUAAUCUUCCAAUAACUACCAUGUCAACCCCCAUUCAAAUUGACUCAGCCGGUGGUAGAAUUCGAGCCGAUAGUAUUUGUUUGAAUGUAUGUGUGGAAAUAAGGGGGAUAGCGUUUCCCGCUAACCUCAUAGUAAUGGGUACCCAGGGAAUAGAUGUCAUCCUAGGGAUGAAUUGGCUAGAUAAGUAUCAGACAGUUAUCAGUUGUGAUAAGAGAACAAUCAAGUUGGUGUCCCCACUAGGAGAGGAAGUGGUGACCGAGUUAGUCCCGCCUGAGCUGAAGAAAGGAAGUUGUUAUCAGAUGGCUGUCGUUAGCAGUGAAGCAGACCCAAUUGAGAGUAUCAAGGUUGUGUCCGAGUUCCCGGAUGUGUUUCCAAAGGACUUACCGGGUAUGCCACCAGAGCGGAAAGUUGAGUUUGCCAUAGAGCUUCUUCCUGGAACCGCCCCUAUCUUUAAGAGAGCAUACAGAAUAUCUGGACCAGAGUUGGUUGAACUUAAGAAGCAGAUUGAUGAGCUGUCAGAGAAAGGUUACAUUCGGCCAAGCACCUCGCCUUGGGCCACCCCUGUCCUAUUUGUGGAGAAGAAAGAUGGCACCAAAAGGAUGUGUAUCGAUUAUCGAGCUCUAAAUGAAGUCACAAUCAAGAACAAGUACCCUUUGCCCAUAAUAGAAGAUCUGUUCGACCAGUUGAGAGGAGCCAAUGUGUUCUCCAAGAUAGAUCUGAGGUCAGGUUAUCAUCAGCUCAGGAUCCGACCUUCAGACAUUCCGAAGACGGCAUUCAUUACCAAGUAUGGGUUGUAUGAGUUCAUAGUGAUGUCUUUCGGUCUAACCAAUGCACCGGCCUUCUUCAUGAACCUGAUGAACAGUGUAUUCAUGGACUAUCUCGAUAAGUUUGUGGUGGUAUUCAUCGAUGACAUUCUGAUUUAUUCUCAAAGCGAAGAAGAGCAUGCAAGUCAUUUGAGGAUGGUAUUGCAGAGAUUGCGAGAGCACCAGUUGUAUGCAAAGUUGAGCAAGUGUGAGUUCUGGAUCAGUGAAGUCUUGUUCUUGGGUCACAUAAUCAACAAAGAAGGAUUGGCUGUGGAUCCGAAGAAAGUGGCAGACAUUCUGAACUGGAAGGCGCCAACAGAUGCUCGAGGAAUCAAGAGUUUCAUUGGAAUGGCCGGAUAUUAUCGGCGAUUCAUUGAAGGGUUUUCGAAGAUUGCGAAACCAAUGACAACAUUGCUAGGCAAUAGGGUCGAGUUCAAGUGGACCCAGAAAUGUCAAGAGGCCUUUGAAGCGCUGAAAGAGAAGUUGACUACAUCGCCUGUCUUAGUCUUGCCUGAUGUGCACAAGCCCUUCUCGGUGUUUUGUGAUGCUUGUUACACUGGUUUGGGAUGUGUGUUGAUGCAAGAGGGAAGAGUUGUGGAUUACUCGUCCCGACAGUUGAGAGUUCAUGAGAAGAAUUACCCAAUCCAUGACCUAGAGUUGGCAGCAGUGGUUCACGCAUUGAAGACAUGGAGGCACUAUCUGUAUGGAUAGAAAUGCGAUGUUUACACAGACCACAAGAGUCUGAAGUACAUAUUCACUCAGUCAGAGCUGAAUAUGAGGCAACGAAGAUGGUUAGAGCUGAUCAAAGACUACGAAUUGAAGAUUCAUUACCAACCAGGCAAAGCGAACGUAGUGGUAGAUGCUUUGAGCAGGAAGAGUCAAGUCAAUCUGAUGGUCGCUCGUCCGAUGCCUUAUGAGUUGGCCAAAGAGUUUGACAGGUUGAGUCUUGGGUUUCUGAACAACACGCGAGGAGUCACAAUUGAGUUGGAACCUACCCUGGAGCGGGAAAUCAAAGAAGCGCAGAAGAACGAUGAGAAGAUCAGUGAGAUCCGGCGACUGAUUCUAGAUGGCAGAGGCAAAGAUUUUUUGGAAGACGCAGGAGGUGUGAUAUGGUUCAAAGACCGCUUGUGUGUUCCCAAUGUCCAGUCUAUUCGAUUCACCCUGGUAGUGAGAAGAUGUAUCAGGAUCUGAAGAAGAAAUUCUGGUGGUACGGAAUGAAGAGGGAAAUCGCAGAUCAUGUGGCUAUGUGUGAUAGUUGUCGGCGGAUCAAGGCGGAGCACCAGAGACCAGCUGGAUUGUUGCAACCGUUGCAAAUUCCCCAGUGGAAAUGGGAUGAAAUCGGCAUGGAUUUCAUAGUCGGAUUGCCUCGUACUCGAGCCGGCUACGAUUCCAUUUGGGUAGUGGUGGAUCGCUUAACCAAGUCAGCCCACUUCAUACCUGUCAAGACCAACUACAGCAGUGCAGUAUUGGCAGAGUUGUACAUGUCUCGGAUCGUCUGUCUUCAUGGUGUGCCAAAGAAGAUAGUGUCAGACCGAGGAACGCAGUUCACCUCUCAUUUCUGGCAGCAGUUGCAUGAAGCCUUGGGCACACAUCUGAAUUUCAGUUCAGCUUAUCAUCCGCAGACAGAUGGUCAGACCGAAAGGACCAAUCAAAUCCUCGAAGACAUGUUGAGAGCUUGUGCGUUGCAAGAUCAGUCCGGAUGGGACAAGAGAUUGCCUUACGCAGAGUUCUCCUAUAACAACAGUUACCAGGCCAGUUUGAAGAUGUCACCUUUUCAGGUGCUUUAUGGAAGGAGUUGUAGAACUCCAUUGCAAUGGGAUCAGCCUGGGGAAAGCAAGUGUUCGGGCCAGACAUUCUGCUUGAAGCCGAAGAGAACAUCAAGAUGGUCCGAGAGAAUCUGAAGAUAGCGCAAUCAAGGCAGCGAAACUAUGUAGAUACAAGAAGAAGAGAGCUGAGUUUCGAAGUCGGAGAUUUUGUCUAUCUAAAAGUGUCACCGAUCAGAGGAGUCAGAAGGUUCGGAGUUAAGGGCAAGCUAGCACCCCGCUACAUCGGUCCGUACCAGAUUCUCGCAAGGCGUGGAGAAGUGGCCUAUCAGCUCAGCCUACCAGAAAAUUUAUCUGCUGUGCAUGAUGUCUUUCAUGUGUCUCAAUUGAAGAAGUGCUUGCGUGUGCCAGAAGAGCAGUUGCCAGUUGAAGGUCUUGAAGUCCAGGAGGACUUGACCUACGUUGAGAAGCCAACGCAAAUCCUUGAGACCGCAGACAGAGUCACCCGAAGGAAGACCAUCAGAAUGUGCAAGGUCAGAUGGAAUCAUCACUCUGAGGAAGAGGCAACCUGGGAGCGUGAAGAUGAUCUGAUGGCCAAAUACCCUGAGCUCUUUGCUAGCCAACCCUGAAUCUCGAGGGCGAGAUUCUUUUAAGGGGGAUAGGUUUGUAACGCCUCGAAUUUCGAGUUGAAUUUUUUCUUUUCUCUAUCGCUCGCUAAAUUCGGGCGUUACCCCUCUUUCCCAUUUCUUUUCGCUAAAACCUCACCCGUCUUCAAAACUUUAAGUCAUGUGAUAAUGGUAAACCCUAGAGUUAAUUUCCUUAAUUUGCUGCACCAUGCCGAACCAUGCAUUUUUUGAUUGUUGAAAAUGUGAAAGCAUUCAUAUAGAAAAUUAGAUAUCAAAAAAAGGGAAAAUCUUUUCUUUUCUCUCCCCUCCCUCUCCUCCCCUUUUUGGCCCAGCCCCCCUGGGCGCGCGGCCCAGAUGGCCGGCCAGCCCAACCGGCCACGCCCCCUCUCCCCUUCCCCCCCCCUCGCGGCGUGGGCCGGCGGUGUGGCGGCCCAGCUCGCCUCCCCCCGCCCCCCUCCCCGCUUUGGGCCCAGGAACGGCCCAGCCGCCCCCUCCCCUCCCUCCAAAUCUCUCUCCCCUCCCCUGCGGGCCCCGCCUGUCAUCCCCCUCCCCUCCCCCCAAAUCUCUCUCUCCCCUGCCCAGCCCGCCCCGAUCCCCUGCUCGCCCGAAACCGCUGCCGCCGCCGAUCCCCGCCCGCGGUGAGCCCCUCCCCCCUCUCCUCUUCUCUCUCCCCUCCCUCCUCCUUCCCCUACCCGCCGGCGCCCUUCCCGCGUCCCGGCCGCGCCCGCCCCCGCCCGCCUCGAGCUCGCCGGCUAUGGCGCCGGUCCCGUCCGCCCCGCCCCGGCGCGAGCGACCCCGCCCCUCCCCUCGGUGUGGCCGGCCAUGGCGGCCCGGCGCCCUCCCGCGGCGCGGCGAGCCCCACCCCGCCCGCGCGCGCCCGCCCCAGCCCGCCCCCGCUCUCGCCGGCCCCCGGCCGCGCCCGCCCUCGGCUCGCCCGCCCCGAGCUCGUCCCGCCCCGGCCGCGCUCGCCGACCCCGCCCGCCCCGGCCAUGGUGGCCCCUGCCCGUCGCGCCCGCGCCGUCCCUGCCCCAGCGUGGUGGCUGGCCAUGGCCUCGCUGGCCAUGGCACCCGCGCGGUGUGCCCCGCCCGCCCGGCCUCGGCCCCGUCCCGGCCAUGGCGCGUGGCCAUGGCGCGCCCGCCCGUGCUCGUUCGCCCGUGCUCGCCCGCCCGCCCCGGCGUGUCCUGCUCGCGUCAUGACGGCCCCGGCACGGCCUCGAGCUCGACCCAGCGUGCCUAUGGCGCGCGGCCUUGAUCUCGGCCAGCGUGUGGCCCCGACGUGCACGGCUAGUUCGCGGCGCGUGUGUGCGGCCUUGCGCGCGCGCUGCUCGCGUGGUGCGCGCGGUGCCUUGGCACGGCUCGCCGUGCCCUCGUCUACCCCUAGACGUGCCCGUCUACCCCCCCGUAUAUUUUAUGCGCGCUAAUCACGUUGUUAAUGUUAAUGAAAUAGGAAACUCAAUUUGGAAAUUGGUUACGUUAGUGUCGGGGACCAUAUAUAGGGGUACCCCCAAGACUCCAAAUCUCAGCUGGUAACCCCCAUCAGCACGAAGCUGCAAAGGCCUGAUGGGCGCGAUUAAGGUCAAGGCUCAGUCCACUCAAGGGACAUGAUCUCGCCUCGUUCGAGCCCAGCCUCGGGCAAAGGCAGCCGACCCCGGAGGAUUCACGUCUCGCUCGAGGGCCCCCUCAAGCAACGGACACACCUUCGGCUCGCCCGAGGCCCAGUCUUCGCAGAGAAGCAACCUUGGCCAGAUCGCCACACCAACCGACCGUAUCGCAGGAGCAUUUAAUGCAAGGAUCGCCUGACACCUUAUCCUGGCGAGCGCUCUUCAGUCGACAGAGCCGAAGUGACCGCGGUCACUUCGCCGCUCCACUGACCGACCUGACAAGGAAACAGCGCCGCCUGCGUCGCUCCGACUGCUGUGCCACUCGACAGAGUGAGACUGACAGCAGCUAAGUCCAGCCUCGGGCGACAUACGAAGCUCCGCCUCGCCCAACCCUAGGGUUUGGCCCCAGCCUCGGCUCCGGAAGACGACGAACUUAGCCUCGACCGACCCCAGGGCUCGGACACAGCCUCGGUCUCGGAAGACGGUCUCCGCCUCGCCCGACCCUAGGGCUCGGACUCAACCUCGACCUCGGAAGACGGACUCCGCCUCGCCCGACCCCAGGGGUCGGACUCAGCCUCGACUCCGGAAGACGGACUCGACCUCGACCUCGGAGGAGCCUCCACCUCGCCCGACCUAGGGCUCAGACCGACCAUGUCACAGGGGGGCCAUCAUUACCCUACCCCUAGCUAGCUCAGGCUACAGGGAACAAGACCGGCGUCCCAUCUGGCUCGCCCCGGUAAACAAAUAAUGAUGGCGCCCCGCGUGCCCCAUGAUGACGGCGACGCUCAGCCCCUUACGGAAGCAAGGAGACGUCAGCAAGGAUUUGGCAGCCCCGACAGAUGUCCUUCCGCAGGGCUCCAGCUCUCCUCCGACGGCCACGACAUCACAUGAACAGGGUGUCAAAACCUCUCCGACUGCCAUGACGACAUGUACUUAGAGCUCUAGCUCCUCUCUGCUAGACACGUUAGCACACUACUACACCCCCCAUUGUACACCUGGACCUUCUCCUUACGCCUAUAAAAGGAAGGUCCAGGGCUCUCGUACGAGAAGGUUGGCCGCGCGGGAGAACGGGCCGACGCGUAAGGCUCUCCCACGCGAACGCUUGUAACCCCCUACUGCAAGCGUGAUAGUCGCCUAGAGGGGGGGGGGGGGUGAAUAGGGCGAAACUGAAAUUUACAAAAAUAAUCACAACUACAAGCCGGGGUUAGCGUUUAGUAAUAAUAAACGAGUCCGCAAGAGAGGGAGCAAAACAAAUCGCAAGCAAAUAAAGAGAGUGACACGUGGAUUUGUUUUACCGAGGUUCGGUUCUUGCAAACCUACUCCCCGUUGAGGAGACCACAAAGGCCGGGUCUCUUUCAACCCUUCCCUCUCUCAAACGGUCCCUCGGACCGAGUGAGCUUUCCUUCUUCUCAAUCAACCGGGAACAAAACUUCCCCGCAAGGGCCACCACACAAUCGGUGCCUCUUGCCUCGGUUACAAUUGAGUGUUGAUCACAAGAGCAAAAAGAGAAAGAAAGAAUGCGAUCCAAGCGCAAGAGCUCAAAAGAACACGGCAAAUCUCUCUCGCUAGUCACUAAAGGCUUGAGUGGAAUUGGAGAGGAUUUGAUCUCUUUGUAUGUGUCUAGAAUUGAAUGCCUAGCUCUUGUAAGUGGUUAGAAGUUGGAAAACUUGGAUGACAAUGAAUGUGGGGUGGUUGGGGUAUUUAUAGCCCCAACCACCAAACUUGACCGUUGGCUGAAGCCUUCUGUUCGAUGGCGCACCGGACAGUCCGGUGCACACCGGACAGUCCGGUGCCCCUGCCACGUCAUCACUGCCGUUGGAUUCUAGCCGUUGGAGCUUCUGACUUGUGGGCCCGCCUGGGUGUCCGGUGCACACCGGACAUGCACUGUUUGAUGUCCGGUGCACCGGUAUGGGCGAUUCUGACUUCUGCGCGCGCUGUGCGCGCAUUAAAUGCAGCGCAGGGAGCCGUUGGCGCCGCAAGGAGCCGUUGCUCCGCUGGCACACCGGACAGUCCGGUGCACACCGGACAGUCCGGUGAAUUAUAGCGGAGCGGCUGCCGCGCGAACCCGAGGCUGGCGAGUUCAGGAGGCCGAGCUUCCUUGGAGCACCGGACAUGUCCGGUGCACACCGGACAGUCCGGUGAAUUAUAGCGCGCCGGCUUCCGAGAAUUCCCGAGAGUGAAGAGUUGGAGUCUGAGUCCCCUGGUGCACCGGACAGGUACUGUUCACUGUCCGGUGGCACACCGGACAGUCCGGUGCGCCAGACCAGGGGUGCCCUCGGUUGCCCCUUUGCUCCUUUAUUGAAUCCAAAACUUGGUCUUUUUAUUGGCUGAGUGUUAACCUUUUACACCUGUAUAAUCUAUACACUUGGGCAAACUAGUUAGUCCAAAGACUUGUGUUGGGCAAUUCAACCACCAAAAUUAUAUAGGAACUAGGUGUAAGCCUAAUUCCCUUUCAAUCUCCCCCUUUUUGGUGAUUGAUGCCAACACAAACCAAAGCAAAUAUAGAAGUGCAUAAUUGAACUAGUUUGCAUAAUGUAAGUGUAAAGGUUGCUUGGAAUUGAGCCAAUAAAACUACUUACAAGAUAUGCAUGGAAUAUUUCUUUCUUAUUUAACAUUUUGGACCACGUUUGCACCACAUGUUUUGUUUUUGCAAAUUCUUUUUGUAAAUCUACUUCAUAGAUCUCUACUUCAUAGAUCUUUUGCAAAUAGUCAAAGGUAAAUAAAUAAGAGUUUGCGAAAGCAUUUUCAAGAUUUGAAAUUUCCUCCCCCUGUUUCAAAUGCUUUUCCUUUGACUAAACAAAACUCCCCCUAAAAGAGAUCCACCUCUUAGUGUUCAAGAGGGUUUUGAUAUACCAUUUUUGAAAUACUACUUUCUCCCCCUUUUGAACACAAUAGGAUACCAAAUGAUAAAGACUUUUGGAAAGCACUAAGUUUUUGAAUUUGGUGGUGGUGGUGCGGUCCUUUUGCUUUGGGCUCAUUUCUCCCCCUUUUUGGCAUGAAUCGCCAAAAACGGAAUCAUUAGAGCCCUCGAAGUGCAAUCUUCCCCUUUGGUCAUAAAUAAGUCAGUUAAGAUUAUACCAAAGACGAAGUUCUUUUGCGUUUGAGCUUUUACUCUCUCCCCCAAGGAUGAAGUCCUUUUCCUUGAUGCUCAUUUCUCCCCCAAAGACGAGAGAGUUGCUCGGAGUGAUGGCGAAGCAUGAGUUACGGAGUGGAAGCCUUUGUCUUCGCCGAAGACUCCAAUUUCCUUUCAAUAUACCUAUGACUUGGUUUGAAAUCGACUUGAAAACACAUUAGUCAUAGCAUAUAAAGGAGAUAUGAUCAAAGGUAUUCAAAAGAGCUAUGUGUGCAAGCUUAGCAAAAGAAAUUUCUAGAAUCAAGAAUAUUGAGCUCAUGCCUAAGUCUGGUAAAAGAUUGUUCAUCAAGUGGCUUGGUAAAGAUAUCGGCUAAUUGAUCUUUAGUAUUAAUGUAAGAAAUCUCGAUAUCCCCCUUUUGUUGGUGAUCCCUAAGAAAAUGAUACCGAAUGGCUAUGUGCUUAGUGCGGCUAUGCUCGACGGGAUUGUCGGCCAUUUUAAUUGCACUCUCAUUAUCACAUAGCAAAGGGACUUUGGUUAAUUUGUAGCCGUAGUCCCGCAGGGUUUGCCUCAUCCAAAGCAAUUGCGCGCAACAAUGUCCUGCAGCAAUGUACUCGGCUUCGGCGGUGGAAAGAGCGACCGAAUUUUGCUUCUUUGAAGCCCAAGACACCAAGGAUCUUCCCAAGAACUGGCAAGUCCCUGAUGUGCUCUUCCUAUUAAUUUUGCACCCCGCCCAAUCGGCAUCCGAAUAACCAAUUAAAUCAAAUGUGGAUCCCCUAGGGUACCAAAGCCCAAACUUAGGAGUAGAAGCCAAAUAUCUCAAGAUUCGUUUUACGGCCGUAAGGUGUGAUUCCUUAGGGUCGGAUUGGAAUCUUGCACACAUGCAAACGGAAAGCAUAAUGUCCGGUCGAGAUGCACAUAAAUAAAGCAAUGAACCAAUCAUCGACCGGUAUACCUUUUGAUCCACGGACUUACCUCCCGUGUCGAGGUCGAGAUGCCCAUUAGUUCCCAUGGGUGUCUUGAUGGGUUUGGCAUCCUUCAUCCCAAACUUAGCAAGAAUGUCUUGAGUGUACUUCGUUUGGCUAAUGAAGGUGCCCUCUUGGAGUUGCUUGACUUGGAAUCCUAGAAAAUACUUCAACUCCCCCAUCAUCGACAUCUCGAAUUUCUGUGUCAUGAUCCUACUAAACUCUUCACAUGUAGACUCGUUAGUAGACCCAAAUAUAAUAUCAUCAACAUAAAUUUGGCAUACAAACAAGUCAUUUUCAAGAGUUUUAGUAAAGAGUGUAGGAUCGGCCUUGCCGACUUUGAAGCCAUUUGCAAUAAGGAAAUCUCUAAGGCAUUCAUACCAUGCUCUUGGGGCUUGCUUGAGCCCAUAAAGCGCCUUAGAGAGCCUAUAAACAUGGUUAGGAUACUCACUGUCUUCAAAGCCGGGAGGUUGCUCAACAUAGACCUCUUCCUUGAUUGGUCCAUUGAGGAAGGCACUCUUCACGUCCAUUUGAUAAAGCUUGAAGCCAUGGUAAGUAGCAUAGGCUAAUAAUAUGCGAAUUGACUCAAGCCUAGCUACGGGUGCAUAGGUUUCACCGAAAUCCAAACCUUCGACUUGUGAAUACCCUUUGGCUACGAGUCGAGCUUUGUUCCUUGUCACCACACCAUGCUCAUCUUGCUUGUUGCGGAAGACCCAUUUGGUUCCUACAACAUUUUGGUUAGGACGUGGAACUAAAUGCCAGACCUCAUUCCUCGUGAAAUUGUUGAGCUCCUCUUGCAUUGCCACCACCCAAUCCGAAUCUUGGAGAGCUUCCUCUACCCUGUGUGGCUCAAUAGAGGAAACAAAAGAGUAAUGUUCACAAAAAUGAGCAACCCGAGAUCGAGUAGUUACCCCCUUAUGAAUGUCGCCGAGGAUGGUGUCGACGGGGUGAUCUCGUUGGAUUGCUUGGUGGACUCUUGGGUGUGGCGGUCUUGGUUCUUCCUCAUCCUCCUUUUCUUGAUCAUUUGUAUCUCCCCCUUGAUCAUUGCUAUUAUCUUGAGGUGGCUCGUCUUCUUGAUUUUGCUCUUCAUCAUUUUGAGCCUCAUCCUCAUUUUGAGUUGGUGGAGAUGCUUGCAUGGAGGAGGAUGGUUGAUCUUGUGUACUUGGAGGCUCUUCGGAUUCCUUAGGACACACAUCCCCGAUGGACAUGUUCCUUAGCGCGAUGCAUGGAGCCUGUUCUUCACCUAUCUCAUCAAGAUCAACUUGCUCUACUUGAGAGCCGUUAGUUUCAUCAAACACAACGUCACAAGAGACUUCAACUAGUCCAGUGGACUUGUUAAAGACCCUAUAUGCCCUUGUGUUUGAGUCAUAACCAAGUAAAAAGCCUUCUACAGUUUUAGGAGCAAAUUUAGAUUUUCUACCUCUUUUAAUAAGAAUGAAGCAUUUGCUACCAAAAACUCUAAAAUAUGAAAUGUUGGGCUUUUUACCGGUUAGGAGUUCAUAUGAUGUCUUCUUGAGGAUUCGGUGAAGAUAUAACCGGUUGAUGGCGUAGCAGGCGGUGUUGACUGCUUCGGCCCAAAACCGGUCCGGUGUCUUGUACUCAUCAAGCAUGGUUCUUGCCAUGUCCAAUAGAGUUCGAUUCUUCCUCUCCACUACACCAUUUUGUUGUGGCGUGUAGGGAGAAGAGAACUCAUGCUUGAUGCCCUCCUCCUCAAGGAAGCUUUCAAUUUGAGAGUUCUUGAACUCCGUCCCAUUGUCGCUUCUUAUCUUCUUGAUCCUUAAGCCGAACUCAUUUUGAGCCCGUCUCAAGAAUCCUUUUAAAGUCUCUUGGGUUUGAGAUUUUUCCUGUAAAAAGAAUACCCAAGUGAAGCGAGAAUAAUCAUCCACAAUUACAAGGCAAUACUUACUACCGCCGAUGCUUGUGUAAGCGAUCGGGCCGAAUAAGUCCAUGUGUAGUAGCUCCAGCGGCCUGUCGGUAGUCAUGACAUUUUUGUGUGGAUGAUGGAUGCCAACUUGCUUCCCAGCUUGGCAUGCGCUACAAAUCCUGUCUUUCUCAAAAUGAAUAUUGGUUAGUCCCAAAAUGUGUUCUCCCUUUUGAAGCUUGUGAAGAUUCUUCAUUCCAACAUGGGCUAGUCGGCGGUGCCAAAGCCAACCCAAGUUAGUCUUAGCAACUAAGCAAGUGUCGAGCUCAGCUCUAUCAAAAUCUACUAAGUAUAGCUGACCCUCUAACACACCCUUAAAUGCUAUUGAAUCAUCACUUCUUCUAAAGAUAGUGACACCUAUAUCAGUAAAAAGACAGUUGUAGCCCAUUUGACAUAAUUGGGAAACAGAAAGCAAAUUGUAAUCUAAAGAAUCUACAAGAAAAACAUUGGAAAUAGUAUGGUCAGGUGAUAUAGCAAUUUUACCCAAACCUUUGACCAAACCUUGAUUUCCAUCCCCGAAUGUGAUAGCUCGUUGGGGAUCUUGGUUUUUCUCAUAUGAGGAGAACAUCUUUUUCUCCCCUGUCAUAUGGUUUGUGCACCCGCUGUCGAGUAUCCAACUUGUGCCCCCGGAUGCAUAAACCUACAAAACAAAUUUAGUUCUUGACUUUAGGUACCCAAACUGUUUUGGGUCCUUUGGCAUUAGAUACAAGAACUUUGGGUACCCAAACACAAGUCUUGGAACCCUUGUGCUUGCCCCCAACAAAUUUGGCAACUACCUUGCCGGAUUUGCUAGUAAGCACAUAAGAUGCAUCAAAAGUUUUAAAUGAAAUGGCAUGAUCAUUUGAUGCAUUAGGAGUUUUCUUUCUAGGCAACUUGGCACGGGUUGGUUGCCUAGAGCUAGAUGUCUCACCCUUAUACAUAAAAGCAUGGUUAGGGCCAGAGUGAGACUUCCUAGAGUGAAUUCUCCUAAUUUUGCUCUCGGGAUAACCGGCAGGGUACAAAAUGUAACCCUCGUUAUCCUGAGGCAUGGGAGCCUUGCCCUUAACAAAGUUAGACAAAUUUUUAGGUGGGGUAUUAAGUUUGACAUUGUCUCCCCUUUGGAAGCCAAUGCCAUCCUUGAUGCCAGGGCGUCUCCCAUUAUAAAGCAUGCUACGAGCAAAUUUAAAUUUCUCAUUUUCUAAGUUGUGCUCGGCAAUUUUAGCAUCUAGUUUAGCUAUAUGAUCAUUUUGUUUUUUAAUUAAGGCUAGGUGAUCAUGGAUAGCCUCAAUAUUAAUAUCUCUACAUCUAGUGCAAAUAGAAACAUGCUCAACAUUAGAUGUAGAGGGUUUGCAAGAUUUAAGUUCUACAACCUUAGCAUGCAACAUUUCAUUCUUAGUUCUAAGGUCGGAAAUAGUAGCAUUGCAAACAUCAAAAUUUUUAGCCUUAGCAAUUAAAUUUUCAUUCUCUAAUCUAAGGCUAGCAAGAGAUGCAUUCAAUUCAUCAAUCUUAGCAAGCAAGUCAACGUUAUCAUUUUUAAGAUUGGGAAUUGAAACAUUACAAACAUGUGAAUCAACCUUAGCAUUUAAAAUAGCAUUUUCAUUUCUAAGGUUGUCAAUCAUCUCACGGCAAGUGCUUAGCUCACUAGACAAUUUUUCACAUUUUUCAACUUGUAGAGCGUAAGCAUUUUUAACCUUAACAUGUUUCUUAUUCUCCUUGAUUAGGAAGUCCUCUUGGGAGUCCAAGAGAUCAUCCUUUUCAUGGAUGGCACUAAUUAGUUCAUUUAAUUUUUCCUUUUGUUCCAUGUUAAGGUUAGCAAAAAGAAUGCGCAAGUUAUCCUCCUCAUUUUUAUCAUCAUCCUCAUCACUAGAUGUUUCAUAUUUAGUGGAGGACCUUGAUUUUACCUUCUUUUUGCCGUCCUUGGCCAUGAGACACUUGUGGCCGACGUUGGGGAAGAGAAGGCCUUUGGUGACGGCGAUGUUGGCGGCGUCCUCGUCGUCGGAGGAGUCGCUUGAGCUUUCGUCGGAGUCCCACUCCCGACAAACAUGGGCAUCGCCGCCCUUCUUCUUGUAAUACUUCUUCUUCUCCUUUCUUCUUCCCUUCUUGUCGUCGCCCCUGUCACUGUCACUAGACAUAGGACAUUUUGCAAUAAAGUGACCGGGCUUACCACACUUGUAGCAAACCUUCUUGGAACGAGGUUUGUAGUCCUUCCCCUUCCGUUGCUUGAGGAUUUGCCUAAAGCUUUUGAUGAUUAGGGCCAUCUCCUCAUUGUCGAGCUUGGAGGCGUCAAUUGGUUGUCUACUUGGUGUAGACUCCUCCUUCUUCUCCUCCGUUGCCUUAAAGGCCACCGGUUGCGCCUCGGAUGUGGAGGGCUCGUCAAGCUCGUUGAUCUUCUUGGAGCCCUUAAUCAUGCAUUCAAAACUAACAAAAUUCCCGAUGACUUCCUCGGGGGUCAUUAGUGGAUAUCUUGGAUUGCCACGAAUUAAUUGAACUUGUGUGGGGUUAAGGAAAAUAAGAGCUCUUAGAAUAACCUUAACCACUUCGUGGUCAUCCCACUUUGUACUCCCGAGGUUGCGCACUUGGUUCACCAAGGUCUUGAGCCGGUUGUACAUGUCUUGUGGCUCCUCCCCUUGGCGAAGACGGAAGCGACCGAGCUCCCCCUCGAUCGUUUCCCGCUUGGUGAUCUUGGUGAGUUCAUCACCUUCGUGCGCCGUCUUGAGAAGAUCCCAAAUCUCUUUGGCGUUCUUCAACCCUUGUACUUUGUUGUAUUCCUCCUUGCUUAGGGAGGCAAGGAGGAUGGUUGCGGCUUGGGAGUUGAAGUGCUCGAUUUGGGCCACUUCGUCUGUGUCAUAGUCCUCAUCCCCUAUUGAUGGUACCUGUACACCAUACUCAACAACAUCCCAUAUUCUUUUGUGGAGAGAGGUUAGAUGAAAUCGCAUUAAAUUACUCCACAUAGCAUAAUCUUCACCAUUAAAAGUUGGUGGUUUACCUAAUGGGACGGAAAGUAGAGGUGUAUGUUUAGGAACACGAGGAUAGCGUAGGGGAAUCUUACUAUACUUCUUACGCUCUUGGCGUUUAGAAGUGACGGACGCCGCGUCGGAGCCGGAGGUAGAUGUCGAUGAAGUGUCGGUCUCGUAGUAGACCACCUUCCUCAUCCUCUUGUGCUUGUCCCCACUCCGAUGCGGCUUGUGAGAAGAAGAUUUUUCCUUCUUCUCCUUGUGGUGAGAAGAGGAAGAUCUUUUCUCCUUCCGCUUGGAGGAGUUCUUCUUCUUCUCCCUUUUCUUGGUGCGGGACUCUUCCGAUGAGGUGCUCCCUUGGCUUGUAGUGGGCUUGUCGCCGGUCUCCAUCUCCUUCUUGGCGUGAUCUCCCGACAUCACUUCGAGCGGUUAGGCUCUAAUGAAGCACCGGGCUCUGAUACCAAUUGAUAGUCGCCUAGAGGGGGGGGGGGGUGAAUAGGGCGAAACUGAAAUUUACAAAAAUAAUCACAACUACAAGCCGGGGUUAGCGUUUAGUAAUAAUAAACGAGUCCGCAAGAGAGGGAGCAAAACAAAUCGCAAGCAAAUAAAGAGAGUGACACGUGGAUUUGUUUUACCGAGGUUCGGUUCUUGCAAACCUACUCCCCGUUGAGGAGACCACAAAGGCCGGGUCUCUUUCAACCCUUCCCUCUCUCAAACGGUCCCUCGGACCGAGUGAGCUUUCCUUCUUCUCAAUCAACCGGGAACAAAACUUCCCCGCAAGGGCCACCACACAAUCGGUGCCUCUUGCCUCGGUUACAAUUGAGUGUUGAUCACAAGAGCAAAAAGAGAAAGAAAGAAUGCGAUCCAAGCGCAAGAGCUCAAAAGAACACGGCAAAUCUCUCUCGCUAGUCACUAAAGGCUUGAGUGGAAUUGGAGAGGAUUUGAUCUCUUUGUAUGUGUCUAGAAUUGAAUGCCUAGCUCUUGUAAGUGGUUAGAAGUUGGAAAACUUGGAUGACAAUGAAUGUGGGGUGGUUGGGGUAUUUAUAGCCCCAACCACCAAACUUGACCGUUGGCUGAAGCCUUCUGUUCGAUGGCGCACCGGACAGUCCGGUGCACACCGGACAGUCCGGUGCCCCUGCCACGUCAUCACUGCCGUUGGAUUCUAGCCGUUGGAGCUUCUGACUUGUGGGCCCGCCUGGGUGUCCGGUGCACACCGGACAUGCACUGUUUGAUGUCCGGUGCACCGGUAUGGGCGAUUCUGACUUCUGCGCGCGCUGUGCGCGCAUUAAAUGCAGCGCAGGGAGCCGUUGGCGCCGCAAGGAGCCGUUGCUCCGCUGGCACACCGGACAGUCCGGUGCACACCGGACAGUCCGGUGAAUUAUAGCGGAGCGGCUGCCGCGCGAACCCGAGGCUGGCGAGUUCAGGAGGCCGAGCUUCCUUGGAGCACCGGACAUGUCCGGUGCACACCGGACAGUCCGGUGAAUUAUAGCGCGCCGGCUUCCGAGAAUUCCCGAGAGUGAAGAGUUGGAGUCUGAGUCCCCUGGUGCACCGGACAGGUACUGUUCACUGUCCGGUGGCACACCGGACAGUCCGGUGCGCCAGACCAGGGGUGCCCUCGGUUGCCCCUUUGCUCCUUUAUUGAAUCCAAAACUUGGUCUUUUUAUUGGCUGAGUGUUAACCUUUUACACCUGUAUAAUCUAUACACUUGGGCAAACUAGUUAGUCCAAAGACUUGUGUUGGGCAAUUCAACCACCAAAAUUAUAUAGGAACUAGGUGUAAGCCUAAUUCCCUUUCAAAGCGCACCCGACCUGGGCGCAGGGCAACACGAAGGCCGCGGGUCUCCCCUUUGCCUGUUUCUUCCCCCCUUCGUGCUCCGUCUCACGCCGACCCAUCUGGGCUGGGACACGCGGCGACAAUUUACUCGUCGGUCCAGGGACCCCUCGGGGUCGAAACGCCGACAAUUGGCGCGCCAGGUAGGGGCCUGCUGCGUGUUGACGAACAGCUUCCCGUCAAGCUCCAGAUGGGUAGUCUCCAGCAACCUUUCCAACCUGGGACGAUGCUCCAUUUCAGGAGUCUUAAGUUCAUGUCCCUCGACGGCAGCUACGACAUGAUACUCCUUCCUCCGCCGCGCGUCGGAAUCAACGACGUCUUCCCAACGUGGCGGAAGAACAACAUCCAGGUUUGUCCCAUCAUCUCCCCCACCAACAGAGAAGGAGGCAGGGCAACCGUGGCCAAGCAGGAGGCGGCACCUCGUCGGCUGUCGAGCAAGUCGACGACGCCGGUGCCCCAGCGGGGGACACGUCGGGCUUCGACCUUGCGUCUGAGACAAAGAUGAGCGUCGUUUCCCCGCAACACGCCAACCCCAAGCAGACGAACGACGCCAGCACGCUCGCGAAGGACUUGCUGGGCGUCACCCUCGUACCUGAGACGACGGUGCAGUCCGCCCCUGACACGACUUCGUCACCACCCGUCGACCAAGAGGUACCGACCGAUUCCCAUCUCGUGCCUUUUGGAUUCAGCUUCGACCCACCAAGCGACCCACCGAAGCCUUCAUAGAGGAAUGUACCAACUCUCCAGGGUAACAUCUACGGUCCCCCUGGGACAGACUGACGGCCGUCUCGACCUACGGACCCUCGGGUUCCGAGGAAGAUGAUGAGCCCGACUUUUGUUGGGACUUCUCCGGGCUCGGUAACCCCAGUGCCAUGCGGGACUUCAUGACCGCAUGCGACUACUGCCUCUCUGAUUGUUCCGAUGGUAGCCGCAGCUUCGGCGACGAGGACUACGGCCCAAGUCGUGAAUGUUUCCACGUCGAUCUAGGGGGUCCCGGCGAAGGCAACCAUCUUGGUAUGCCGGAAAACGGCGAUCCCCCUAGGCCUGCGCCUCGCGUUGACAUCCUUCGAGAGCUAGCUGUGGUCCCAGUCCCUGCGGGGGGGUCAGGACGCACAGCUCAAGCAAAUCCGCGAGAUGCAGGCCAGGCUCAACGAGGGAGCGGGAACACUUGAGCAGUUCCGGCGGAACAUCGGGCAGGAAUGGGCAGACCAAGCUCUGGCCGGAGAAGCGCGUCAUCUACCCCAGGGCAUCCAGCGCUGCAUUGCCGAUGACGUCAGGGCAAGGCCGCCACCGGCUUCCAGUGGGGUCAGCCAGAACCUGGCUGUGGUAGCAAUACUACUCCGCGCGAUGCCGGAACCAUCGACCACCGAAGGGCGGCGCAUCCAGGGAGAGCUCAAGAUUCUCCUGGAGGAUGCCGCGGUCCGACGGGCUGAAAGCUCUGCCUCCCGAAGGCAGGGGCACCCCUCGGAGCAUCGCGCUGCGACUUCCCGAUUCGUGCGGGAAGCCUCGGUCCACACCGGGCGCACGCGCAACACGGCGCCUGCGGCCCCGGGUCGCCUCGGCAACGAGCACCACCACCGCAACCGUCGAGCCCACCUCGACGAGAGGUUGCGCCGAGGCUACCACCCCAGGCGUGGGGGACGCUAUGACAGCGGGGAGGAUCGGAGCCCCUCGCCCGAACUACCCGGUCCGCAGGCUUUCAGCCGGGCCAUACGACGGGCACCGUUCCCGACCCGGUUCCGAACCCCGACUACCAUCACAAAGUACUCGGGGGAGACGAGGCCGAAACUGUGGCUCACGGACUACCGACUGGCCUGCCAGCUGGGUGGAAUGGAUGAUGACAACCUCAUCAUCCGCAACCUCCCCCUGUUCCUCUCCGACACCGCUCGAGCCUGGCUGGAGCAUCUGCCUCCGGGGCAGAUCUCCAACUGGGACGACCUGGUCCAAGCCUUCGCUGGCAACUUCAAGGGCACGUACGUGCGCCUUGGGAACUCUUAGGAUCUCCGAGGCUGCCGCCAGCAACCGGGAGAGUCUCUCCGGGACUACAUCCGACGAUUCUCGAAGCUGCGCACCGAGCUGCCCAACGUCACCGACUCGGACGUCAUCGGCGCGUUCCUUGUAACACCUCAGGUGUUACCAUGGCUAGGGCACAUCUAUGCACUAAGGACUAUGAUCACAUGUGGCAAAAACUUAAGGAGCAAAGUGUAAGAGCCUUGGAGGCUAGGUUUUAACCAAGAGAUGUGAAUGACCAAAAGCAUUACCCUAGUUGUGUGCAAUUCUCACUUUGGACAAGGGGGAAGUAAACCCUAGACCUCUCUUGAACCCUAUCUCUUAAGCACCUUGGUUAAAGGGGAGAAUUUAAGCAAAGGUGCAAGUCAUGACCAAACCUUUGGCACAAAGUUAAGUAACUUAUUAACCUACAAUUAUAGAGAGGAAACAUUGCUAAAAGGCCCCUUAAGAAACCCCAAAUCCAUUCCCUAAGUAGAGAAAGAGCUAGAGCUCUCUAAUUCUCUCUAAGUCAAAAUCUAUACCUAAUCUAAAGAUCCACCGUGUUCACCUUGAAGAUGGCACCAAAACCACCUAAGUUCUAUACCAAAAAUGUGGCAUACCACCUAGGGCACCCCCUGGAAAAAGUUGACACAGAGCCCUUGACGUUUGACAUGCCUUGGCAUUGUUUUUGUCGCGAGGUGGGCAGGGAGACAUACCUGAUUUGGCGUCCAAAGAUCUCCCUACCUAGGGCAUAUCUGCCAUGGCGACUCACGGAUGAGAGACAUCCCUAGGUGCCAGGAAAAGACUCGCGCCGGAUUUUUGCCAAGAUUCGCACGCUUGCGACUUGGGCGAGCUGUGGAACACGGGCAGAAGAAAACCUCCACGUGUUCGACGCGCUCUGCGCACGCCAGAGCACGCCCGCGCCCGACCCCGCGCGCGCGCCGAGCUGCGCCAGUGUCCCCCGUGUGUGCCCGCGCCUAUAAAGCCUACUCAGGCGUCGACCAUACCCCUCCGCACGCGCUCAACCUCGCCGGAGCUCAAACUCACCGGCGUUUGCCCGUGCAUGGAGUGUCCGCGGCCACCCGAACCCCUGCCACCGUAGACCGGCCAACCAAGCCCUUCCCAACCCCGUUCGACCCUCGGAGAGGACUCAGCACACCUCGGUGAAGCUCCCCGAGCGAGGAAUCAAAGUCUGCUUCGCCGGAGAGGCCAGUCCACGGUCGCCGGACUCCCUCCGACCGCCGGCGAGCGUAGACCGGGUAAGCCACUGCGCCAUUUUUUUGAUUCAAUGCACAGAUAGCCUCUACAUCACCCCGUGAAGCUCACCGGGCCAUUGGAUUGAACUAGAUCGCCGUGAAUUGGCCGGCACACCCGCCGCCGAUGAGGACACCCGCCUGCGCACGUGGACCGAGCGAUUCCGACCACCCCCGCCGUCAAGCCGUACACCGUUGUGACCGCUAGAGCCUCCCCGAGCCAACCCCGCCCCUCGCCGGACCUCUCUCGCCGCCGAUAAGCCGCGCCGCCCUUUUCUUUCCCGCGGGUACUGUUUACAUUAGGGAAAGGACCUCGGGGAAGAAGAAGGAAAGGUCAGGGAGAUUUUUGAACUGUCAGUGACUCAGGGGAAUAGUGGCGCAGGGGUAGAUUUGAGUGGGUUGAUUUGGAUUAAACCCAGGGUCCUCGGUGUAAACUGUUUUUCCAGGAAACCUUUAUUAAAUCUGAUUUAAAAUUUGAACAGAACUUGAAUAAUUCAUAACUUCUGUUUUAUUCAUCCAAAUUUAGUCAAACCAAUUUUGUCAGAUCUUAAAUAAUAUAAACUACUUAGGAAAAAUAUAAAACCCCUAUGUACUAUAGAAAACUUUAGGGUUCUGAUUUAAUUAUUGUUUUGGCCAAAAGCUAAGUAAUAGGAAUAAAAAUAGUUGCACUGUUUGACUAAGGUUAGGAAAAUUUGGAGAAGUUUAUGUCCACCUACUGACCUGUUUAAAAAUGCUAAACCUCUCUGUCCACCCCAUUAAGUUAGUUUUUGCCAUUUAUUUCACAAUAUGCUUAAGGUUAAGAAAAAUAGAAAAGGUGAUUUAAAUAAGGAACUAGGGGACACCCCUAUUUUUGUUAGAGUACUUAUUCAAUGGAGUUUACUAGAAAAAUCUAUUAUACCCUGGUUUAGUAUAAAAUAAGUUGGAUACCUUUUAUUUUAAGAAAACAAGGAAAACUUAGAAAAACCCUACAAAAAUAACCCCAAGGUGAAAACACCCCAACCCUUGGGAUAGUUAAUGUUUUGUUAUUAAGAACUUAGGAAAAAUAUGAAAUCUGUUGUUUGACAUUUUUCAAAUGACAAUGUAGUAGAAAGUGCCUUUUUGGCAUUAAACUUUAGAAAAUCAUAACUAAAUAACCAUUCCUUAGCCUUCUGUGAUUUUUGGCACAGAAGCUUAUUAUUACUGUUAGAUGCCAACAAAAAUAACCCUUAGGACAGAACCCACCCCUAAUCAAGAGUUGUAGUGCAAAGUGGCCCAUUUACACAACUUUUGUUAUUUUUGUCUAGAGCAUAGCCUUUUAAAUUUGAACCUCAAAAUCCUAGAACAGGCUAUAUUGACCAAGGACAACCCACUUAAUUUUUACAGAAUUUUUGGAAAAAAAAAGUUAAACCACUGUUAUAAUUCAAACCUACACUAGAAACUAUAAAUAGAAAAUAAAGAAAGGAAAAAUGAAUAAUAGAAAUUAGUGUCAUCCUAAAACCCUUUGUAAGUUGUCCACAAAAUUAUAUUAAGGAAAUACCAACCCACUAUGCCUAUCCCUAACCAAGAGUGAUAAGCAUAAACCACUAAAAGCCCCGUAUGACCAAGAAACCCUAAGUUAAUCAUUAACUUAGUUUUUCUUCCUUUAGCAUAAUGUUAUUAAAUCCUGCAUAAUCAUGACAUACAUGUUCAUUACAUUUCGAUAGACUGUAACCUCGCUGACGGAGAGUACGUCCUCGUGCCGGAGCAAGGAGCUGCUCAGGAGGUAGCCCCGGAUCCAGCACCAGAGCCUGCGCCAGAAGAUCUGCCUGCCACAGCCUUGGAAGGCAAGCCCCGGUUUAUACAUAACCUAUUAUUUAUGCUAUUUUACUACACUUAUUGAUUGUAGGAUUGAAUGUGCACUUAAGUGUAGGAGUUGUGUGAAACCCUAGUUGCAUGAUCUCAGGAAUCCUGUUGAGAUGAAUAGUAGUAUGCUAGGUCGAGUAGCUGCUUUAUUAAUUAGGAUCUCGGUAGAAGUCGAGUGAUUUUUCUAGCACUCGCACGAGGUCAGGAAAUUGGUUGUAUCCACUUUCUUCUCAUAAUGAUGCUGGUUGUGGACAACAAUCCAUGGGGAUUGGUUGUCCACGGGAUAAAAAUUUGAAUAAGGAUUAAGGUGUGGUACCGUGAGUCAAGCGUUUGAACGUACUAAACAUAUACCGAGAAAUAUGGUAAAUUGGUAAGCCUAGUACCUGAUUGAACCUGGCAGCAGAUUGCCCUCCUCACGCGACCUGAGACGAGGUCUCCCAUUCCAGUUAUGGUGGGUACAAGUGCGGUCACUGCACGACGGCAGUCGGGGUCAGUGAGGCAUUGUACACCAAGGCGGUGAGCCCCUCUCUGCUGACGGGGAAUCGAUGGGGACGGUUGAUGUGUGUGGGGACGGAGUGCCCCGGCAUGUCGUGUGUUUAGGUUUACCUUGCAAGGAUAAAAACUCGAUUCGAAUUGUCUGCUUCUCGCAGCUAAUUAGACUGCUUGAUCCAUGCUGCUACAUUGAGUAACAAGUGGAAUUGUGAUGAGAUGAUACAAGAUGUUGAUUGCUAAAAAUGUUUGCUACUAUGUAUGAGUAGAUAGUACAUCUUUAGCCUUAAGAGAGUCACACUUAAUUUGACAAAGUUAAAAACUUGAUUUAGAAACUCAGCUAGUGCUUUUGGCAACCAAACCCCACAGCCAAACAGCUGCAUGUCUAGAGGUAGAGGAGUAGAUUCCUCACACCGGGUAAGUCUAGCUGAGUAUUAGUAUACUCAGCCUUGCUUGUGGCAUAAUUUUACAGGUUCUCUGGAGGACAUGGUUGCUGGAGUGACUUGGUCGUCCAUCUUGCCACCGGGUUGGACUAUCGAGUGGGACCCUACCUCGGCUGAGGAGGAGCAUGAGAAGUGAUGGGACAGGCUUCCCCAACUCUCUGUUUAUUUACCGUUAGUUUUAUUCCGCUGCAUUUCGAACAAUGAUGACUACUUUUGCAAAACUCCGAUGGUGAUGUAAUAAUUUAAUACUCCUUAAUGUAUGGUUUUACGUUUUAUUGUAUUUGCUCUGUGACUCACCAUCGAGUGAGAUUGUGGUACUUGAUCCUGUCAGUGGCCUUAUCGGACUAGAUCCGAGGGAUUGACGGGUUAUUCUCAUUUAAGUGUGGUCUAGCCUCUAAGGUGGGACUUGGGCACUUAAGUCAGAAUAAUUCGGGCAGUUCCGCCACAGCUGGUAUCGGAGCUUGUACCACAACAGAGGAAUCAAUAAAAUAUAAAUACCAUCUUUUUCCGAAGUAAAACUUGAUAGAAACAAUGUUGGAUAGAUCGUAGGACGAGCAGGAUAGACCUAGGACGUGAAGCCUUAGGCUGAUAGAAGGGUAGCUAGGUGGCUAAGUGAUUAGGCCCUACAGGCCACUUUAAGGGAUGGGAGUUCUUCCCUAUUCCCUUUACAUUGCUGUGAGGUCGUUCAGGACGAGCAUGCAUGCAUUCUUAAAUUAAACAAAUGGAAAAUUUAGUAAGGACUUAAAUUAUGACCAACUAUGUUUCCCAGUACCAUUUUGUUUUAAUUAGAGAGAAGCUGAGUCUUAUUUUUCUUGUUCUUUUUAUAAUUCUGUUCUUUUACUUACGCUUAACCGUACACAGAUUACUUCCCACGGAUCCUCAGACGACGGGAAUGCACUGUCCCACACUGACGGGCUUGCACGAAAGGGCUUUCCCCGCAUUUUGUGGGAGGUACUUCAGGGGGCCGGAUACACGACACCUCCUCAGUACGCGGUGCAGCAGUUCGAGAAGCAUCGAGUGCCCCGCUGUAGGGUGAGGAUGACCCUGGAGCCUCAUCCCCUACAGCCAGGCUAGCGUUCACUGGACUCUGAGUCAUUUGGAUACCGUGCUGAGGACACGAUCGAGGCGAUUGCUCUGCACAGGUUGACCACGUUCUGUGGAUUCCACCCCUUGGAGCUGUCUACCCACCCCAUUGGCUUGUUCCCCGCAGAAAGGGAAGACGACCCAAUGUGGAAGGAUCGGGUGGAGCAUGCCAAGGAUAUCUGGGCUAUCUACCCAGGUCAGACUGCUCACUUGACAGUACGGUGCAUGAAUGCCCUGUACCGGUUGCAAGUGAUGCGUAGUGAGGCAAUGUCUCAUCUGAUGGCACUAUUGGAGGGAACAAAUAUCACCUUGGACAACAGAGAAGAGCUUGUGGUUGAUUUGUCCACUGAGAUGGUGGAAAAGGACUUGCAGGUGGAGCAGCUAUCCAAUGAGAUCCAAGAGCUGGAGGAAUUAGUGGGUACCAGGGAGAACACCAUCGAGGUUCUUGAGGAUCAGCUCAUUAAUACCCAGCAACAGCUUGCCGAGGCCAAUGAGCACCUGGAUAUGCAUCACCAGGAGAUCCAGGAUAUGGAGGCCAACGAGGACGUCGACAUCGAGGGAGGAGAGGAGCCUGCCUCCAGCUUGGACACUGCUGGCUCAGGGAGACCACCUUCCCCCGAGUCGAGUGUUGCCUCGUUCGCUCACUAGGUAUCAGGGAUAGAGUUAGAAGUCGGUGAUGGUAGGACUCCUCACAGCUAGCUUAGCUUUUGCACCCUUGGAGUACUAGGCUAGGUGGAGUUGAGUCUUUUUGGGACCAUUGAUGUAAUCGUGAUGAACUCUUUUAGAAGCAUGGUUGAUGGAUGCUAUUAGUUUUUAAGUUGGGAAGGAAAGUUAUGCCUUUUGAAAUCCUUUUUGUUUAUGUCGGAAUCUAUCAAUUCACCUUUGACUCCUUCACCGCGAUUAAACCUUAAACUUGAAGAUAUGGUAUUAAGUAUAUAUGUGAUUUUUCAGAUGGCCGGGAGACAGCGUCGUGGCCAGAAUGAGCGCGUUCCUCCACCGCCGCCACCGCCUCCCACUCUGCAGGAGCUAAUGGCUCAGCAGAAUGAGAUCUUGAGGCAGCUAGCUCAGCGUCAGCCACCACCUCAGCACUAUGGUGGUGGAGAUCAUUAGCGUCACCCCGCGACAGCUACCUACCAGGAGUUCCUCAGUACCCAGCCUCCAUUGUUCACCAGGGCAGAGGACCCACUUGAUGCAGAUGUGUGGUUGAGAGUAGUGGAAUCCAAAUUCCCGCUACUCCAUGGAGCUUGUUUAGAGGUCACUAAAGUCAGGUUCGCCACCCAGCAGCUUCGCGGACCCGCAAGGACUUGGUGGGACCAUUUUCUUGCUAUGCAGCCAGAGGACCGAGAGGUGGAAUGGAGAGAGUUCAAGGCAGCUUUCAGGGGACACCACAUACCAGCCGGGAUUAUGGACCAAAAGCUCAACGAGUUUCUGGCACUCACUCAGGGCAACAGAACAGUAUUACAGUAUGCUCAGGCUUUUAAUGACCUGUGCCAGUAUGCUGGAUAUCAUGUAGAUACGGACGAGAAGAAGAGAGACAUGUUCAGGAGGGGGCUCAGCACUAAGCUCCGUGACCGUCGCAACACCGUCAGGGCCAAUAGCUAUAAUGAGUUGGUCAACAUGGCCAUCUCCUAGGAGGACUGUAUCACAGCUUGUCAGGCAGAAAAGAAGAGGAAGACCCCUGUGGCAGGACCCUCAGCUCAGCCACAGCGCUUUAGGAUUAUGUCUGACACUCAGAACAGGGGACCUCAGCAGCAGCAAGGGCGAUGGGUGAUCCGACCACAGCAGCAGCAGCAGCAGGCACCCAACCGCACCCAGUUUCCAGCUCAGAGGAACAAUCAACAGCAGCAGCAGUAUCGCCAGGCAAAUGACAACAGGUGUUUCACAUGCGGCAACACCGGACAUUAUGCCAAGAAUUGCCCCAGGAACUAGCAGAGGCAAGGGUAGACUGUUAAUCAGAAUCAAGGCAAGAGACAGAAGGUGCAAGUGAGGCAAGGCAGGCUGAACUUCACCACCAUGGCUGAUAUUCCAGAGGGGGCACCCGUCAUGACUGGUAUCUUUACAGUUUUGAAUUAUCCUGCUAUUAUUCUUUUUGAUUCUGGUGCAUCGCAUAGUUUUAUCAGUGCCAAGUGCCAGCUGCCCUUUCACCACACCGAUGGGGGAAUUACAAUUUCAACACCAGGAGGCAGGGUUGCCACUUAUCAAAUCAACAGGCAAGUGCCUAUAAGAUUUGGUAGUCUUGUGAUUAUAACCACCCUUCUUAUCUUAGGAUUGGAUAGCAUGGAUAUUAUAUUGAGAGCUGACUGGUUGACCAGGCAUCAGGCAGUAUUGGAUAUUGCAGCCAGGGCCAUUGAAAUUCAUUCCCCUGCUUAUGGCGAGACUAUUUUAUAUUUGCCCGACCAGGGAUGCACCCGUUCUUGUGCCUUCGUUAUGAUAGAAUCCCCAGUGGAAAAGAUCCCAGUGGUCUGUGACUACCCGGAUGUUUUUCCAGAUGAAUUGCCAGGGAUGCCGCCUGACCGAGACAUCGAGUUCGCCAUCGAAUUGCAACCCGGGACUGCUCCUAUCUCCAAGAGACCCUAUAGGAUGCCUCCCGCGGAAUUGGCAGAAUUGAAAAAGCAAUUGCAGGAGUUGUUGGACAAGGGGUUUAUUCGCCCAAGUACUUCACCAUGGGGAUGUCCUGCCUUAUUCAUGAAGAAAAAGGAUGAGAGUUUGAGAAUGUGUGUUGACUACCGCCCUCUCAAUGCGGUGACUAUCAAGAACAAAUACCCACUGCCCCGCAUUGAUGUUCUAUUCGAUCAGUUGGUAGGAGCCAAAGUGUUCUCUAAGAUAGAUCUUCGCUCAGGUUACCAUCAGAUCAAGAUCCGUGCCAGCGAUAUUCCCAAGACGGCCUUCUCAACCGGAUAUGGGCUUUAUGAGUUUUUGGUGAUGUCUUUUGGGUUGACAAAUGCCCCGGCUUAUUUUAUGUACUUGAUGAACUCAGUAUUCAUGCCAGAGUUGGACAAGUUCGUGGUCGUUUUCAUUGAUGAUAUUCUGGUCUAUUCCAAGAAUGAAGACGAACAUACUGAGCAUCUGCACAUCGUGCUUCAGCGACUGCGCGAUCAUCGUCUUUAUGCUAAGUUGUCUAAAUGUGAAUUCUGGCUGAAGGAAAUUAAAUUCUUGGGUACAAUCAUUGGUCGAGGGAAGCUCAAUGCCUUCGAAGCAAUACUCCAUCCAGCAUAUCUUUGCAUGAAGAUACCUUCAGAAUAAGGACCCAUUGCGGUACAUGGGAGUCAAGAAGCUACCAGGAGAGCCGAAGGGAGUUGGACGGAUUCGAAGGCCAUCCAUAAUAUAGAUGAAGCUGAAGCUCACUAGCAAUAUAAGCACAAAAGAGAAAAGGCUGCUUCGGCAGAUCAACCAAAGCCCAUGCUUCUGUGUGAAGACAUAGCUGGGCAAAAAGUGCUAUUGAGAUCUCAAUUAUCUGAUGAACAAGAGAAGACCUUGCUGAGAUUUUUAUUCAACAACAAAGAUGUUUUUGCUUGGUCAACCAAUGAUCUCUAUGGUGUUAAUAGAGAUAUUAUUGAACACUCACUCAAUGUAGACCCGUCAUUUAGACCAAGAAAGCAAAGGCUUCGGAAAAUGUCCGAUGAUAAGGCCGAAGGUGCACGGAACAAAGUAAAAAGACUUUUAAGUGCCGGUGUUAUUAGAGAAGCGACCUUGUCGUCGCCGCUGAGUACAAGAACCCUCGGAAACCUGCCGAAGGUGCCAAUCUCGAUAAGAUGCUCAAGGAGCCGUGCCCUUAUCAUCAGGGGCCCGUCAAGCACACCCUUGAGGAGUGCGUCAUGCUUCGGCGCCACUUUCACAAGGCCGGGCCACCGGCGGAAGGUGGCAGGGCCCACAACAACGACAAGAAGGAGGAUCACAAGGCAGAGGAGUUCCCCGAGGUCCACGACUGCUUCAUGAUCUACGAUGGGCAAGUGGUGAACGCCUCGGCUCGGCACCGCAAGCAAGAGCGUCGGGAGGUCUGCUCGGUAAAGGUGGCGGCGCCAGUCUACCUAGACUGGUCUGACAAGCCCAUCACCUUCGACCAGGGCGACCACCCCGACCGCGUGCCGAGCCCGGGGAAAUACCCGCUCAUUGUCGACCCCAUCAUCGGCAACAUCAGGCUCACCAAGGUCCUCAUGGACGGAGGCAGCAGCCUCAACAUCAUCUACGCCGAGACCCUCGGGCUCCUGCAGAUCGAUCUAUCCUCGAUCCGAACAGGCGCGACGCCUUUUCACGGGAUCAUCCCCGGGAAACGCGUCCAACCCCUCAGACAACUCGAUCUGCCCGUCUGCUUCGGGACUCCCUCCAACUUCCGAAGGGAAACCCUCACGUUCGAGGUGGUCGGGUUCCGAGGAACCUACCACGCAGUACUAGGGAGGCCAUGCUACGCCAAGUUCAUGGCCGUCCCCAACUACACCUACCUCAAGCUCAAAAUGUCGGGCCCCAACGGGGUCAUCACCGUCGGCCCCACGUACCGACACGCGUACGAAUGCGACAUGGAGUGCGUGGAGUACGCCGAGGCCCUCGCCGAAUCUGAGGCCCUCGUCACCGACCUGGAGAGCCUCUCCAAGGAGGCGCCAGACGUGAAGCGCCACGCCGGCAACUUCGAGCCAGCAGAGACGGUUAAGUCCGUCCCCUCGACCCCAGCAACGACGCCUCCAAGCAGAUACGGAUUGGCUCCGAGCUCGACCCCAAAUAGGAAGCAGUGCUCGUCGACUUUCUCCGCGCGAACGCCGAACUCUUCGCGUGGAGUCCCUCGGACAUGCCUGGCAUACCGAGGGAUGUCGCCGAGCACUCGCUGGAUAUCCGAGCUGGAGCCCGACCCGUGAAGCAGCCUCUGCGCCGAUUCAACGAAGAAAAGCGCAGAGCCAUAGGCGAGGAGAUCCACAAGCUGAUGGUCGCAGGGUUCAUCAAAGAGGUAUUCCAUCCCGAAUGGCUUGCCAACCCUGUGCUUGUGAGAAAGAAAGGAGGGAAAUGGCGGAUGUGUGUAGACUACACUGGUCUAAAUAAAGCAUGUCCGAAGGUUCCCUACCCUCUGCCUCGCAUCGAUCAAAUCGUGGAUUCCACUACUAGGUGCGAAACCCUGUCUUUCCUCGAUGCCUACUCAGGGUAUCACCAAAUCAAGAUGAAAGAGUCCGACCAACUCACGACUUCUUUCAUCACACCUUUUGGCAUGUACUGCUACGUUACUAUGCCAUUUGGUUUGAGGAAUGCGGGUGCGACAUACCAAAGGUGCAUGAACCACGUGUUCGGAGAGCACAUUGGUCGAACGGUCGAGGCUUACGUCGAUGACAUCGUAGUCAAGACGAGGAAAGCCUCCGACCUCCUCUCCGACCUUGAAACGACAUUUCGGUGUCUCAAGGCGAAAGGCGUAAAACUCAAUCCCGAGAAGUGCGUCUUCGGAGUCCCCCGAGGCAUGCUCUUGGGAUUCAUCGUCUCCGAGCGGGGCAUCGAGGCCAACCCGGAGAAAAUCACGGCCAUCACCAACAUGGGGCCCAUCAAGGACUUGAAAGGCAUACAGAGGGUCAUGGGAUGUCUUGCGGCUCUGAGCCGCUUCAUCUCGCGCCUCGGCGAAAGAGGCCUACCUCUGUACCGCCUCUUAAGAAAGACCGAGUGCUUCACUUGGACCCCCGAGGCCGAGGAAGCCCUUGGGAACCUGAAAGCGCUCCUUACCAGCGCACCCAUCCUGGUGCCUCCCGCUGCCGGAGAAGCCCUUUUGAUCUACGUCGCCGCUACCACUCAGGUGGUCAGCGCCGCGAUCGUGGUUGAAAGACGAGAAGAAGGGCAUGCAUUGCCCGUCCAGAGGCCGGUCUACUUCAUUAGUGAGGUACUGUCCGAGACCAAGAUCCGCUACCCACAAAUUCAGAAGCUGCUGUAUGCAGUGAUUCUGACACGGCGGAAGUUGCGACACUACUUCGAGUCUCAUCCGGUGACUGUGGUGUCAUCCUUCCCCUUGGGGGAGAUCAUCUAGUGCCGAGAGGCCUCGGGUAGGAUUGCAAAGUGGGCAUUGGAAAUCAUGGGCGAGACAAUCUCGUUCGCCCCUCGGAAGGCCAUCAAGUCCCAAGUCUUGGUGGACUUUGUGGCUAAAUGGGUCGACACUCAGCUUCUGGCAGCUCCGAUCCAACCGGAACUCUGGACCAUGUUUUUCGACGGGUCGCUGAUGAAAACAGGGGCAGGCGCGGGCCUGCUCUUCAUCUCACCCCUCGGGAAGCACCUCCGCUACGUGUUGCGCCUCCAUUUCCUGGCGUCCAACAACGUGGCUGAAUACGAGGCUCUGGUCAACGGGUUGCGCAUCGCCAUCGAGCUAGGGGUCCGACGCCUCGACGCUCGCGGUGACUCACAGCUUGUCAUCGACCAAGUCAUGAAGAACUCCCACUACCAUGACCCGAAGAUGGAAGCCUACUGCGAUGAGGUUCGGCGCCUGGAGGACAAGUUCUACGGGCUCGAGCUCAACCACAUCGCCUGGCGGUACAAUGAGACUGCGGACGAGCUGGCUAAGAUAGCCUUGGGGCGGACAACGGUUCCCCCGGACGUCUUCUCCCGAGACCUACAUCAACCCACAGUCAAGACCGACGACACGCCCGAGCCUGAGAAGGUCUCGGCCCUGCCCGAGGCGCCCUCGGCUCAGCCCAAGGCACUCUCGGCCCCCGAGGGUGAGGCACUGCGCAUCGAGGAAGAGCGGAAUGGGGUCCCGCCUAAUCGAAACUGGCAGACCCCGUACCUGCAAUAUCUCCACCGAGGAGAGCUACCCCUCGACAAAGCCGAAGCUCGGCGACUGGCGCGGCGCGCCAAGUCAUUCGUCUUGCUGGGUGACGGGAAGGAGCUCUACCACCACAGCCCCUCUAGCAUCCUCCAGCGAUGCAUAUCCAUCGCCGAAGGCCAGGAUCUCUUACAAGAAAUACACUCGGGGGCUUGCGGUCAUCACGCAGCGCCUCGUGCCCUUGUUGGAAAUGCUUUCCGACAAGGUUUCUACUGGCCGACCGCGGUGGCCGACGCCACUAGAAUUGUCCGCACCUGCCAAGGGUGUCAAUUCUACGCGAAGCAGACCCACCUGCCCGCUCAGGCUCUGCAGACAAUACCCAUCACCUGGCCGUUUGUUGUGUGGGGUCUGGACCUCGUCGGUCCCUUGCAGAAGGCGCCCGGGGGCUACAUGCACCUGCUGGUCGCCAUCGACAAAUUCUCCAAGUGGAUCGAAGUCCGACCCCUAAACAGCAUCAGGUCCGAACAAGCGGUGGCAUUCUUCACCAACAUCAUCCGUUGCUUCGGGGUCCCGAACUCCAUCAUCACCGACAACGGCACCCAGUUCACCGGCAGAAAGUUCCUGGACUUCUGCGAGGAUCACCACAUCCGGGUGGACUGGGCCACCGUGGCUCACUCCAUGACGAAUGGGCAGGUAGAACGUGCCAAUGGCAUGAUUCUGCAAGGACUCAAGCCGAGGAUCUACAAUGACCUCCACAAGUUCGGCAAGCGAUGGAUGAAGGAACUCCCCUCGGUGGUCUGGAGUCUGAGGACAACGCCGAGCCGAGCCACGGGCUUCACACCGUUCUUUCUAGUCUAUGGGGCUGAGGCCAUCUUGCCCACAGACUUAUAAUACGGUUCCCCGAGGACGAGGGCGUACGACGACCAAAGCAAUCGAACCAACCGAGAAGACUCAUUGGACCAGCUAGAAGAGGCUCGGGACGUGGCCUUACUACACUCGGCGCGGUAUCAGCAGUCCCUGCGACGCUACCACGCCCGAGGGGUUCGGUCCCGAGACCUCCAGGUGGGCGACUUGGUGCUUCGACUACGACAAGACGCCUGAGGGCGGCACAAGCUUACGCCUCCCUAGGAAGGUCUGUUCGUCAUCUCCAAGGUUUUGAAGCCCGGGACGUACAAGCUGGCCAACAGUCAAGGUGAGGUCUACAGCAACGCUUGGAACAUCCGACAGCUACGUCGCUUCUACCCUUAAGAUAUUUUCAAGCCGUUCAUAUACCUCGUUUACAUAUGAAGUCUAACCAUCAAGGAAGGGUUAGCCUUGCCUCGACAAAGCCCGACCCUCCCUCGGGGGCUAGAAGGGGGGAACCCCCUCUGCGUCAAAAUUUCCCUCAGAAGAAGCCUUUCUGCCAGAAUAUCUUUCGUGCUUUUUGACUACUUCGGUAGUAAGAUCGUGAAAACGACGGAGUACACGUAAGCAGGCAAGGCCGACCGAGCCGAGGGACUCCUACGCCUCCGGGAUACGGAUACCUCACUCAUCACCUUCUGCGAGAAGUAACUUGCGUUCAGAUGAGCGAUCCUGCUGACCGAACAAGCCUUAACGCUCAAAAGACUUUCCGCCGAAACGGCUUUUCAGGUUUUCUCGACCACGUCGAUAGUAGAAUCCCGCGGACGAGCAAGAGUACACGUAAGCGGCAAGGCUGACCGAGCCGAGGGAUUCCUACGCCUCCGGGAUACGGAUACCUCACUCAUCACCUUCCAUGAGAAGUAACUCUAGCUCGGAUAAACGAUUCUGCUACCGACGAGCAAGCCCUGAUACUCGAAACAAGAGGAAAAGAAACGCAGCUUUACAACACGACGACAGUAUGCUUGGGCCUCGGCAGCCGCAAAAACAUAUGCAUACUACAGGCGAACCGAUCCUGCAGGCUCAGACGUCGAUGGAGGGGGAGCAGCAGCACCCUCGGCGUCAACUCCACCUUCGGCGAAGUCCGACCGAGCCUCGGACGGCAACACGGGCGAAGGAUCUCCGCUCCGAAGGAUGACGUCAGCACAAAGCCGGGGCCAUCGCCGCCAGGGUCUCCUCCAGGAACCCGGCCCGAGCAGACGGCUCGGCCAGCCACCCCGAAGCCUCAGCCAGCUGUCCCCCGAGGACACCAGCCCGGCUCGUGGCCUCGGCAACUCGAUUCCGGCGUUGGUCCCGCCAGUGGAUGACCCGGCCAGGCCCCGGCCGACGAAGCUUCCUUUUUUGAGCCAACUCCGCCUCUGUCCACGCUGACACCGCUGCCCUCGGCCCCGGCUCACCAUAGAGCGGCCGAGGGUUUCUUAGACUAAGCAAGUGAGGCCUCGGGCGGCAAGGCCGACUGAGCCAAGGGAUUCCUACGCCUCCGGGAUACGGAUACCUCACUCUUCACCUUCCACACAGAGCGACUCACAUUUGGUCAAGCGGUUCGGCUAGCCGGCAGGCAAGUUCCAGUGGUCAAAAAUGAGGAAAAACAUGGUAUUACACCCAAAAAUACCUACAUGUUCAGGCCCUGAUAGCCACAAUGAACAAACAUCGGCACUCAAGGUGCCAUUACAAACGGAACUCUGGUUCCACCCCCGCAGGUACGAACAACCCCCCACAUUGGAAGGCCUGUGGGGCGACGAGACCCCAGGUGACUCACCGCUGCCCGCUCCGGCAGCAGCGACAACGACCUCCGCUCAGGCGGCCAAACAGCAGCAGUGAUGGCUUCAGGGCGGACGCUGCUGCAACAAGCCUCUCGCCCACGCCCCCACUCGAGGGGCGAGGACAAGCUAUCAAAGCCAAAGAGCCGGAGGCCCGGAGCGCGGAUGGUGGUGGUGAUCCCGUCGGUGACGAGGACUUCUUCAGCCGCCACCACCUCAGCGCCGACGAUGGAAGCCAUCUGCCCACCGGCAGAUCCCCACUCGGAUCCUCUCGGACGGGCGAGCACCGACCUUCGCGCAGAGGCGCCGUACCGGAGCAAAGGCAGGACAGCCCAAGAACACGAAUGCCGCCCUAGCAGCGCGCGACGUCUUGGGCGGUCCUCCGGUGCGCGCAGCGCGACAACCGCUCUCGCGGCGGGAGGGGGCACCGGGAGCCGAGCCAGAGCCAGCCGAGCCAGCGAGCCCAACGCGCUGAAGCUGACGACGCUCGCCGACGACCAGCCCCGUGUUGUCGAAGUCCGACCCUCCCGCUAGGCCGGUGAGCGCCCUCUCCCCUGAAUGCUGAGGGAGAAGGUGACCCACGAACCCGCGCGGGAGGUAGAGCUCCGGCUCAGCCCGCCCUCCGCCCCAGCCAGGAUGAUGAACAUCCUUGAAGCUGCGGGAGGGGCAGAGACCGCAGCCCGGCUCGCUUCUCCCCACCAUCGAACUGGUGGUCACCGUCUUGGGUGACCACCGGCGAGGGUAUGCAGCCGGGCUGCCUGAUCAAAAUCCUUGAAGCCGAGCGAUGGCUGAAAGGUACCAACUUCCGCGAAGUUGCGUUCCUCCAACGACGACAAGACGAAAGUAACGCGAGCGCUCCCCAUCCGGGGGCUCAGAAGGUGGAAGGGCGCGAUGCAUGAGGAGAGUGCGAAGACAUGAUUGCCAUCCAAGGGGGUCACCCUCCUUUUAAAGGCGACUCUUCCCACUUGCGUCCUCAGCCGGCGCGGACUGAGUCUUCUUCAACACGCUCCAAGGUCCUCCCCCUACGACACGGGGGCUGGGUCCCACGCGUCAUGCAAGCCGGCCCAGGGCAGAAGGAUCCAAAACCGCCACGCGCGGUGCACGCAACUGCCCAGCGGUUACAAGCAUUCCUCCACUAUCGCCCGGACCAGCGGGUGAAAGGGCGGACCGCCAUGCAGGCGGCAUGCAACCGCACCAAGGGGGCGCACCCUUUUGACUUCGACGCACCCAGCAUGGAGGCCUAGGCCCACACGUCAUGUAACCGGCGCGCCGGUUACUACGUGUAAGAAACUGCACCACCACUCGCGCCAGUACCGCGCCUCCUCGACUGCGCAACCGGUGCCGCGACUCGAGGCGACCCUGCGCAUGACCCGACAAUGCCAACCGAGCACAUCGGUCACGGGUCAGUCAGCCACGGGAGAAGGCGCGACGGUCGAUACGGUUAGAAAUGAGUCGGCAGUAAUGGCGGUGGCAGGCGGGUGGAAGCAGCAGUCAAGUCAUCAGCAAGCUCAUGUCCCCUCAUGGGGCAGCAGGAGAACCCUCUCCCACAGCGUGAAGACGACACGCCCGUGUUUCGUUCCUCGAAUGGCUCGUGCACGCGCAACGGCUGCCCCGCGAACCACUCGUCCCGUCGCAUUAACUCCGCGGCAGGGCAAGCGGCACCUUUGGCAGGCAAAGCAGGCGAUGCUUCACCUCCGCCAUGAUGACCGCGUCAAAAAAGGUGUGCCACGUCAUUCGAUUUCGUAUCCUUUUCCACUUCCUCUUCCUCUCUCUUGCUACAGGGACCAAGAAAGGGGAUACUCCAAAAAGGAUCCUUCUCCGCGAAGGAAGCGGGCCCCGAGCCGCCUACUGAUCAGAGGUUCGAAGGCUGGCCCCUCAGAAGGGUUCAACAGCCGCCUCAGAGCACUCGGGCUCCGCGCCCACUACUGGUCAGAGGUUCGAAGGCUGGCCCCUCGGAAGGGUUCAACGGCCGCCUUAGGCCACUCGGGCUCCGCGCCCACUACUGAUCAGGGGUUCGUAGGCUGGCCCCCGAAGGGUUCGACAGCCGCCUCAGAGCACACAGAGCGAGGGAUGACCCUAGGUACGUUCGAUACAUAACCAAGGCUCGGGCUACGCUCCCGAGGUACCCUGGGACAUUUCCGAGACCGACGGGAACGAUUUUGUAAUGGAAUCCCACCAGAGGGAGGCAUCGAGCCCUCGGACCCCGUCAAAAGGGGACCGGGUCCGGCGAAUCACCCGCAGGUACUUUUGGAGCGUGCCUCCGGGCCACUAGCCAACCCCUAACGAAUGGGUCACGGGCGUCCACUCGGAUUACCCGUUAGUAACUCACUGGAGACACCAUGUUCGGCACCCUCCGAGGGCAACAUGGCGCUUUCCCCCCCUCCUCCUUGCGGAAAGGCGACGCAGGGGCGUAUGAAAAAAGCCGAGUCUGUCCUUGACCGUCCUCUCACUCUGUGCGGAGGCUCAGGGGCUGCUCUCGCAAACCCAGCUCCGGCCAAACCGUUGACAGCAUCAACAUACCAGCCCGAGAACUUGGGACUCGACUAUGCACCCGGGCUACGGCCAGUUCGCAUGAGGGAACAACCAGACCGGCUGAAGCAUCACAAAACGCGCUAAGACCUUGAAGGAGUCAAACCACUCCUCCGAGGCCUCGGGGGCUACACCCGGCGGGUGCGCUCGCGCGCACCCACCGAAACGAAAUGCAACCGAGAAAGGCCGGUCCCCUUGCAAAAAAGUGCGACAAAAGCCUCCAAGCGAGUAUCAACACUCCCUUCGAGGCUCGGGGGCUACUGUCGGGGACCAUAAUUAGGGGUACCCCCAAGACUCCUAAUCUCAGCUGGUAACCCCCAUCAGCACGAAGCUGCCUGAUGGGCGCGAUUAAGGUCAAGGCUCAGUCCACUCAAGGGACACGAUCUCGCCUCGCCCGAGCCCAGCCUCGGGCAAAGGCAGCCGACCCCGGAGGAUUCACGUCUCGCCCGAGGGCCCCCUCAAGCAACGGACAAACCUUCGGCUCGCCCGAGGCCCAGUCUUCGCAGAGAAGCAACCUUGACCAGAUCGCCACACCAACCGACCGUAUCGCAGGAGCAUUUAAUGCAAGGAUCGCCUGACACCUUAUCCUGACGAGCGCUCUUCAGUCGACAGAGCCGAAGUGACCGCGGUCACUUCGCCGCUCCACUGACCGACCUGACAAGGAAACAGCGCCGCCUGCGUCGCUCCGACUACUGUGCCACUCGACAGAGUGAGACUGACAGCAGCUAAGUCUAGCCUCGGGCGACAUACGAAGCUCCGCCUCGCCCGACCCCAGGGUUCGGCCCCAACCUCGGCUCCGGAAGACGACGAACUUCGCCUCGACCGACCCCAGGGCUCAGACACAGCCUCGGCCUCGGAAGACGGUCUCCGCCUCGCCCGACCCGAGGGCUCGGACUCAACCUCGACCUCGGAAGACGGACUCCGCCUCGCCCGACCCCAGGGGUCAGACUCAGCCUCGACUCCGGAAGACGGACUCGACCUCGACCUCGGAGGAGCCUCCACCUCGCCCGACCUAGGGCUCGGACCGACCACGUCACAGGGGGCCAUCAUUACCCUACCCCUAGCUAGCUCAGGCUACGGGGAACAAGACCGGCAUCCCAUCUGGCUCGCCCCGGUAAACAAAUAAUGAUGGCGCCCCGCGUGCCCCAUGACGAUGGCGGCGCUCAGCCCCUUACGGAAGCAAGGAGACGUCAGCAAGGAUUCGACAACCCCGAUAGCUGUCCUUCCGUAGGGCUCCAGCUCUCCUCCGACGGCCACGACAUCACAUGAACAGGGUGCCAAAACCUCUCUGACUCCCACGACGGCAUGUACUUAGGGCUCUAGCUCCUCUCUGCUAGACACGUUAGCACACUGCUACACCCCCCAUUGUACACCUGGACCUUCUCCUUACGCCUAUAAAAGGAAGGUCCAAGGCUUUCGUACGAGAAGGUUGGCCGCGCGGGAGAACGGGCCGACGCGUAAGGCUCUCCCACGCGAACGCUUGUAACCCCGUACUACAAGCGCACCCGACCUGGGCACAGGGCAACACGAAGGCUGCGGGUCUCCCCUUUGCCUAUUUCUUCCCCCCUUCGUGCUCCGUCUCGCGCCGACCCAUCUGAGCUGGGACACGCGGUGACAAUUUACUCGUCGGUCCAGGGACCCCCCGGGGUCGAAACGCCGACAGUUAGUUAAUUCAUAUAGUUAAUUGUCUAGCUCAUUUAAUGUUGAUCAACUGAAAGUGGUCAUGUUUCUAUUUGUGCAUGUAGCUAAUCCUUAUUUUUGGAGCUAAGUAGAACUAGAGCACGUAACGUCUAGUUAUUCGUCUACCCGUAAUGCGCCUCGAGCAUAAGCUUUAACCCCUGUGAGACCUUCCCCCGUUUCUUUCUAACCAUGGUAAAUGUAAUAUCGUAUGUCAUAUUCUAUGCAUGUUUAAUCUACUUGUUCUCUUGUAUGGUGUACUGUUUGUUUCCUAAUUUGAAUGGAUGGAUGUAUGUAUGUUUGCACUCGCAUAGAGAACGAUCCGGUUGAAGAGCCCGAAGAACUCGCAGGAGAAGCCCCUGAGCAGCAGUCGGUUGAUGGAGGCAAGCGUCCCUUGACCUAUCUUUGUCCUAUUCAUUCUUUAAUUCACCUCCUGCAUUACACAUUUAUGCCUAAGGAUUGACUAGCUUUGUUAUCCAUGUCCUUGUUUACCUAUUUGGGUUGGAUUAUUAUUGCUUAGUCUUAUGCUAUUGCUCCACUCUAAUCAAUGAACAUGACGAGAAUGAGCAAUGAUACGCUAUUUUCCCCCUUCUUAUUAUGAUGUUAUACUUGUGGCCUUUAAGGGGACUCAAGCGGUUUCUCGAGUGCCUCUCCGUAAGGACUUGUUCGUUGGAUGAUCGCCCGGGAAAACAGUGCAACCAUGAGGGUGGAAUGGGGUGCCCUUAGCUGAAUAAUUAGAGGAUCCGGGGUGUAGUUCGCUUCGCCGUCGUGUCGUCAAUGGGGCUCGGUGUAUGCGGCACGCUCUGCCAAGGUUGAUUUGUCCCUUGGGGAGGAGUGCGGUACAUUUAGGAAACCUAACGGGCGACUAUAGCCCCGGGGAAUCUUUGUAAAGGCUACAUAGUGAAACCCUGCUGGGUCACCUUGGUAGUGAUCAAUGGAGAGUCAUGAUCUCCGGGCAGAAAGGGAAUCACGACUUGUGGGUAAAGUGCACAACCUCUGUAGAGUGUUUGAAACUGAUAUAUCAGCCAUGCUCGCGGUUAUGAGCGGCCAAGGGAGCUCCAGUGAUUAGUGGUACUUGAUCAGAGAUGGUCGGAUUACAGGUGGUAACGAGGUUGAUGGUUCUUGGUUUUGACUCUGGUAAUGGUAAGUGGUACUCUUUCCGUUUGGAAAGGAGUACGUUUGGGUUAAUAACGUGGGUUAACUCUAAAACUUGGCUUUCUCUACUAGUAAUAAUAAUCUGACCAACUAAAAGCAACUGCUCGACUUACCCCCACAUAAAGCUAGUCCACUACAACUAGACAGGACACUUGUUGAGUAUGUUGAUGUGUACUCACCCUUGCUCUACACACCAAACCCCCCAUCCCCAGGUUGUCAGCAUUGCAACCCCUGCUCAGGAGAAGGCGAAGCCGUGGAAGGAGACUUCCAGGAGUUCCAAGACUACGACGAGUUCUAGGCGUGGGUUAGCGGCAACCUCCAGUCGGCUGCCUGUGAAGGCCGCGUUUAUCUACGUUUCUUUUCCGCACUUUGAUGAUUUGUAAAGACUAUGUGAAUGUCUCAGACAUAUGAUGUAAUCGACUACUAUUUCCCUUUUUAAUACUAUUUGAGCACUGUGUGAUGAUGUCCAUGUUAUGUAACUGCUGUGUACGUGAAUUGCUGAUCCUGGCACGUACAUGGUUCGCAUUCGGUUUGCCUUCUAAAACUGGGUGUGACAAUACAUUUGAAUACAGAUGAAACAUACAAGAAAACUUUAGCAUGAGAUGCCUAUUUCUAUAUUUAUUUAUUUGUUAUUUCACUUUUUUAUUUCUCUUAAGUGAGUAUUCACAAAGAAAAGGGAAAACACAUAAUUCCCAAAACGCUUUUAUGUAAAUCCAUGUAUUUAUUUAUUUUAUUAUUUUUUACCUUAUAUAAAUUUUAGGGCUUUACAGGGGGCUCCCCUUCAUCGCCCUUCAACCCCAGCGCCCUCUGGAGCUCUUGGUCAGCCUACUGGCUCUAGGGGGUUGCGGUAGCAUGUCUGGCGGCCGGGGCAGUGGCCCUCCCUCUACAACCCGUGGACUGGUACCAUCCACAUGUAGCCUAGGCCACCUGCGGUGCCUUGGCCCCUCGCCACCCCACCUCUCAACAGGUUUUCUUUGCCGCUCCGCUGCCGGCUACGCCCUCGGCUCCUCCCCAGCCCCAGUAGGGGCUUCUUCCUCUCCUGGGGCCUCCGGCCCAGCCCGUGUGAGGGCCCUGGACCAAUGGGUGGGACGCGUAGUCUCUCACUAGCUCCUUCUCCACGAUGAUGCUGGCCCCACCCACCUCGGUCUCUGACUAGGUGGCUGACUCCGGUGCCUCCUACCACACCACCCCGGACGCAAAUAUUCUGUCUUCCACCUCUCCCCCCACCCCUCCCUUCCUUCUUCCAUCGUUGUUGGCAGCGGAUCUGCUCUUCCCGUCACCUCCGUCGGUGACGCGGUUCUUCCCAGUCCUUUUCACUUAACCAACGUCCUUGCCGCACCCCCACAUCAUUCAAAAUCUUUUUUCCGCUCGACAGUUCACUACUAACAACUCUUGUUCUAUGGAGUUUGACCCUUUUGGUCUGUCUGUGAAGGAUCUUGCCACCAGGACUCUUCUCGCUCGGUGUGACAGCCCCGGGCCUCUCUACACGCUUCGUCUGCCUGCUUCCCCUACAUCGGCCUCUGUCCCGCCUGUCCUUGUAGUGGUCGCCUCCUCUGUGACUUGGCACCAUUGUCUCGGCCACCUCGGGCGAGAUGUGAUGUCCAAGCUCUCUAGUAGUACCUCUUUUCUGGUUGUAGGGGAUCUUUUGAGCACCUCUGUCAUGUUUGUCAGUUAGGUCACCAUGUUAGGCUCCCAUUCCCCACCUCUUAUUCUAGGGCAGCAGGCACUUUUGAUCUGAUACAGUGUGAUGUAUGGACAUCCCUUGUAAUCAGCAUUUCUAGCAAUAAGUAUUAUUUACUCAUUCUUGAUGACUUCUCGCACUAUUUGUGUACUUUUCCUUUACGUCAGAAGUCAAACACUUAUCACACCCUGUCUCACAUCUUCGCUUGGGUCUCCACUCAGUUUGGUAGCACCAUCCGGAGUGUCCAGUGUGACAACGGUCGCGAGUUCUAUAACAAUGCGUCCCGUGAUUUUUUUUCCUCUCUCACGGCGUCCACCUUCGCAUGUCAUGCCCCUACACGUCUCCUCAGAAUGGUAGGGCUGAGCGUAUGAUUCGCACAACGAACGAUGUCAUGCGCUCCCUGCUCUUUCAGGCUUCCCUUCCUCCUCACUACUGGGCUGAGGCCCUCACCAUUGCCACCUACCUUCUCAUCUGUUUGCCAACCAAGGCGGUUGCCCACCCCACUCCUUACUUCGCUCUUUUUGGCAUCCACCCCUCCUAUGAUCAUCUUCGUGUCUUCGGGUGUGCUUGCUACCCUAUUCUCGCUUCCACUGCCCCUCAUAAAUUAGCGCCCCGAGCCACUCAUUGUGUCUUCCUCAGCUACUCCCCCGACCAUAAGGGGUACCGGUGUCUUGAUCUCUCCUCCCACAGAGUCCUCAUCUCCCAUCACAUCGUCUUCGACGAGUCGGAUUUCCCCUUUUCCUCCUCUUCUUCCACUGCCUCUCUCACCGAGCUCGACGUGUCUCUCGAUCUUGUCCCUGUGUCCCCUACUGUCGUACCACCCUUCCCUGUAGGUCCGUCCAACGCGCCAACCCGCGCGGUCCUGCCUGCGACGCCCCCUCCGCACAGCCUCGUGUGGCCUCGACGUCCCCAGCGUCGCCUUGUGCGACCCCACCGGUGCCCCAUCCCUCGCACCACCUCAUGAGGCCUUGGCGUCCCCCUCGUCGCCUCGCGCGACCCCCCCCCCCCCCCCCGGCGCCAUCCUCCUCCGCACAGCCACGUGCGGCCUCAGCGUCCCCUCUGUCGCCUCGUGCGGCCCGGCGUCCCCAGUCAGGUCCCGUCCGGCUCUGGCGUCUCCCGCAUUGCCACGUGCGGCCCCAUCGUCUUGCUACACCAACCCCAUCCAGACGUACCAGCGCCACGGUCGUGGCGGUCCACCGGUUCGCCCUCGCGCUGAGCCCCGGCCUAUCACCCCAUCAUCGUCCAUCGGGAUCCUCGCCACAUCCACCCGAUGGUCACACGGCGCGUGGCAGGUGUCCUUCAAGCCCUGAUCGCCUAAUCCUCUUCGCGACCUCUUCUCUGACCCUACCGCCAGUGCCCACGACUGUCCGUGGUGUGCUUGCCGACCCGCAGUGGCGGCGUGCCAUGGAAGAGGAGUAUGAGGCCCUUCAGACGAACCACACCUGGGACCUAGUGCCUCGUCCCCAUGGAGCCAACGUGGUCACCGGGAAAUGGAUCUUCAAACUGAAGUUGCACGCCGAUGGGUCCCUAGAGCGGUACAAGGCCCGUAAUGUGCUCCGGGGCUGCACUCAGCGUCCUGGGGUUGACUAUGAAAGGGAAAUAGGGUUAAACCUUUUCCACAAUUAAUUUUGGUGGUUGAAUGCCCAACACAAAUAAUUGGACUAACUAGUUUGCUCUAGAAUAUAUGUUCUACAUGUGCAUAAAGGUUCAACACAAACCAAUAAAAUAUCAAAGUUAGGGUUCAAAAUCAAAGAAGCAAAGAAACCGAGUGUGCUCUGGUCUGGCGCACCGGAAUGUCCGGUGUGCCACCGGACAGUGUCCGGUGCACCAGGACCGUACAGAGUCCAACAAGCCACUCUCAGGUUUCAGCAGGCGCACUCCGCUAAAAAUCACUGGACUAUCCGGUGUGCCAGCGGAGCAACGGCUACUUCGUGCAACGGACGACUGCAAAAGUACCUGACGCGAGGAACAGUGUGCGGCACAGUCAGAGCGCAGUGUCAGAGGCGCACCGGACAGUGAACAGUACAUGUCUGAUGUGGCACCGGACUGUCUGGUGCCACAUGAGGACAAAGCCUCCAACGGUCGACCAGCUCCUAACCCUAACGAUUGGGUGACGUGGCGGCGCAUCGGACAGUGUCCAGUGGCGCACCAGACUAUCCAGUGCGCCCAUUGCCAGCAGCCUUCCCCAACAACUACAAGAUGGUUGGUGGCUAUAAAUACCACCCAACCGACCACUUCAAGGUGUGGGAGCCCAAGCAACAUUCCAAGUCAUAUAGUUGACAUAUCCAAGCCCUCCCAACCACUUCCAUUCAAUGAUCUAUCUCAUACACAAGAUUUAGGCCACCACAAGCAACACAAGUGCCACAAAAGAGAGAUCAAGCAAAAGAGAGCUACUCGUGUGAAUUUAGCCCUAGUGCCUUGUGAGAAUCAUUGAGAGAAAGCGUGUGCUACAUCUUGUGAUCAUUUGAGCGUGGAGUUUUGACUCCCAUUCAUUUUCCUCCAAAGUUUUGGAGGCUUGUAAAGCUAGCAACAGACACCUAAGAGUGUGGUGGUCCUUGCGGGGUCUUAGUGAUCCUUGAGAUAAAGAAGAAGAGCUCGCCGGUCUUGGUGAUCGGUGGAGAGAGGGAAAGGGUUGAAAAAGACCCGUCCUUAGUGGACUCCUCAACGGGGAUUAGGUUUUCGAGAACCAAACCUCGGUAAAACAAAUCACCCAUGUCUCUUGUGUUUAUUGCUUGUGAUUUGUUUGUUUUCUCUCUCUAAGUUAUCUUGCACUAUUCUUUGCUAAUAUUAUUUUGUGUUGCUUCAAGUUAAAUUCUCAUUUAGAGAAGCAAUGCCUUGCAAGAAAGAACUUGCAUUAUUCCUCCUUUUAUCUAAGCCCUCUUGCUCUAUACUCCAUAAACUUAUUAGUUGUAUUGAUUUGCUAAUUCUGCAUUCUUUGAAAGCAACACCCUUUACAAGCAAGGGACUUAGUUUUACACUACGAUAAUUGUGCAUCUUGUUCCCAUCACUAAUCAAGGGAUCUAGUUUGUGUUUAGAGUUAUAAUUUUUAGGUUUCGCCUAUUCACCCCCCCCUCUAGGCGACUUUCAAUUGGUAUCGGAGCUAGGCACUUCAUAUUGAGUCUAACCACUCAAAGUGAUGGCUCGAAGAAGAUCCCAAAAGAACAAGAAAACAACUCCGAAGGAAAACAAGGAGGUAACUCUUGAGAUAUUACUUUCCGAUUGUUCUAAUUAUGCUUCAUGGUCUACUAGGAAUGCCUUGCUUAAGGACCAAGUAGAAAUGCUAAAAAUUGAAAAUCUAGCCUUUUAAGAAAAACAUGAUAUGCUUCUAUGCUCUCAUAAAAAUCUUAUGGAUGAUCAUAUCAUGUUAAACAUUGUUCAUGAGGCUGUGAUAGAAAACUUAAAAUCCAAACAGCCUCAUUCAUGCGCAUGUAUUCAAAUUGAAACUAUAUUACCAUGUGCUAAUGCUUGUUGCUCGUCAACAAGUAAUUCCUCCUUUGAGCUAGAAUUUCCAGGAACAAAAGAUGAUGCAUGUCAAAAGCUCAAGAAAGAAAAUGAGAGGCUAAGAACGAGCCUGACACAACUAAAAGGGAAGUGCACUACCCAACCUUCUUAAGAUAACCGUGAUUACAUGGUGAAAAAGCUUGAGACGGGAACAACCGUGGCAUGGACAAAAUCCUUUGAAGAAAAAGUCAAGGACUUGAGGAUUGUCAAGAGGAAGGAACAAAAGAAGAAAAUCAAUACCUCUGCCAAAAGCCUCAACCAUGCCUCCAUGCAAGGUAACAUCCAAGGUAAUGAUCAAGCCACACUUCACACUAAGAAAAGUAAUAAGUGUAGUGAAUGCUUUGAAAAUGGGCACUUGAUUAGGUCAUGUCCCUAUAUUAAAGAGAAUGGCUUGAUUAUUAAUAAGGAUGAUAAAGAUUGUUUUAGAUACUCUAAGAAGGGACAUUUAGUUAAUUCAUGUCCCUAUGUAAAACAAAAAGGCAUAGUUUUAGAAAAGAAAAUAUUUACUAACCAUGUAGCAAGCAAGAAACAAGGAAAGAAGAAAUCUUCAAGGCAUGAAGAUCGUCUUUGCUACAAUGCCGAAAGAAAGGACAUCAAUGUAAGGAGUGUCCUAUUGGUAACUAUCUCGCCCCCAACUUGUCAAUUGAUUCAUAUGUAACUAGGCAACCCAAAAUUGCAACUUGUGCUAGCACAAAGGACAUCUAGGUUCCUAGAUCUUUGUUGACUAACCUUGAUGGACCCAUCAAGAGAUGGGGACCAAAAUAUGCAUGACAAGCUUUACAGGGAAAGGAGAUGAUAUAAAGCUUUGGAUGUGCUUGAGAGGAUCAAUUCAAUUCAUAUUAACUCAAGCUAUCAAUCUUACAAAUGAUCUAUAUAUCUAAGAUUGAUCCAAAGUUAUUUUGAGUUAUUAUAUCUACUCAUAUCAUCUCGAGCAGGAUAUUGAAGUUGUAGGAAUUAAAGGAUUAUCCUGUGUGGAAAAACAAAAGCCUGCAAUAUGGAGGAAAGCCAAAGGAUGGUAACAUUUAUGUCUUUAAGUGCAAGUAUCUUCAAUUACCAUUUCUCUCGUGUCUUGUGUAGUCACAUAGAAAAAGGAAGCACUUAAUAAUAUUAUCAAAUUACGUCACCAUUCUUUGGAGAAAGUUCCUCUCAUAUGGUAGAUUGCAUAUUCAUCAUUUCUAUAUUAUGGCAAUCUACAUGAUUUAAAAUUAUUGUAAGUGUUGGGGGCCUUCGGCUUCCGAAGGUCCUUAAAAAACAUGAUUUAACAAUGUUUCUGGAGUAUGAUACAUGAACAGAUACCUUCGGACUUAGGCCAAAACCACAGUGUGAAGAAGCACAAAGGAUACGAAGGGUGGCGCUGAGCCGAAGCUAUGCGCAGGGGAGCAUUGGCAGGAUAACAGAAAAGGAAACCGACUUAAAGGGGAAAAGGCUAUUUAGACCUCGAUGAAUUACUAUAGAGUUAUUAGCAAAUGUAAAGGGCAUGGGUGUAGUUUUACAUGGGCUGCGUCCCGUGCCUAUAAAUAGAUGAACACUGCUCCUGUACUGUUCACGCUGAUUUGGCAUUUGCUUUUGCGUCACGCAUGUACUUUUGCCUUCUUUCAAGCCGAAGGUACAUUUGUAAUUUGUUAUCAUUUCUAUUUUUCCAUAGUAAUAAAAUAAAAAUGAGUUAAUGAUAAUAUUUGAGUGUUUACGUUAUUAUUCAUACUCUGUAUGAAUCCUUCUUCAUUAUUUGUUGUACUGAUGAAGGUAUGUCCUUCAUAACCUUCGUCCAAGACUCAUUAUAUCCUGAGGGAAGUAAUGCUUCGAAGGACGAAGGACUUUAACGUUUAACAAUUUCUGUGUUGCCUUGUUCUUAAUUCAUAGCAUUUAAGGACAAGUCCCCAACAGUAAGUGUCACACCCGGUUUUAGAAGGCAAACCGAAUGCGAACCAUGUACGUGCCAGGAUCAGCAAUUCAUGUACACAGCAGUUACAUAACAUGGACAUUAUCACACAGUGCUCAAAUAGUAUUAAAAAGGGAAAUAAUAGUCGAUUACAUCAUAUGUCUGAGACCUCCACAUAAUCUUUACAAUAAUCAAAGUGCGGAAAAGAAACGUAGAUAAACGCGGCCUUCACAGGCAGCCGACUGGGGGGUUGCCGCUAACCCACGCCUAGAACUUGUCGUAGUCUCGGAACUCCUGGAAGUCUCCUUCCACGGCUUCAUCUUCUCCUAAGCAGUGGUUGCAAUGCUAGCAACCUGGGGAGAGGGGUUUGGUGUGUAGAGCAAGGGUGAGUACACAUCAACAUACUCAGCAAGUAUCCUGUUUGGCCAUAGUGGACUAGCUUUAUGUGGGAGUAAGUCAAGCAGUUGCUUUUAGUUGGUCAGAUUCUUAUUACUAGUAGAGAAGGCCAGGUUUUAAAAUUAACCCACGUUAUUAACCCAAACGUACUCCUUUCCAAACGGAAAUAGUACCACUUACCAUUACCAGAGUCAAUACCAAGAACUAUCAAUCUCAUUACCACCUGUAAUCCGAACAUCUCUGAUCAAGUACCACUAAUCAUUGGAGCUCCCUUGGCCGCUCAUAACCACGAGCACGGCUGAUAUAUCAGUUUUCAAACACUCUGCAGAGGUUGUGCACUUUACCCACAAGCCGUGAUUCCCUUUCUGCCCGGAGAUCAUGACUCUCCAUUGGUCACUACCAAGGUGACCCAGCAGGGCAUCACUACGUAGCCUUUACAAAGAUUCCCCGGGGUUGUAGCCGCCCAUUAGGUUUCCUAAAUGCAUCGCACUCCUCCCCAAGGGCGAACCAACUUGGCAGAGCGAGCCGCAUACACCGAGCCCCAUUGGCGGCACGACGGCUAAGCAAACUACACCCCAGUUCCUCUAAUUAUUCAGCUAAGGGCAUCCCAUUCCACCCUCAUGGUUGCACUGUUUUCCCGGGCGGUCAUCCAACAAACAGGUCCUUACGGAGAGGCACUCGAGAAACCGCUCGAGCCCCCUUGAAUGCCACAAGUAUAACAUCAUAAUAAAGUAAGGGAAAACAGCGUAUCUUUGAUAAUUCUCAUCAUGUUCAUUGAUUAGAGUUGAGCAAUAGCAUAAAGCUAAACAAUAAUAAUCCAACCCAAAUAGGUAAACAAGGACAUGGAUAACAAAAGCUAGUCAAUCCUUAGGUAUAAAUGUGUAAUGCGGGAGGUGAAUUAAAGAAUGUAUAGGACAGAGAUAGGUCAAGGGACACUUGCCUCCACCAACCGACUGCUGCUCAGGGGCUUCUCCUGCGAGUUCUUCGGGCUCCUCAACCAGAUCGUUCUCUAUGCGAGCACAAACAUACAUACAUCUAUCCAUUCGAAUUAGGAAAUAAAUAGUACACCAUACAAGAGAACAGAUAGAUUGAAUAUGCAUAGAGUAUGACAUACGAUAUGGCAUUCGCCAUGGCUAGAAAAAGAAGAAAGAAGGUCUCGCAGUGGUUAAAGCUAUACUCGAAGCGUAUUAUGGGUAGAUGCAUAACUAAUCGUUACGUGAUCUAAUUCCAUCGAUUUACACUAACAAGUAUUAGCCACAUGCACUAAUAUAAUUAUAACUAUUUUCAAUUGAUUAACAUUAAACGAGGUCCAAUAUUAGCAACAUGAAAUAAUUAACGUAAUGAAGUUCUAAAUUGAGUUCCGUUUAUUGAUAUAAAUAAAGCGAUCACUAUGCAUGAAGUACACGAGGGGGGUAGACGGGCACGCCGAGCCGUGCCAAAGCACCGUGCACACCACGCGAGCACAUGCGCGCGCGAAGCCACGCUAACGUGCCGCGAACGAGCCACGCACACAUCGGGGCCGAGCUGCGCACACACCGCGAGCGGCAACGGGGCCAUGCCGAUGCCGACCGUGUGGGGCCGCGCGCUAGCCGAGCUCAAGGCCGCGCGCCAUAGGCAUGCCGGGCCGAGCUCAAGGCCACGUUGGGCCGACACGCCGUGGCCGCGUCGGGCAGGGGCGGGGCACGCCGAGGCGGGCGGGCUGCCAGGGCCGCGCCAUGGCCGCGCACCAUGGCCGGCGAGGUCGGACCGCCAUGGUCGGGGCAGGGGGACGGGGCUAGGUCGCGCCGGCGAGCGCGCUAGGGACGGGGCAGGGGAGUGUGCCGGGAGGGGCAGGGCACGCCGCGCUGCGGGAGGGCGCCGCGCCGGGGCGGGGGAGCGCGUCGAGCGGGGGCGGGGCACGCUGCGCCGCCGCGGGGAGGGGCUGGGGCGCUCGCGCACGUCGGGGACGGCGGCCGAGCGGCCGGGGCGGGGCCGCGUGGGCACGCCGCCACGCCGAGCAGGGGAGGAAGGGGGGCCGGGACGGGGAAGGGGGAGCCCACCGGGGCCGCGCCGAGGGGCACCGGGGCCGGGCCGGGUGGCGCCAUGGUCGGCCAUGCCGAGGUCGGAGCCACCGCGCCGGCGAGCCGCCAAGGCCGGACCGCGCGGGCGCGAGGCCGCGCGCCGAGGGCGGGCAGGAGGCUGCGCGGGCGGCGGAAGGAGGGAGGGAGGAGGGCCACGCCGAGCCAGGGCGGGACGCCGGGCCAUGCCGCGUGGGGAGGGGCGGGGGCGUCGAGCCGGGGCGGGACGCCGGGCCGCGGGCAAGCCGCCAUGGCCGGGGCGUGCCCAAGCCGGGGAGGGGAUGGGAAAGACGGGGAAGAGAGGGGGAGGAGCUUACCACGCGGGGAGGGGCGAGGGCGGCGCCGGUCGGGCAGGGGGCUGCGCAGGCGGGGGUGGGGAUCGUGCGCGAGGGACAGAGAGAGGUUUUGGGGAGGGGAGAGGGAUGACAGGCGAGGCCCAUGGGGGGGGAAGGCGGCGGCGGUUCCAACCACCGCGCGUUCCACGCGCGGGGAGCGAGGGGGAAGCUGGGCCGUCGAGGGGAGGGGGUGAGCUGGGCCCACAGCUGGGCCGCGCGGGGGAGGGGGCGAGCUGGGCCGCCGAGCCAGCCCACGAAGGGGAAAAGGUGGGGCGGCUGACGCGGCUGGGUCGCGCGCCUGGCCGGGCCGCAAGGAGAGGGGGAAAAAAGAAAAAGAAAAGGUUUUCCUUUUUAAAAUCUAUUUUCUAGAUGAAUGCUUUCACAGUUUCACUCAAUCAAAACAAAUGCAUGGUUCGGCAUGGUGCAACAAACAAAAGAAAGUAUUUUCUAGGGUUUACUUUACACGAGAUCUCAAGCCGAAUCUCGCUAUAACUUUGGAAAAGAUCAAGGCUUAGCGAGGAGAAAAGAAAAAAGGAAAAGGUAACGCCCGAAUUUGGUGAGUGAAGAAAAGAAAAAAUUCAACUCCAAAAUUUGGGGCGUUACAAACCUAUCCCCCUUAAAAGAAUCUCGCCCUCGAGAUUCAAGGUUGGCUAGCAAAGAGCUCAGGAUAUUUAGCCAUCAGAUCAUCUUCACGCUCCCAAGUUGCUUCUUCCUCAGAGUGAUGAUUCCAUCUAACUUUGCACAUUCUGAUGGUCUUCCUUCGGGUGACUCUGUCUGCAGUCUCAAGGAUUUGCGUUGGCUUCUCAAUGUAGGUCAAGUCCUCCUGGACCUCCAGACCUUCCACUGGCAACUGCUCUUCUGGCACACGCAGACAUUUCUUCAACUGAGACACAUGAAAGACAUCAUGCACUGCAGACAAGCAUUCUGGCAAACUGAGCUGAUAGGCCACUUCUCCACGCCUUGCGAGAAUCUGAUACAGAUCAAUGUAGCGGGGUGCUAGCUUGCCUUUGACUCCGAAUCUUCUGACUCCUCUGAUCGGUGACACUUUCAGAUAGACAAAAUCUCCAACUUCAAAACUUAGCUCUCUUCUCCUUGUGUCUGCAUAGCUUCGCUGCCUUGAUUGCGCUAUCUUCAGAUUCUCCCGAACCAUCUUGAUGUUCUCUUCAGCUUCAAGCAGAAUGUCUGGCCCAAACACUUGCUUCUCUCCAGGCUGAUCCCAUUGCAACGGAGUUCUACAACUCCUUCCAUAGAGCGCCUGAAAUGGUGACAUCUUCAAGCUGGCCUGGUAACUUUUGUUAUAGGAGAACUCUGCAUAAGGCAACCUCUUGUCCCAUCCGGACUGAUCUUGCAACCCACAAGCUCUCAACAUGUCUUCAAGGAUUUGAUUAGUUCUUUCGGUCUGACCAUCUGUCUGCGGAUGAUAAGCUGAACUGAAACUCAGAUGUGUGCCCAAGGCUUCAUGCAACUGCUGCUAGAAAUGAGAGGUGAAUUGCGUUCCUCUGUCUGACACUAUCUUCUUUGGCACACCAUGAAGACAAACAAUCUGAGACAUGUACAAUUUUGCCAAUACUGCACUGCUGUAGUUGGUCUUAACAGGUAUGAAGUGGGCUGACUUGGUUAAGCGGUCCACCACUACCCAAAUGGAAUCGUAGCCGGCUCGAGUGCGAGGCAAUCCGACUAUAAAGUCCAUACCGAUUUCAUCACAUUUCCACUGAGGAAUUUGCAACGGCUGCAACAAUCCAGCUAUCCUCUGAUGCUCUGCCUUGAUCCGUCGACAGUUAUCGCACAUAGCCACAUGCUCUGUGAUUUCCCUCUUCAUUCCGUAUCACCAGAAUUUCUUCUUCAGAUCCUGAUACAUCUUCUCACUACCAGGGUGGAUCGAAUAAGCUGUCUCAUGAGCUUCCUUUAGAAUCAAUUCUCGAGUAGAUUCGACAUUGGGAACACACAAGCGAUCUUUGAACCAUACCACACCUUCUGCAUCUUCCCGAAAAUCUUUGCCUCUGCCCUCUAGAAUCAGUCGCCGGAUCUCACCGAUCUUCUCAUCAUUCUUCUGCGCUUCUUUGAUUUCCCGCUCUAGGGUAGGUUCCAAUUCAAUUGUGACUCCUCGCGUAUUAUUCAGAAAUCUGAGAUUCAACCUGUCAAACUCUUUGGCCAACUCAUAAGGCAUCGGACGAGCGACCAUCAGAUUGACUUGACUCUUUCUGCUCAAAGCAUCUGCCACUACGUUUACUUUGCCUGGAUGGUAAUGGAUCUCCAACUCAUAGUCUUUGAUCAGCUCUAACCAUCUUCUUUGCCUCAUAUUCAGCUCCGACUAAGUGAAUAUGUACUUCAGACUCUUGUGGUCCGUGUAAACAUCACAUUUCUGCCCAUACAGAUAGUGCCUCCAUGUCUUCAAUGCGUGAACCACUGCUGCCAACUCUAGGUCAUGGAUUGGGCAAUUCUUCUCAUGAACCUUCAUGUGUUGGGAUGAGUAAGCCACAACUCUUCCCUCUUGCAUCAACACGCAUCCCAAACCGGCGUAACAAGCAUCGCAAUACACCGAGAAGGGCUUGUGCACAUCAGGCAAGACUAAGACAGGCGCUGUAGUCAACUUCUCUUUCAGCGCUUCAAAGGCUUCUUGGCAUUUCUAGGUCCACUUGAAUUCAACCUUGUUGCCUAGCAAAGCUGUCAUUGGUUUUGCAAUCUUUGAAAACCCUUCAAUGAAUCGUCGAUAAUAUCCAGCCAUUCCAAUGAAGCUCUUGAUUCCUCGAGCAUCUGUUGGCGCUUUCCAGUUCAGAAUGUCUGCCACUUUCUUUGGAUCCACAGUCAAUCCUUCUUUGUUAAUUAUGUGACCCAGGAACAGGACUUCACUGAUUUAGAACUCUAUGGCGGAACUGCCCGAAUUAUUCCAACUUAAGUGCAUAAGUCCCGCCUUAGAGGCUAGACCACACUUAAAUGGGAAUAACCCGUCAAUCCCUCGGAUCUAGUCCAACGAGGCCACUGACAGGAUCAAGUACCACAGUCUCACUCGAUGGUGAGUCACAGAGCAAAUACAAUAAAGCAUAAAACCAUACAUUAAGGAGUAUUAAACUUAUUACAUCAUCAUCGGAGUUUUAUCAAAAGUAGUCAUCAUUGUUCAAAGUGCAGCGGAAUAAAACUAACGGUAAAUAAACAGAGAGAUGGGGAAGCAUGUCCCAUCACUCCUCAUGCUCCUCCUCAGCCAAGGUAGGGUCCCACUCGAAUGUCCAACCCGGUGGCAAGAUGGACGGCCAAGUCACUCCAGCAACCAUGUCUUCCAGAGAACCUGUAAAAAUUAUGCCACAAGCAAGGCUGAGUAUAUUAAUACUCAGCUAGACUUACCCGGUGUGAGGAGUCUACUCCUCUACCUCUAAACAUGCAGCUGUUUGGCUGAGGGGUUUGGUUGCCAAAAGCACUAGCUGAGUUUAUAAAUCCAGUUUUAGCUUUGUCAAGUUUUAGUGUGACUCUCUUAAGACUAAAUGUAUACCUAUCUAAUCAUACAUGGUAUCAAACAUUUAGCAAUCAACAACUUUUGCCAAGUCAUCUCAUUUGCACUUGUUACUCAAUGUAGCAGCAUGGAUCAAGCAGUCUCAUUAGCUGCGAGAAGCAGACGAUUCGAAUCGAGUUUUUAUCCUUGCAAGGUAAACCUAAACACACGAUGUGGCGAGGCACUCCGUCCCCACACACAUCAACCGUCCCCAUCGAUUCCCCGUCAGCAGAUCAGGGCUCACCGCCUUAGCGUACAAUGCCUCACUGACCCCGACUGCCGUCGUGCAGUGACCGCACUUGUACCCACCAUAACCGGAAUGGGAGACCACGUCUCAGGUCGCGUGAGCGGAUAUGUCCACUGCCAGGUUCACUCAGGUACUAGGCUUACCGAUUUACCAUAUUUCUCGGCAUGUGCUUAGUACAUUCAAACGCUUGACACACAGUACCUGUUGGGGGCUUGUUCUCAAAUGCUAUGAGUUAAGAACAAGGCAACAUAGAAAAUGUUAAUCGUUAAAGUCCUUCGUCCCCGAAGCAUUAUUUCCCUUAGGAUGUAAUGGCUUGCGGACGAAGGUUAUGAAGGACAUACCUUCAUACAUUCAUUAAGUAAUAGCGAGGAAUGAAAUAUAAAGAAUAUUAAGGACAAUAUAAGUAAUCAUAUAUUAUGACAGGGCAUAAACAGAAACAUUGUCGAAUUACAGGUGUACCUUCAAUCGGAAGGGAAUGACAGUACAAGCUUGGCGCAAAAAACGAAUGCCAAGUCAGCGUGAACAGUACGGGGAUACUGUUCACCUAUUUAUAGACAAGGGACACAGCCCUUACAAAAUUACAUUCAUGCCCUUUACAUUUGAUAAUAACUCUAUAGUAAUCUAUCGGGGUCUGGAUAGCCUUUUCAUCUUUAAGUCGGUUCCACUCUUUGCUGUUACGCCGAAGCUUUCCUGCUCAGCACCUUCGGCUCUGAAUCAAGCUUCGUAUUAUUCCGGUCUGCUGCAAUGCCGACUUUAGUUUGAGGGUACCUGUUCACACAUUGUACUACAGAAAUACUGUUAAAUCCUGUUUUUGAGGACCUUCGGACGCCGAAGGUCCCCAACAGUACCACACCUUAAUCCUUAUUCCAAUUCCCGUCUCGUAGACAACGCAUCCCCAUGGAUCGUUGUCCAUAGACCAUCAUCAUUACGAUAUCAAAAAUGGAUACAACCAAUUCUUGACCUCGCGCGAGUGCUAGAAAAAUCACUCGACUUCUACCGAGAUCAUGCAACUAGGGUUUCAAACAACUCCUACACUUAAGUGCACAUUCAAUCCUACAAUCAUUAAGUGUAGUAAAAUAGUAUAGUAACAGGUUAUGCAUAAAACCGAGGCUUGCCUUCCAAAGCUGGGGCAGGCAGAUCCUUUGGGGCAGGCUCUGGUGCUGGAUCCGGGGCUACCACCUGAGCAACUCCUUGCUUCGGCACGAGGACGUACUCUCCGUCAGCGAGGUUGCAAUCUAUCGAAUGCAAUGAAUAAGAUUAUGUAUGCUAUGAUUAUGCAGGAUUUAAUAAUCAUUAUGCUAAGUGAAGAAAAACUAAGUUAGUUAGUAACUUAGGGUUUCCUGGUUAUACGUGACUCUUAGUGGUUUAUGCUUAUCAACUUUAGGUUUGGGUUUUGCCUAGAGAUAAGCAUAGUGGAUUGAAUCUUAGAUGUUUUAGUAGGCAUUUGAGGGGUUUUGCUGGUUGGGUUAGGGUGACAUUAAUCUCCACUAUUAAUUCCUCUUUCUCAUUUUCUACUUAUGAAUUCUAGUGUGGGUUUGAACUACAACAGUGAUUUAAUUUUUUCUAAAAAUUCUGCAAAAAUUACAGUAGGUCACUAGUUGUCACUGUAAUCUGUCCUACAAGUUUGAGGUGGAUACUGAUUCAGAUACUACUUGUGCAAAAUUAACAAAGAUAAGUUUUUAAAAAGGCAUUUUACACUAUAGCUGUAAUUUAAUUGAGGUUUCUGCACCAAAUUUUAUUUUUGUCCAGAUACAUAGGUGAUAUUAGGCCUCUGUGUUAAAAAUCACAGAAAAGGGCCUACUGGAUAUUUAGUUGUGAAUUUCUAAAGUUUUAUGCCAAAAAGGUGCUUAUAACUAACUUGUUAUUUGAAAAAUAUCAAACAACAGAUUUCAUAUUUUUCCUAUGUUCAUAAUAACAAAACAUUAGUUAUCCCAAGGUUUGGGGUGUUUUCUCCUUGGGGUUAUUUUUCUAGGGUUUUUCUAAGGUUUCCUUGUUUUUCUAAUUUAAAAGGUAUCUCCUUUCUUUUGCACUAAACAAGGGUAUAAUAAAUUUUUCUAGUGAACUACACUGAAUAAGUAAACUAACAAAAAUGUGGGUGUUUGCUGGUUCUUAUUUUAAACUACCUUUAAUAUUUUCUCUAACUUUAAGCAAAAAGUGUUUUAAAUGGCAAAUUCUAUCUUAAUGGGGUGUGCAGAGGGGUUUAUUAUUUUUAAAUAGGUUAGGAAAUGAUUAAGUACCUCUCUAAAUUUUCUUGACCCCAGUCAAAUAGUGUAGUUAUUUUUCCUUAUUUCUUUUAGCUUUUGACCAGUUAAUCAUUUAAAUCAAAACUUUAAAGUUUUCUUUAACACUUAGGAAUUUUAUAUUUUUCCUAAGUAGUUUACAUUAUUUAGGAUCUGGCAAAAUUGGUUUGACUCGAUUUGGGUAACCCAAACUGAAGUUAUGAAUUUUUCAAGUUCUGUUUGGAUUUAAAUCAGAAUAUUUUAAAAGGUUUCCUGGAAAACUACUUUGCACCGAAGACCCUGGGUUCUUUCUAAAUCAAUCCACUCAUUUCUACCCCUGCGCCACUAUUCCCUUGAGUCACUAACAGCGCACAAAACCCCCUGCCCUUUUCUUCUUCUCCCCCGAGGUCCCUCCCCUUAUGUAAACAGUAACCGUGGAAAGGAAAAGGGCGGCGCGGCUUACCGGCGGCGAGAGAGGUCCGGCGAGGGGCGGGUUGGCUUCGAGAGGUCCGGCGAGGGGCGGGUUGGCUUCGAGAGGUCCUGGCGGUCACAGCGAGGUACGGCUUGACGGCGGUGGUGGCCGAAAUCGACCGGUCCACGUGCGCAGGCGGGUGAACUCGUUGGCGGCGAGUGUUCUGGCCUAACCACGGCGAUCUAGUCCAAUUAAACGGCACGAUGAACUCCACGGGAUGACGUAGAGGCUAGGUGUGCAGGGAAUCGAAAAAUGGUGCAGAGACUUACCCGGUCUACGUUCACCGGCGGUCGGGUGAAGUCCGGCGACCGUGGACUGGCUUCUUCGACGAGGCAAAGUCCGAUUCCUUGCUCGGGGAGCUUCACCGAAGCAUGCAUAGUCUCUUCCGAGGGUCGGGCGUGGCUGGGAAUGGCUCUGCAGGCCGGUCUACGGUGGCGAGGGAUCGGAUGGCCGCAGGCAUGUGGUUUGCAGGGCAAACGCCGGUGAUCUCUGGCUCCGGUGAGGUCGAGCGUGCGCGGAGGAGUACGGUCGACGUCUAUGGGGGCUUUAUAGGCGCGGGAAAUGGCGCCGGCUCGGCUUUGGCGCGAUGCGGGGCACGCAGGGGCGCGCGCGGGCGUGCUCUGGCGAGGUCAGAGCGCGUCGAACACGUGGCUCUUUGCUUCUGUUCGUGUUGUACCCUCUGCUGAGCGGCCAAAAUGUGCGAAUCUUGCCCUAAGACCUAUGAGAGAUCUCUUCCCUGCACCUAGGGCUACCUAGUUCAUGUGAGUUCCAAGGGGAGAUGUGGUCGGGUUAGAGAGAUAUGGGGGGGAAGUUGUCUCUGCCCUAGCUGUCCAAACCGAGACAAAACUUGUGCCAAGUCGUGUCAAACGACUUUGGGUUUGGUUCAAACUUCUCCAGGGUGUUCUAGAGGUAUUUUGGCGCCACUUUGACAAUUGGGCCAAUUAGUUUUAAGUUUGGGAUCAAGGUGAACAUGUUUGAUCUUUGGAAAGGGGGUGGUUUUGGACUUAGAAGAAUUCUGAUUUUUCUUUUGUGCUCACCCCUUUGGUGAAUCUUUUGGGGUUUUCUGAAUACUUUUUGGGGUCACUUUCUUACUAUCAUUUGUAAGGUAUUAAGUGUACUACAUCUUUUAUAAUUGGCCCAAGUCAUGAUCAUGUGGUUUUCAUACCCUUUUAUUCAUGCUUAUUUCUAGUGCUCCACUUGUCCAAAGGGGUUUGAAUUAGGGUUUGGGCAAUUCUCCCCAUUAUAUGUGCAUAACAAGCCAAGGUAUGACUUCUAAGGUGGGUUGCACUUACUUAGGAUCUUGAGUUCCAACUUUGGUGUACUUUUCCCAACUUAAGUCACAUGUGAUGAUGGGCUUACUUGUGUAGUCUUGAGUGAAAACCCUAAGUAACACCUGGGGUGUUACAGCCCUCCCCCCUUAAAGGAAUCUCGUCCCGAGAUUUUAGGUAGAGUCCUUUAGAGGAGUGCCAUGAAGGUGUGUUGGUGUGUGGUUUCUUCCUUUAUCCAAGUUUCUCUAGUUAACUGCUCUUCGAAUGUCAUUCUCUUUGCGACUUCAGAAGGAAGUCCUUUUUAAGUCAUUUCUACAGCUUACUACACCUUUAGCAUCCAAGUUUUUCUUAUAUUUGAAUUCAAAGGACAUGUGGGGUGGGGUUUUGGGUUACGUACCGACUCCUUUGGGCAGAAAGUCGGGGAAGCGAGAGCGUAGAAAAUCCUCAGUCUCCCAUGUAGCUUCUUCUACUGAAUGGUGACUCCACUGAACCUUAUACAUUCUGAUCGACCUUGCCCGCGUUGAUCUCUCCUUCUGAUCCAAUACCUUGACAGGGUGCUCUUGAUGAGACAAGUCUGGUUCUAUCUCAAUUUCUGGUUCAGGUAGCACUUCAGCGGGUAAGCGGACGCAUUUCCGUAGCUGAGAUACAUGGAACACAUCAUGAACUGCUGACAUGUGGGGUGGCAACUUCAAUUGAUAUGCUAUGGGUCCACAAGUUUCCUUGAUCUCAUAGGGUCCAAUGUAGCGAGGAGCUAACUUGCCCUUGAUUCCAAAUCUCUGGACACCCUUGGUGGGUGACACCUUAAGAUAAACAUGAUCUCCCACUUCAAACUGCAGAGGCUUCCUUCUCUUGUCAUGAUAGCUCUUUUGCCUGGCCUGGGCAGCUUCUAGGUUAAUCUUAAUAACUCUGACCUUUUCCUCUGCUUCAAGUACCAAGUCUGGCCCAAAUAUUUCCCUUUCUCCUGCUUGAGACCAAUUCAGCGGGGUCCUACACCUUCUUCCAUACAAGGCUUCAAAAGGUGCCAUCUUCAAACUGGACUGGUAGCUGUUAUUAUAGGAGAAUUCUGCCAAGGAAAGACACUUGUCCCAAUCCUUUCCAUAGUGUAGCACACAGGCUCUCAACAUGUCUUCCAAAAUCUGAUUUACCCUUUCUGUCUAGCCAUCUGUUUGAGGAUGGUAUGCUGAGCUUCUUAUUACAUGGGUCCCAAGUGAUUCUUGUAAUUGCUCCCAAAAUCGUGCCACGAAUGGUGCUCCUCUGUCCGAUACUAUAGUCCUUGGUAUUCCAUGCAAGCGAACUAUCUGGUCAAUGUAGAUUUCUGCAUACUUCUCCGUCCUGUGGGUGGUGUGUACCGGCAAGAAAUGAGUUGUCUUGGUCAAUCUGUCCACAAUGACCCAAAUGGAAUCAUGGUGCCGGGAGGUAUUUGGCAAUCCCACAAUAAAAUCCAUGCAAAUGUCCUCCAAUUUCCAAGAUGGUAUGGGAAGGGGUUGCAAAGUGCCUGCUACCUUCAAAUGACUGGCCUUGACUCUCUGGCAGGUGUCACAUUCAGAUAUGUACUUGGCAAUUUCCCUUUUCAUUCUGGUCCACCAGUAUAAAGAUCUGAGAUCAUGAUACAUCCUGUUACUGCUGGGGUGCAUGGAGAAUUUUGAAAGGUGAGCUUCAUCCAAUAUCUUCUUUCUGAGCUCAGGGUUCUUGGGAACAACCAAUCGGUCUCCAACCCAUAGGAUUCCUUUGCUGUCCUAACGAAAGCAUUUGUAUUUUUCAGCUUUCUGCUUGAUCAUUUCCGUAAUGACCUGAACACCCUUGUCUUCAAUCUGUGCUCUAACUAUUUGCUCUUGUAAUGUGGGCUCCACUGAAACAUAAUUUAAAGCACCUGAGGAAAUAACUUCUAGGUUUAGUUUGCACAACUCAUCACACAGGGUGGUGACUCUUGCAUCCAUGUUCAUACAAUUGCACUGGGCCUUCCUGCUUAAGGCAUCUGCCACAACAUUGGCCUUGCCAGGGUGGUAAUGCACCUCCAAAUCAUAGUCCUUGAUUAGCUCUAACCAUCUCCUCUGCCUCAUAUUAAGAUCCGCUUGAGUGAAAAUGUAUUUGAGACUCUUAUGAUCAGUGUAAACGUUACAGUGAGCUCCCAUUAGGUAAUGUCUCCAUAUCUUGAGAGCAUGAACCACAGCUGCUAAUUCCAGAUCAUGUGUGGGGUAGUUCUGCUCAUGGGGUCUAAGUGCUCGGGAGGCAUAAGCAAUUACUUUGUUGUCUUGCAUUAAGACACAUCCCAAUCCAGUACCGGAAGCAUCACAAUAAACCUCAAAGGGCUUGGUGUUGUCAGGUUGAGCUAGCACUGGUGCUGUUGUUAAGUGCUGCCUUAGUGUAUGAAAGGCAUCCUCACACUUCUGGCUCCAAUCAUACUUGACUCCCUUCUUCAACAGUUCAGUCAUUGGUUUGGCAAUUCUAGAGAAAUCCGGAAUGAAUUGUCGAUAAUACCCUGCCAAUCCCAGAAAACUCCGAAUCUGUCUCACUGUGGUAGGAGGUUUCCAAUCCAUUACUGUUGGAACUUGCUCUCUGGUGCAAGGGGAUCCAACGGGGGUGUGUAGUGACGUAAAUAGGGUUCUCGCAUGGGAUGGCAAUAGCUCUGUUAAUCUAGCCUCUCAAGGGCACUGUGCGGGGGUAUUUAUAGGUAUCUGAGUGCCCAGCGUCCUGUGUUAAGGACGCAUGUGCCCUCAGACACCUAGGUUAUCCCCGGAAUAUUCCCAUAAAGCGGGGUUACAGACCGUAAUUACAGGGAUGCCUUUACAAAUUAGGCCUGUAACGCGCAGCGGCCACGCAGGGCCUGUUACAAUGGGUCGGAUCACACGUGGGCCUCCAUGCUGGACGAGGUCGCGAGGUGGGACGACCUCGUCACAGGUCUUCAUCCGAUGACGUAUGGGGCGAAGGGUGAGCCUGCCCGUUGUCUAGUCUCCAUUGGGCCAACGACUACGGCGAAGGCAUCGAGCGAAGGGUGACGUCUUCGCCUUCGCCCCAACAUUUGCCCUCCGAGGGACCAGUUCGACUAAGUCAUCUGGUGCCGAAGACGUCGCUAGAUGGCGGAGACGCUGCCCUCGCUCGAAGUGGUUCCGCGGGGGUUUUUUACAUGACCGUUGAUUGACACCGUACUAUUGGACUGCGGGUUUCCCGAAGCACCGCGCCCUGUGUAUAAAAGGGGGCGGGGGGCGGCGCGUUUUGAACUUUAUCUUUCCGUGCUCCGUGAAAACCCUAGCCGCCUUUUCCACCCUCUUGCUGCUCGUCUGCCCUCCUUGCUCUUGUUCGCCGGAGAUCUGGCCCGAGUGAAGAAGACCGCCCGCUGCCGCCGACGGUAUGUAGCGAUGCCGACCUCUUCUUCUUCUGCUGCCGCUAUGCCGCCGGCCGACGCAUCGUCUGAGGAGACGCUGAGCACUGUGGCGGCGGAGGAGUUGCGCGCCGGUGAUACGGUGGAUUUCGGUGUGUCGCGGAUGUCCUCGGUCCGCGUGCAAGAUAUGCAGCAACUUAGUUACUUUGGCGGCGGAGUCGCUCGUGUCCCGUGGACGGAGGAGGUCCCCGAGCCGGAAGGCGAAUUGGUUGUGUUCGAGGCGUUCUUUGCCGCUGGUCUUCGCCUGCCUGCGCACCGAUUUGUGGGAGAAGUCCUGCGCAGAUUUAACGUUCAGAUCCAUCAGCUGACUCCGAAUGUCGUGGUGGCUCUGUCGAAGUAUGUCUGGGCGACGACUUCGUACGACGGACAGCCAUCAGUCGAAGUCUUCGCGAAGUACUAUUCCAUGCACUGGCAGAAGAGGAUGAUCGGAAAUGAAGUUGCCCAGUUUGGGUCCUGUACAUUUACGUCGAAGACCGGCAAGACCUCGAUGGAGGUAGUUGAGUUGGUUCCUUGCGCCCGCAACAAGUGGGGCAACUGCAUGAGUUUUGGUUCUACGUCGCGGAGGGCACAGUCGAAGUCCAUCCGGGGCUCCCCGUGGCCGAGAUGUGCUCGCAUUAUUACUCGGCAUACCCGCCGUUUGAAGUGGCGGAGGAGGAUGCGGACGAAGGGGCCCUUCGGUGCGCCGCCGGCCUGAGCAGCGGGCGCGAUUUGGUUGAGGAGUUUGUGGCGUACGGGGUAUGGCCUUUGGCGCAUGGCUGGGCGUUGGGCGAAGUAUGCCCUCGCCAGAUGCCUUCCCAUGGUGGGAAGAUGGUGCGAAGUCCCGCCUUCGCGCUGGAUCUGCAUAGCCGCGAUCCGGCCGCCUUUGUGCGUGAGGCGGAGGAUGGGUUGGUGCAGAUCGUCGGUCGGUACGUGCCGAGGACAGAGGGCCAGCGUAGCUGGGAUAUUCGCGGGUCUAAUGACCGCUUGAACAGGGUUUUUGAGUUGAACCGCCUGCCGUAUGGCGGUUAUCCCGGCCAAGACGAUGUGGAUCGUCGCGGGAAGAAACCGGUGGUAGAGACUGGAGACGAAUCCGCGCCGGCGGCCGCCCUGUCCUCUAAGAAGAGGAAACUAGGUAUUGCUAUGGGAGGACUGAGGGUUUCUAAUGGUUUUGCUGGGAAUUGAUGAGGACAUGUGCGGCCCCGGGGGGAAGGAUGUCUUCGCCCGAGCUCCGGGAGUCUUCGGCGCGGAUGCUGAGGGUUACCGGGGGUUGGUGGCCUAAGAAUGUUCCUAUCCCCCGCGCGACCGGUGAAGACUUUUUUACAUCUCGCAUGGUUCGUGAUUGGAAAGUGUUUCCUUACGGGCGGAAUAUUGCUGAUGUUGUGUUGGCAGUGAUGGACAAGGAUCGUCAGGGAGCUUCGCAGAAGCGCCAGGUGGUCGUCAGGCUUCAUGAGGCCAGGCCGAAGAGGCCAUGGGGGGCUGCGAAGGCUGCUGCCCCCGGCGGAAGCCAGCCACCGCUGGCGGCGAAGUCGGUCGUCCCUGCAUCCAGUAGGGCACCGGAGGCUGCGAAGGCGGCUGCCGCCGGUGGUUCCAAGUCUGUGAAGGCCGCCCAUGUGUCCAGCAGGGUGCCAGAGGCUGCGAAGGCGGCCCGAGAGUUGCCGCCGCCGGGCAAGCGCGUCGCCGACUUCGCCACCGACAUUAGUGUGGAAGAUUAUCUUGUUGGUAAGUCGUUGGCUCGAGUUUUUUUUAAUCUGUUGAUACGUCGCAGGGUCGGACGAAGGCCAACUUGUUGUUGUUCUGCCUGCCGUGGCGACCGCGGCGGCUGCCGUGGUGCCCAGGGCGAAGGGCAGUGCUCUUAGUGCCGGCGGCGAGAUACCGGCACUCACUGCCGUCAGGAACAAGGCGGGUGCUGUGUCCCGCCGGCUGAAGGAGAUGAAGGAGGCACUAAGUCAGGUACGUUGAGCUAGACUUCGGUUUUUACCGGCUUCGCUGGGGCUGUGGUCUUAUGUGUGUCUUGUAGGCGGCUGACUUCGCAGACUGCGUGGCGUCGGGGGCCCUGAUGGCAGUUGUGUCUGCCGAAGUCGAGAGACUUCGGGCGCAACAUGCCGACGCCGUCCGGGAAAAAUUGGCUGCCGACAGCAAGUGCCGCAAGCUGGCUGUUGGGGACCUUCGGCGUCCGAAGGUCCUCAAAAACAGGAUUUAACAGUAUUUCUGUAGUACAAUGUGUGAACAGGUACCCUCAAACUAAAGUCGGCAUUGCAGCAAACCGGAAUAAUACGAAGCUUGAUUCAGAGCCGAAGGUGCUGAGCAGGAAAGCUUCGGCGUAACAGCAAAGAGUGGAACCGACUUAAAGAUGAAAAGGCUAUCCAGACCCCGAUAGAUUACUAUAGAGUUAUUAUCAAAUGUAAAGGGCAUGAAUGUAAUUUUGUAAGGGCUGUGUCCCUUGUCUAUAAAUAGGUGAACAGUAUCCCCGUACUGUUCACGCUGACUUGGCAUUCGUUUUUUGCGCCAAGCUUGUACUGUCAUUCCCUUCCGAUUGAAGGUACACCUGUAAUUCGACAAUGUUUCUGUUUAUGCCCUGUCAUAAUAUAUGAUUACUUAUAUUGUCUUUAAUAUUCUUUAUAUUUCAUUCCUCGCUAUUACUUAAUGAAUGUAUGAAGGUAUGUCCUUCAUAACCUUCGUCCGCAAGCCAUUACAUCCUAAGGGAAAUAAUGCUUCGGGGACGAAGGACUUUAACGAUUAACAUUUUCUAUGUUGCCUUGUUCUUAACUCAUAGCAUUUGAGAACAAGCCCCCAACAUUGGCGCCCACCUCCAGUGAACUCACUUCCAUUUCUUGAGUUUUUUCAACACCUUCGGCAAGCAUCACCUUCGUCAUGCCGCCGAAGAAGACUUCAGCACCAGGGGCUGGCACGCUGCAGCCGUUGGACCCCAAUCAAGACGUCCUUUCUCUUAGAGAGGCACGAAGCCAGAAGAGGAAGGCUACCAGUCCAACACCUCCGGAGGAUGAUCUAGAUCAGGAGAUUCAAAAUCUGGAAAUCCUUCAGCAACAGGUUCAACGCAAGAAGGAGAAGAUGGCCAGGCUAGCUGAACUGCAGAGGCAAAUAGACGAAGCCUCUGAAGAAGUUCGCCAUCUUGCUCAGGAUGAGCAACACCGAAGGCCUCAGCAUCAAGAUCUUCAUCAGGAGGGUUUUGCCAACGAAGAUGACUGGUAUGACAAUUUCCAUCAUGGGAAUUUUGUUUUUGAUGAUGCUUCUCCCCUGUCCGCUGAGCUGCAGGCUACACCUUGGCCCCCGUCCUACAAGCCGCCUCAGCUCCCCGUAUUUGAUGGCCACUCAGACCCGAAGCAGUUUUUGAUGAGCUACGAAGCAACAGUGUCUUCGUAUGGUGGCAAUGCUUCGGUCAUGGCCAAGUCUUUCGUUAUGGCUGUCAGAAGCGUUGCUCAAACCUGGUAUUCCUCCCUUCGACCAGGAACGAUCACCUCAUGGCAGAAGCUGAAGGACUUGCUGUUAACUAGCUUUCAAGGGUUUCAGACGAAGCCGGUCACUGCUCAGGCUCUCUUCCAAUGCACUCAGGACCAUGAAGAGUACCUUCAGGCAUAUGUCCGAAGGUUUCUGCGAUUGAGGGCACAGGCGCCAACAGUGCCCAAUGAGAUUGUCAUUGAGGCUAUGAUCAAGGGGCUUCGGCCAGGGCCGUCAGCACAGUAUUUUGCCAGGAAGCCACCACAAACGCUGGAAAAGCUGCUCCAGAAGAUGGACGAAUACAUUCGAGCUGACAAUGAUUUUCGUCAAAGAAGGGAGGAGGCUUUCAGGUUUUCUGAAAUGACCAGGGGCUUCGGAGGAAGGUUUUACCCGAGACAUGUCAGGUCAAUUCACAAUUCCACUCAGAAUGAUGAUAAAGGGAGUCAGCACCAAAGGCCACAAUACUCCUCACAGGCUUCAGGGCAACAACAAAGUUCCUUCCGACCUCCAGCUCCAAGAGGCAGAGGCGCCAGGGGCUUCGGAGGAAGAUUCGGCGAUCAACCAAGAAGAAUCUUUUGCUUAUUCUGCGGUGAGAACAAAGGCCAUACUACCAGGAUGUGCCAUGUCACUAUUCAGAAGCAAAAGGAAAUAGCUGAAGCAGCAGCACAACAAGCUCAGCCGAAGCAGGUUAUGCAUACAGCUUCGUAUCAUUCGCCCUACAUCCCAGAAUAUGUAGGCAACCAUCCUGCAGUCUCUGUUGCUUCGGCGAGUCAGCCUCAAGCUUCCUGGCAACAGCCUCCGCCUCCACCUCCGUUGCAGCAAGGCCAGCAGCCAGAAGGGAGCCAAUACGCUCCGCAACAAAGGGACUUCAGAGAACAGUCCGAAGCUCGCACGGUCAACAGCACUGUGCCAGAAUCAAAGCACAUCUAUUGAUAAAUAUCCUACCUUAAUAGCAAUCUUUUUCAUUCAGUUUUAUUUUCUGUAAUAAAGGACAUUGAUUAGGUUUCAUGUAAUUAGUUUCGUUGAUUCCUACAAAAAAAUAUGUUUUCUUCACAGGCUUGUGAUAAUAAAAAGGACCUUCGAACUAUCGACAAUUCUUCGAAGCAACAAAAAAGUCGUUCUAAGGAACGCAGAGUAAGUUUGAUGAAGUCACAAAAAGUCGUUCCGAAGGGAACGCAGUGUAAGUUUUCUGCUCCAAAGUCGUUCCAAAAGGAAUGCAGAGCAUACAGCGAAAAGUCAACGCUGAUACCGCCUAAGUAAAAGGCGAAGAAGCUCCAAAGACGUUCCUAAGGGAAUGCAGAGCUUACAGCGAAAAGUCAACGCUGAUUCCGCUGAAGUAAAAGGCGAAGAAGCUCCUAAGGGAGGCUUAUAGCAAAAAGUUAAUGCUGGUUCGCAAAAAAGAUUGAGUUUUAUCGCGCAGAUAUGCGUGUACCUUCGGAAUACCACUUUACAUAGCAUAACAUCAUCACAUCAUUUUGCAUAACAUAAGCAUCAUACAUCAUACUGCAUGUGGCAUAAGAAAGAGAUAUGAUAUCAAUCUUCGGGAAAACGCUUUGAAAAAGGAGCAAUUCAUGCCAAGUCACAAGGAGAAAUAAUAUUGAUCUCUGAAGCAUAGCCUUGAGGAAUGAUUCUACGAAGCUUCAACACUUUUCGGGAUACUUCGGAUAUUGUUGUGAUAAAUGGUAAUACUUCUUCACGAAGCAUGAAAAGAAGGGAAGGUGUUUUUUCGCCAGACUCAAAAACGGUACGUAUGUAAAGUUUCAUGCAUCGUAAAGAAUUGAACCAUUAAGAAAAAUAAGACAAAUAUAUUACAUACAGGAUUACAAGAUAUUACACAUGUUACAUUUAAAAUGUUUUUACAAUAGCAUUUAGUCCUCCCUAAGUACCACUUCUGCGGCUUCGUUCAACAGUCGAUCAACAACUUCGUCCAUGAUAUCUUCGGCCAUCUUUUUAAUUUCGUCGUCCCCCUUCGGCUGAGGGUCCGAAGGCGCUUUAGUCGGAUCUGAAGCAGGACACGGCUACAUUGCUAUUACAAAUCGCAAACAGAUCUUAAAAGCCUAAAGAUUGCAACACGAUAAAAACUAUUAUUUAGUACCUAAUUGACCUUCGGCUUCUGCGCUCUUGGCAGCAGCCUCAGCUACUUCUCUGGCAUCAUGAAUGCCCUUUUCACUUCUUCGAAUAAUUUCUCCGGCCAUUUCUCGGCCACCAUUGUCCCAGAUAUCGGUAAAAAACUUUCCACCAAUUAUGCUAGCUUCGGCCGAAGGAUCUUUUGUAUCUUCAAAGGACAAAGCAGCUUCGGACUGUGCUAAAAUUUUUACAUGUUCGCAGCCCUUCUUCUCUAAAAUGGUGGCAAUCCCUCUGGCGCCAGAGAAGGCACAUAUAUCUCCUCGGCUAUUUAAAAUUUCUUCGAAGGCUUCAGCUUCGUGGUCAAUCCAUUCAAUGACACCUUCGGGAUUGCCUCUCGAAAAGUUUUCCUCACUUGAGAAUGCGCCGACCUUGGCGAAGCUAGCCUUUAAUUUUUUAACACAAUCUAUAGAUUUAUUGUAGCAUCUCUUUUUGGAUGAACGAAGCUCUUCAACAGUCACUUCUAGGUGAUCUGCCCAUUGAUCGCUGAGUUCACGUUUUGUUUCUUCAAGUAUACGUUCUUCUUUGGCUCUGGCCAGUUGUUUCCGAAGGUCUUCAAUUUCGCGUUUCUGAGCUUCAGCUUGACUUUUAAAAGCAGCUUCGUCCUCCUUUAUUUUAUCUAUCAAUGAGUAUAAAAUUUUGUCUUUUUCGAGACCUUCGUUCCUCAGCUCAAUUACUUCGGAACGAAGGUUGCUCAGGGCUAUAGUACACCCUUCGUCUUCAGCAUCUUUCUGUGCCCUGAGGGCAUUGCUGAGUAUUAGGCCCUGCAGAACAUGUCUGUGUCAAUAGUUUUAAACAAACGAAAAAUUUUGAACUCGACAAAAAUACAAGAAUUCCAUUUGUCGCACCUUUAAACUGUUGUAAGCUAGGCUGUCAGCUAGAUCGUUCUUUGACAGCACCGAAAGUCCGUCUUCUAAAAUUGGGAAUCCGAAGCUUCUGCUCAUUUCCCGACAGACAGAAAUUUCCUUGCUGUCGGGGAGACAAUACAAGAAAUCUUCUUCUCCACUACCAUUAAAUAUCAACGCCCCCUUCGGAUAUUUCAACUUUUGGGCAUAGUGCUGGGCCUCUUGUUCUUCUUUUUCUGAUAAUUUUUUCCCCGAAGCAUGACGAAAAAUAUAAUCACGAAUUUUGGGGGAUGCUUCGGGGGUAACAACACCAGUUUCUUCAACAAAGGUUGGCUUUGUUAUUUUUUCUGCCUCACUUUCCAAGGCUUUUGCCUUUGCGGGCUCUGAGGGCCCAGCUUCGGCUUCAAUUUCCUGCUCUGGAGCCGUAGAACCAGAAAUUUCAGUUGUUGUUUCAGAAGCAACAGCAGCCUUCUUCGGAGGUGUGCUUGAAGAUUUGAUUGUUUCCAGUACAUCUAGCACAUUGGCCAUUCUCUUUCUUUUCGGGGUCAUGGCUGGCAUUUUUUGGUUCUUUACUGUCUCAAUGUUUGCUGCAGGACUCAAAACUCCGGAUGUUUUGGAGCCCUCAGCUGCUUCUUUUAUUUCUUCAAUUUUUUCUGUGGACGGCGCUUCGGCUUUCUCUUCUGUUUCUGAUAACAAAAUGUUUGAUUGUUCCGAUUCUAUUUUUGGUGGCACUUCGGCCGUUUCUGCGACCUCUGGCAACAAGGCUGGCUCGGUUGGUUUUUCAGCUUCGGUGGCCGAAGAAGUUUUUCCGGUAAACUCGGGCACCGAAGCUGGUUCAAUAUAACGCGGCCGAUGCGUAAGAACCUUUAUCUUUUUCCUUUUCGGUUCUGGCUCGCUAGGAGCAGCUGCAGCUUCUUCUUUUGCAGAGGUUGUGUUUUUUCUCUUCUGCUUUCGAGUGGGAUAGCAAUAGUCAGGGUAGACAAACCCGAUGGCAUCAAAUACCCGAUUCAGUCUCUUCUUCUUUCGGCCUCCGAAGGUUGCUGACAUUGCAUUAUCUUCGGCCUUCGAGUAGGUCCCAAGCAGCUCAUCACUUAAAUUGUCAAUGCUUUUCAACCACUCAUCAUCUGGCUCAAUAAAUUUAUCUCCAAAUUUAAAAGUGUACUUAAACCUGAUAAGUCCACCUUCGUCGGCCUCUUUAAUGGUUUCUUGAGGCAUUUCCCAUUUCUCCGCAAGCGGCCACACCCUGAAGGCAAUAUGCUCUUGUACUAAGUCCCUUGUUCCUAUAAAAGAGCAGACAACGCCGAAGGCUCUUUGACACUCUUCGGCGGCUUCAUUCAUUUCAACCUUCGGCCUCCGAAGGCCGAAGCUUUGCCAAAUAGGACGCAUGAUUAUACCUUUGAUAUCUUCCCGUGCUUUCAGAUCAUUUUUUACAUAGAACCAUUCUGUCAUCCAGCCGCUAGGCCACCUCUUCCGAAAAGUUGGCACGGGGCAGCUUGACCCAGAUCGAGAAACAAAACUGUAGCAGCCAAAGUUAUUGUGAUACUGCUCUUUACCCCAAGGUAUUGUCUCGUAUGAUAAUUCGUGCAUAUUGCAAAAACUUUUUGCAUCAGGCUUCAGACCUUGGCUUCGCACGGCCCACACGAAGAUGUUCAGCCUUAUGAUUGCCUCGGGGGUAAGUUGGUGAAGAUAAACCUCAAAAAUCUUCAGCACCUCCACGACGAAGCUGCUCAAGGGCAAUCGCAGCCCAGCCUUCAGAAAGCUUCGGAACACUACGACUUCAUUCUCUUCAGGGUGUGGGCAAGUCUUCUCCCCUUCGUCGGCCCUCACAACGGACAAAUCCCGGAAAUAUCUUCCUCUCAUGUUAACAAGAUGAUUCUCUUUGAUAGUUGAUUUACCAUAAACUGAGUGGCUUGGUCGCCAGGGGCGAUCUUCGGAGUCUUCGCCACCACUGUCCACAUCAUAACUUUCACUGUCACCAGUAUCUUCAGACAGCCCUUCCAGAAUCUCAUUGGUGAUUUUUUCUGUGUUGGUCUUCGACAUCGCUAUAAGAAAUCCUAAGUUCUUCUCCUCAUCAAGACUCAGCUUCAUCUCAGCAGCAGCCUUCUUAGCAGCUUCAGACAUCUUCGGAAACACUAAAAAACUGUUUUUAAAGCCGAAGCUUCAAAGCUAAAAGCUUAGCAAAUCACAGUGCACAGGAGCUAAAAAUUGAGUGAGCGGGAGUGGUUGGCCAGAAAGCGUGCAAAAUGAGUUUGCGGUAUGGCCGUAUUUAUACGCUCGGUGCGUUGAAAGUUGAAAGACCCCACUUGUCAUUGAAUGUUGCUAUUCUAGCAAAGGGAAGGUGUUUUUUUCGGACCUUCGGCGUAAAGCCUUCGUCCAUAUCGCAAUCUAAAUUUAUUAUUUCAAACAAAUUGAUAUUGCGAGGGGCUACUGUUGGGGACCUUCGGCGUCCGAAGGUCCUCAAAAACAGGAUUUAAUAGUAUUUCUGUAGUACAAUGUGUGAACAGGUACCCUCAAACUAAAGUCGGCAUUGCAGCAGACCGGAAUAAUACGAAGCUUGAUUCAGAGCCGAAGGUGCUGAGCACGAAAGCUUCGGCGUAACAGCAAAGAGUGGAACCGACUUAAAGAUGAAAAGGCUAUCCAGACCCCGAUAGAUUACUAUAGAGUUAUUAUCAAAUGUAAAGGGCAUGAAUGUAAUUUUGUAAGGGCUGUGUCCCUUGUCUAUAAAUAGGUGAACAGUAUCCCCGUACUGUUCACGCUGACUUGGCAUUCGUUUUUUGCGCCAAGCUUGUACUGUCAUUCCCUUCCGAUUGAAGGUACACCUGUAAUUCGACAAUGUUUCUGUUUAUGCCCUGUCAUAAUAUAUGAUUACUUAUAUUGUCUUUAAUAUUCUUUAUAUUUCAUUCCUCGCUAUUACUUAAUGAAUGUAUGAAGGUAUGUCCUUCAUAACCUUCGUCCGCAAGCCAUUACAUCCUAAGGGAAAUAAUGCUUCGGGGACGAAGGACUUUAAUGAUUAACAUUUUCUAUGUUGCCUUGUUCUUAACUCAUAGCAUUUGAGAACAAGCCCCCAACACUGGCGGAUAAGGUGGCCGCGCUGGAGGGUGAGAGGACUGACCUCCGGCGCCAACUGGCGGAGGAAAGGAAGGAGGCUAAUGAGGCCCUCGCCAAGGCGCAGUCUGCGUAGGCGGAGGCCAAUUUGGCGCGGGCGGAGGGCACUCUUGCCAGGCAGCGCGCCGAGCAGUUGGAGGAGCGGCUCAGCGCUCUGCAAACCCGUGUGGAGAGGGUUGAGGCCUCGACGCGCUCGGAGGCUGAGCGGACACGCAAACAGCUUAUGGAUUCAUACCAUGAGCUGGGCGCGCGGACCGCUGACUUCGAAGUGUCGGACCGAGAGCCCGGACUUCGCUGCCUCGAGUGGAUACAGGAGGAGUUGUUGGCGCUUCCCGCCAUCGUGAAGGGGUUUAUGUCCUAUACCUCUCUGGUCACCUGCGAGGGGGCGAUGAACGCGCUCUCUCGCGAAGGGUGCCGGCACUAUGAGGUCUUCGACCAAGCUGAUGAGGAUUUCGAGUGCGAUAUCUACACGGUUGAGGACCCUGUGGUGAAGGAAUCCGCGGGAGCCCUCUACGACCGGAUGUGGGGCCCUCACGGUCGGGAGGUGGUCAGGGAGCGGGCCGAGACGGCAAGGGGUCAGGUAAUGUUUGGCUUUUGUUUGGUGUUUGUUGAAUGUGGGCUAUAUGUGGGUUUGCUGAAUCUGUGUGCUGUGUCUCAGGCGGCGCGUGGCGAGAGGGUGGAUGACUUUGGGGCUUUGAACAGCCCCGCUGCCUGACCCGGAGCCGAACCCGGCGGCUGUGUCCGAGGCCGCCCUGGAGCCGCCCCCGGAAACCGCCGAAGGCGUUCCUGAUGCCCCUGCAGCCACUACGGCCGGCGGAGGCCCGUCGCCAACUGUCGCGCCGAGGGUUGAGGAUCCUGUGAAGGUGGCGGCGGAGCCGACAGCGGAGGAUCCCGCGACGGCUGGGUCUUCGCAGGUGGCUUAGUGGGUGUGGGUAGUUAGGGAAUUUUGGAUAUGUUGCUGAAUCUUGGUUGCUGCGCAGGUUCAAGAUUUUGGGCCUGCGCACGCAACCGCUACUACUAAUUUUUUGGCGGCUUCGACUGUGGAUGAUGGUAAUAAAUCGGAUGGGUCUGCAUCUAAGUUUUCUGAUUUUGGUGACUUUGGGAGCUCGGUUGAGUGGACUGAGGAGUCGUCGGAUGAGGACUUGGACUACUUUGCGACCUUGGAUGUGGCAGCGGCGGAGGCUUCGCCGCAUGCUACGGAUGCUGAAGUUGUGCCUGGUCCGAGUACUGGACGUAGGCGGCGAAGGGCGGUUGCGAAGCGUAGAGUGAGUGGGGCAGACGACGGUCGGCUUCGUGUGAGUAGGGCUGGCAGGCAGGAACUGUUGUCCUUGCCGGCCGCUGUGAGUGCAGGUGAGGGGGAGCUGCGAAGUCUUUUGCGGGUGAGGAGCUUAGGAUAAUGUUAUUUAACUAUAGGGAGAUGGGAAUUAUUCCGAAGGUUGAGCCGAUGUAGAGUGUGAUGCCCUCGCUUGUACAUGUGUAAUGGCUUGUAUGAUGAGGUUGUGUGCCUUCGCACAUUCUGCUAUGCUCGCGAAGGCGUUACGUACUUGGUCUGGUGUAUUUGUUAUGUUGGUCUGGUGCGAAUGUAGUCGGUCUUUUGCGCGGACAGUUUGGUGUAGUCGUUUUCGCACUUGUUAAGCUUCGUCCGGCUGCACCCUUAGGCAACUGUUGCACAGAUAGUCUUCGCGGAAGACUUCGAUUUUUCGCACUUGUUGUGCUAGCCCGGCUGCACCCUUAGGCGACUUCUGCACGGAUAGUCUGCGCGGAAGACUACGAUUUUUCGCACUUGUUGUGCUAGUCCGGCUGCACCCUUAGGCGACUUUUGCACGGAUAGUCUUCGCGAAAGACUUCGAUUUUUUCGCACUUGUUGUGCUAGUCCGGCUGCACCCUUAGGCGACUUUUGCGCGGAUAGUCUUCGCGAAAGACUUCGAUUUUUCGCACUUGUUGUGCUAGUCCGGCUGCACCCUUAGGCGACUUUUGCGCGGAUAGUCUUCGCGAAAGACUUCGAUUUUUUGCACUUGUUGUGCUAGUCCGGCUGCACCCUUAGGCGACUUUUGCGCGGAUAGUCUUCGCGAAAGACUUCGAUUUUUCGCACUUGUUGUGCUAGUCCGGCUGCACCCUUAGGCGACUUUUGCGCGGAAUCGUCGCACGCGAGGGUAGCUAGCGCUAGGCCUCGCGGUGACUUUUGUAUUGGUCGAAUGUCGAAGACCGUCGGCGCGGUCUUUUUCGACGUAGAUUUUUGCGGGGGAUUUUUCACUUGUAUAUUACAUGACUCCGCCUUGUUAAAAACCUCACACACGAGAGGAAAAGAGUGCGGGCCGGAAUAAAAUUGUUUUUGCGAAUUACAAGGGUGAAUCGGCCCUGAUGAGUCAAACAAAAAAUUUGCGGAGAUUGUCGAUGUUCCAGGAGUGCUCCAGGUCCUCGCCGUUUGGCGUUGCGAGCCUGUAAGCGCUGGGGGAAGCCUUCGUCUUGACAAUGAAAGGGCCCUCCCACUUGGGCUCCAGCUUGCCCCUGGACUCUGUCCGAGCUGUUCGGACGAGUACGAGGUCCCCUUCGCUGAAUUCCCUCGGGAUGACUGCGUGGUCGCGCCAUGCUUUUGUCUAGGCUUGGUAUUUAUUUAGGGCCUGUAGGGCGAAGACUCGGUCUCCAUCGAUGAGAUCCUUCGAAGUGGGCUCGUCCACGUCGGGGACGGCUGACGGAGCUGUUCGCGGGGACCCAUGUUUUAUUUCUUGUGGGGUCAUGGCCUCCGAUCCAUAUAGAAGGCGGAAAGGGGUGAACCCGGUCGCCCUGUACUCAGUCGUGUUCAGCGCCCAGACCGCCUCGGGUAACAAAUUGGCCCACCUGCCCUUUUUUCGUCGAGGAGCAUCUUUUUGACAGAUGUGAAAAUUUUUCCAUUGGCGCGUUCCACAACUCCGUUGGACUGCGGGUGAUAUACUGAGGCGAAGGCAAGCUUGGUGCCAAUGGACAAGCAAAAAUCCUUGAAGUCUUGGCUGUCAAACUGCUUGCCGUUGUCAACUGUUAGUUCGGACGGUACUCCGAAGCGGCAAACAAUGUUUUGCCAAAAGAAUUUCUGUGCAGUCUUUGAUGUUAUUGUGGAAACAGCCCUCGCCUCGAUCCAUUUGGUAAAGUAUUCGACAGCGACGAAGGUGAACUUGAGGUUCCCCUGAGCCGUGGGCAGGGGCCCGACGAUGUCCAGGCCCCAGCGCUGGAGAGGCCAUGCGUGGGCGAUCAGUUUUGUGAAUUGCGAGGGGCUGCCUGAUCGAGGAGAAAACUUCUGGCAGGCUUCGCAGGACCUUGCGACCCGAUUUGCGGCACAGAUCAUUGCGGGCCAGUAGAAACCUUGGCGGAUCACCUUUGCGGCUAGGGCCCUUGGCCCUGCGUGAGAGCCGCAAGUACCACUGUGGACUUCGCGCAGGAUUUGGAUGCCUUCGGUCUCGGUGACGCAUUUAAGCAUUGGCCGACUGACCCCUUUCUUGUAGAGUUGGCCCUCAAUCAGUGCGAAGUCCCGGCUUCGAUGUUUGAGGCGCUUGGCCUCGUUGGAUGUUUGAGGCGCUUGGCCUCGUUGAUGUCGGUUGGGUGGUAGUACCCCUGUAGGAACAGGGUUAUUGGUGCCCGCCAGUCUUCGGUCAUAAUAAGGUUGACUAUGCGGUGGCACUCGCUGUCAUUGGUUAUUUGGAGCCCUUCGGGGCUCCGGACGGCUGGUGUGCCGAUGACAUGGUAGAACACGUCGGAGGGCAGGGACUCGCCUCUAGCGGCAGCCUUGGCCAAUGUUUCGGCCUCUUCAUUCUUGGCCCGGUCCACAUGCUGCAAGGUGAAUCCCUUGAAUUGUCUCUCGAGACUUCGGAUGGCCGCGAGGUAUUGCAUAAGUGCGGGGUCCUUUGCUGCAUAGUCUUUUUCGACUUGGCCGGCAACUACCUUGGAGUCUGUUCUGAUAAUGCAAGUGGUGACACCAAGGGCCCGCAGCUUGCGGAGGCCGAGGAUGACUGCUUCGUAUUCUGCUAUGUUGUUUGUGCAUCUGUCAGAUUCCAGAGCGAAGCUGAGGCGUGCCGCGUAUCUAUGCUUGACUCCGGUGGGUGAGGUGAUGACUGCAGCGGCGCCUGCCCCUGCGUGGCACCAUACGCCGUCGCAGUGAAUCAUCUAGACCUUUUCUGCGGACGGGUCCGGCUGUGUUAUUGGCCCAGUCCAGUCGACGACGAAGUCUGCCAGGACUUGUGACUUGAUGGCUGUCCUGGGCUCGAAGUUGAUGUGGUAGCCGGAUAGCUCGGCUGCCCACUUGGCAAUCCUGACCGAUGCCUCCGGGUUUUGGAACAAUUCACCUAGUCCCCUGUCUGAGGUGACUCGGACCUUGAAUGCUUCAAAAUAAUGGCGCAAUUUGCGCGAAGACAUAACCACUGCAUAGGCAAUCUUCUUCAGUUCUGUCAUGUUACAUUUGGAUGGUGUUAGCACUUCGGAGACGUAAUAGACUGGGCACUGCCUGAUCACGCCCUCAACUGUCUGCUCCUGCACCAGUGCCACGCUGACCGCAUGUGGCGAAGCCGCAACAUAGAGCAACAGGGGUAGCGAAGAGUCGGGGCUUGUAAGGACUGCCAACUCCGACAGGUACUGUUUUAAUGAGGCGAAGGCCGCUGCCUGCUCUGGUCCCCAAGCGAAGUCUUUUGCGCCAUGGAGAGUUUUGAGGAAAGGCAGACUUCGCUCAGCAGAUUUGGAGAUGAAUCUGUUGAGGGCGGCCAACCUGCCCGUUAGACGCUGGACGUCUCUGGCAGACUGCGGAGGCAUCAUGUUGAUGAUGGCCUGAAUUUUGGUUGGGUUGGCCUCAAUGUCGCGGUGUGAUACCAGGUAGCCCAAUAUUUUCCCUUGGCGAACGCCGAAGACGCACUUUUCUGGGUUUAGGCGAAGUCGGGCGUCUCGCAUGUUCGCGAAUGUCUCGGCGAGGUCAGCGAGAUGGUCCUCCUUGCUCCUGCUGGCGACGACGAUGUCGUCCACAUAUGUGAAUAUAUUUCUGCCAACUUGCCCCUCGAGCACUGUUUUGGUAAGCCGGGAGAAAGUGGACCCGGCGUUCUUGAGUCCCUCCGGCAUUCUGAUGAAGCAAUAUGUGUCGAAGGGUGUUAUAAAGCUGGUGCUAGCCUUGUCUUCCUCCUUCAUGUAUAUUUGGUGGUAACCGGAGAAGCAGUCGAGGAGUGACAUGACUUCGCAUCCGGCCGCGCUAUCGAUUAUUUUGUCGAUGCGCGGCAACGAGAAGUUGUCCUUUGGGCAGGCCUUGUUGAGACUGGUGAAGUCGAUGCACAUUCGCCACUUGCCGCUCUUUUUCUACACCAUCACAACGUUGGAGAGCCACGUGGGGUAAACCACUGGCUCGAUAAAUUUGGCUUCCAGGAGGCGGUGUACCUCUGCCUUGGCGGCCUCUGUCUUCUCGUCGGACAUUUUGUGAAGCCACUGUUUUUUCGGUCUCACCGAAGGGUCGAUUCCCAAGCUGUGCUCAAUUAUGGAUCGGCUGACCCUGAUCAGGUCGAGGGCUGACCAGGCGAAGACGUCUUUGUUCUUGGACAAGCAGCAGAGGAGUUUCUCCUCUUCAUGCGAAGUGAGGUCUUCGCUGAUAGUGACUGUCUGCUUGGGCGUGGCCUGGUCGAGGGGAACAGUCUUGGUCCCGUCGUUGCUCUGCAGCUGUGCCUUGUCGUGCUCUUUGUCGGUUGGGCUGACGGACGCAGGGACCUCGCGCUGGGCCGUGAGGCAGUGCACAUUUCUUUGUCCGGGGACGAAGUCCCGCUUUAUGUUGCGCGUUGUUUUUUGAUUGCCGUAGACCGCAAUGGCGCCUAGCGGACCUGGUAUCUUCAUGCACAGGUACAGUCCGUGAAUGGCUGCCUCAAACUUGUUGAUAGAGCCCCGGCCCAUGAUGGCAUUGUACGGAUACACCAUAUCGACGAUAUCAAAGAUUAUUUGCUCACUUCGGGCAUUGGGUGCUACACCGAAGGAGAGAGGCAGUUCUAUUUUGCCGACAGGAAAAGUGCCCUUGCCGCCGAAACCAUACAAUGGGUUGUCCGAAGGCUUGAGCAGGCUGUGGCUUAUGCCCAUGCGGUCGAAGGCAUGGAGGAAAAUGAUGUCUGCUUGACUACCAUUGUCGACUAGGACUUUGUGCAGGUCCCAGCCUGCCACGCUGCAGUUGAUAACCAUGGCGUCGAUGUGGGGGCGCUGCGCAGGUCAACGUCUCGUGCGUCGAAGUUUAGCGGUACGUGGGACCACUUUGUCUGCACGACUGGGCCGAUGAUGGCGACGUGGUUGAUGCUGCGGUAGUGGUCCCGCUUCUGCCGCUUUGUGUCGAAGUCGGUGCUGGACCCCCCGGUGAUCAUAUGAAUGACUCCGCGAUACGGCUGAUCGACGAAGUCUUCUUGUUUUGGGGCGUGGGGGUGGGGGAUAUUCUGAUGUUGCUGGUGUGCAGGUGGGGGUGGGGGAGGUACGAUUUGUACUUCCUGGUGGUGUUGGUAUGCGUGGUGCGGUGGAUGCGGGGCGGGGGCGUGGAUGUAUGGUGGAGGGGGUUGCUGAUAAGUGUGCACGACAACUCUGGGGUUGUCGGCUGGCUGCGCCCGUGCCAUCCUGUCUUUGGUGGCCUUCAUUUCUGGGCAGUCUUUGGUUUGGUGGGUGCAGUCUUCACCAUGAAAAAGACAGUAGAACCGGCGCGGCGGCUGCGCACGCCCCCGACCCCUACCGCGAGUUCCGUUUCCGCGGCCCUGUGGGGAUACUCCUGGCGGCGAGGGGCGUCAACAGCGGGGUUCUGGUUGGCGAUGUUGUGCACUUGCUGCUGAUUGCGGCCGUCUCGACCAGAUUCUGGCUGCGGAGUCCUCGUCCACGUGCGGCUGGACUGUGGAGCAUCUUUGGGUUUCCUUUGAGACUCAACCUUGCGCUGGUGGAGCUCUUCGGAUUUGGCAUAUUUUUCGAAGAGCUGAUAUAAUUCCUGGAGGUUCUUGGGCGGGUCCCUGAUGCAGUGGCUGUAAAGGACGCCGGCGCGAAGGCCACUAAUGGCGUAGUGGAUGGCGAUCUGGUCAUCAACUGAGGGCAGUUGUGACUUGAGUGUUAGAAACUUCCGGUAAUACUCCCGCAGAGUCGCUUUUUCCAGCUGCUUGCAGAGUGAGAGUUCGGCCAAGGCGUCGGUGUCGGGGCGGUACCCUUGGAAGUUGAGCAGGAAUUUGUCCCGGAGGCUUCUCCAGGAGUCAAUGGACAGCGGGGGCAACCUGGUGAACCAGGUGAGAGCUGGGCCUUCGAGGGCGAUGAUGAAAGACUUGGCCAUCGUGGCGUCGUCCCCUCCGAAAGAUGCAACGGCGACCUGAUAACUCAUGAUGUACUGUGCUGGGUCCGUGCUGCCGUUGUACUUGGGAUAGGUCCCUGCCCAGAAGUUGGCAGGCCAGGGUGUCACUUGCAGGUGUGGCGCCAGGGGACUUCGCUCGUCGAGCUAGUUGACCCCUUGGAAUGGCGCGGCGUGUGGGAAGGCGUGGUCGCGCUGGGGGAAGUGCAGGUCUUCCAUUUGCGCGCGCUGCUGCAGGGGUGGCCCGUGCUGCAGGCCGAGGUGGCCUUCACGUAUGUCUUCCAGUUGUGCGCGCUAUUGCAGGGGUGGCCCGUGCUGCAGGCCGAGGUGGCCUUCGCGCUGCAUCAGCGCGAUCUCCCGCUCGAGGUCCUGGGCCUUCUGCUCUUCGUCGCGUAUCAUUUGCCGCACCUUGGCUAGUGCGGACACGCGCUGGCGCUUGGCCUCCAGUAUCUCUUUUUGCCUCUGGAGAUUGCGGUUCUUGAGGCGCAGGGGACUUCGCCGUCCUCGGUGAGGUCUGCGCCCUCCGGUGGGGCGAAGCCUGGGGGAGGUUGCGGAUCUCCUUCAAGGCAGCAGGUGCGGAGAGCAUCGUCUUCGCAGGUGCGGAGAACGUCGUCUUCGCAGGUGCAGAGAACGUCGUCUUCAGUAGCCUCUUGGUGGGUGGAAUGGGUGAGUGCGAGGGCCUUGCCCUUUUUUGCGGCCAGCAGUGCUGCCUUCACAGCCUCGUCAGCCUUCGAGCUAGCUUUCUUGGGUGCCAUCGCGGGUGGUUUUUUCGUAGCACGAACGGUGGGCGCCAAAUGUUGGAACUUGCUCUCUGGUGCAAGGGGAUCCAACGGGGGUGUGUAGUGACGUAAACAGGGUUCUCGCAUGGGAUGGCAAUAGCUCUGUUAAUCUAGCCUCUCAAGGGCACUGUGCGGGGGUAUUUAUAGGUAUCUGAGUGCCCAGCGUCCUGUGUUAAGGACGCAUGUGCCCUCAGACACCUAGGUUAUCCCCGUAAUAUUCCCAUAAAGCGGGGUUACAGACCGUAAUUACAGGGAUGCCUUUACAAAUUAGGCCUGUAACGCGCAGCGGCCACGCAGGGCCUGUUACAAUGGGCCGGAUCACACGUGGGCCUCCAUGCUGGACGAGGUCGCGAGGUGGGACGACCUCGUCACAGGUCUUCGUCCGAUGACGUAUGGGGCGAAGGGUGAGCCUGCCCGUUGUCUAGUCUCCGUUGGGCCAACGACUACGGCGAAGGCAUCGAGCGAAGGGUGGCGUCUUCGCCUUCGCCCCAACAAUUACUUAUUGUACCUUCUCAGGAUCAACUGAUAUCCCAUCAUGAGAAAUUGUGUGACCCAAGAAUUUAAUUUCCCUUAGCUAGAAAUCACACUUAGACAGCUUAGCAUAAAGACGAUGAUCGCGCAGUCAUUGAAGCACGAUGUGUAGAUGCUCAGUAUGCUCGUCUUCAUUCUUGGAAUAGACUAGAAUAUCAUCAAUGAAAACGACCACGAAUUUGUCCAGCUCUAGCAUGAAUACUGAGUUCAUCAGGUACAUGAAAUAAGUCGGGGCAUUGGUCAGCCCAAAAGACAUCACCAAAAACUCAUAGAGCCCAUAUCUAGUAGAGAAAGCCGUCUUGGGAAUAUCACUGGCACGGAUCUUGAUCUGAUGGUAGCCCGAGCGAAGGUCUAUUUUGGAGAACACUUUGGCUCCCACCAACUGAUCAAACAAGACAUCAAUGCGGGGCAGUGGGUAUUUGUUCUUGAUGGUCACCGCAUUGAGAGGGCGGUAAUCAACACACAUUCUCAGACUCUCAUCCUUUUUCUUCACAAAUAGGGCGGGACAUCCCCAUGGUGAAGUACUUGGGCGAAUAAACCCCUUGUCCAACAACUCUUGCAGUUGCUUUUUCAAUUCUACUAAUUCCGCUGGAGGCAUCCUAUAAGGCCUCUUGGAUAUGGGAGCAGUCCCAGGCUGCAAUUCAAUCGCGAACUCUAUAUCUCUAUCAGGUGGCAUCCCUGGCAAUUCAUCCGGAAAAACAUCUGGGUAGUCAUAGACCACUGGGAUCCUCUCAACUGGGGACUCUAUCAUAACGAAGGCACAAGAACGGGUAGAACCCUGGUCGGACAAAUAUAACGUGGAUUCACCACAAGUGGGCGAGUGCACCUCAAUGGCCCUUGCCGCAAUAUCAAUCACUGCCUGAUGUUUGGUUAACCAGUCAGUUCCCAAUAUGAUAUCCACACUAUCCAAACCCAAAAUGAGGAGGUUGGUUUUGAUUAUCAAACUACCAAACUUUAUUGGCACAUUCUUGUUGAUUUGGUAGGUGGCAACCCUGCCUCCUGGUGUUGAAAUUGUAAUACCCCCAUUAGUGUGAUGGAAAGGUAGCUGACAUUUGGCACUAAAUUUUGCACUGAUAGAACUAUGUGAUGCACCAGAAUCAAAAACAAUAAUUGUAGGAUAAUUCAAAACUGAAAAGAUACCAGUCAUGACGGGUGCUCCCUCUGGAAUGUCAGCCAUGGUGGUGAAGUUCAGCCUGCCUUGCCUCACUUGCACCUUCUGCCUCUUGCCUUGGUUCUGGUUGGCAUUCUGUCCCUGCCGCUGCUGGUUUCUAGGGCAAUUCUUGGCAUAAUGUCCGGUGUUACCACAAGUGAAACACCUGUUGUCAUUGGCCUGACGAUAUUGCUGCUGCUGUGGCUGAUUAUUCCUCUAAACUGGAAACUGGGUACAGUUGGGUGCCUGCUGCUGCUGCUGCUAUGGUCGGAUCACCCAACGUCCUUGCUGCUGCUGAGGUCCUCUGUUCUGAGUGUCAGAUACAAUCCUGAAGCGUUGUGGCUGAGCUGAAGGUCCUGCCACAGGGGUCUUCCUCUUCUUUUUUGCCUGACGAGUUGUGAUACAGUCCUCCUGAGAAAUGGCCAUGUUGACUAACUCAUUAUAGCUAUUGGCCCUGACUGUGUUGAGACAGUCACGGAGCUUAGUGCUGAGCCCCCUCCUGAACCUGUCCCUCUUCUUCUCGUCGGUGUCUGCAUGAUAUCCGGCAUACUGGCACAGGUCAUUGAAGGCCUGAGCAUACUGUAACACUGUCUGGUUCCCUUGAGUGAGUGCCAGAAACUCGUUGAGCUUGCGGUCCAUAAUGCCUGUUGGUAUAUGGUGCCCCCUGAAAGCUGCCUUGAACUCUCUCCAUUCCACCUCACGGUCAGCUGGCUGCAUAGCAAGAAAGUGGUCCCACCAUGUCCGCACAGGGCCGCGAAGCUGCUGAGUGGCGAACCUGACCUUAGUCACCUCUGAACAAACUCCAUGGAGUAGCAGGAAUUUGGAUUCCACUACUCUCAGCCAUACAUCAGCAUCAAGGGGGUCCUCUACCCUGGUGAACAAUGGUGGCUGGGUACUGAGGAACUCCUGAUAAGUGGCUGCUGCGGGGUGACGCUGAUGAUCACCACCACCAUAGUGUUGAGGUGGUGGCUGACGCUGAGCUAGCUGUCGCAAGAUCUCGUUCUAUUGAGCCAUCAACUCUUGCUGAGUAUGAGGCGGUGGCGGCGGUGGAGGAACGCGCUCAUUCUGACCAUGACGCGCUCUUCCUGCCAUCUGAAAAAAUCAUGUAUAUUCUCAAUACAACAUUUCUGAGGUUCAAGGUUCAAUCGUGGUGAAAGAGUCAAAAGGGUAAAACCAAUAUAUUUUUGCAUAAUUAUAAAAGAUCCCACAUGGCAUAAACUUUUCUUCUUAAAUUUAAAACUGGCAUCAUUCAUCAUCCAUGCUUCCAAAAGAGUUUGUCAUGAUUACAUUAGUAACUCAAAAGACUCAACUCUAUCUAGCCUAGUACCCCAAGGGUGCAAAAGCAAAGCUAGCUUCGAGGAGUUCUACCGUCACCGACUUCUAGCUCUAUCCCUGCGACCUAGUGGGCAAACGAGGCAACGCUCGACUCAGGGGAAGGUGGUCUCCCUGAGCCAGCAGUGUCCAAACUGGAGGCAGGCUCCUCUCCUCCCUCGAUGUCGACAUCCUCAUUGGCCUCCAUGUCCUGGAUCUCCUGGUGGUGCAUAUCUAGGUGCUGGUUAGCCUCUGCAAGCUGCUGCUGGGUGUUGAUCAACUGAUCCUCAAGAACCUCAAUGGUGUUCUCCCUCGUUCCCACUAGCUCCUCAAGCUCUUGGAUCUCAUUUGACAGUUGCUCCACUUGUAAGUCCUUUUCCACCAUCUCAGUGGACAAGUCUACCACAAGUUCCUCUCUGUUAUCCAAGGUGAUCUUGGUUGCCUCCAACAAUGCCAUUAGAUGGGACAUUGCCUCUCCACGCAUCACUUGCAGACGAUACAGGGCAUUCAUGCACCGCACCGUCAAGUGAGCAGUCUGCCCUGGAUAGAUAGCCCAUAUAUCCUUGGCAUGCUCCACUCGAUCCUUCCACAUUGGGUCGUCCUCCUUUUCUACGAGGAACAAGCCCAUGGGGUGAGUGGACAGCUCCAAGGGGUGGAAUCCGCAGAAGGUGGUCAGUCCGUGAAGAGCAAUGGCCUCCAUAGUGUCCUUAGCCCUGUAUCCAAAAGACUCAGAGUCCAGCGAACGCCAGCCUGGCUGUAGGGGAUGAGGCUCCAGGGUCAUCCUCACCCUACAGCGGGGCACUCGGUGCUUCUCGAACAGCUGCACCGCGUACUAGGGAGGCGUCGUGUAACCCGCUCCCUGAAGUACCUCCCACAAAAUACGGGGAAAACCCUCUCGUGCAAGCUCGUCAGUGUGGGAUUGUGCAUUCCCUUCGUCCGAGGAUCCGUGAGAAGUCAUCUGUGUACGGUUAAGCGUAAUAAGUAAAAGAAAAAGAAUUAUAAAAGAAAAGGGAUCACAACUCAGCCUCUCUAUAACUACGACAAUGGUACUAGGUACUUAGUUUGUCAUCAUUUUGUAUUGAAGUUCUUACCCAAUUAUCCAUUAGUUUAAAUAAGGAUGCAUGCAUGCUCGUCCUGAACGACCUCACAUCAACGUAGAGGGAAUAGGGAAGAACUCCCAUCCCUUAUAGUAGCCGGUAGGGCUCACUCAAAUAGCCACCUUAGCUACCCCUCUAUUAUCCUAAGGCUUCACGUCCUAGGUCUAUCCUUAUCGUCCUGACGAUCUAUCCAACAAUUGCUUCUAACCAGUUUUACUUUGAAAAAAAGGUGGUAUUUAUAGUUUAUUGAUUACUCUGUGGUGGUACAAGCUCUGAUACCAGCUGUGGCGGAACUGCCCGAAUUAUUCCAACUUAAGUGCCUAAGUCCCGCCUUAGAGGCUAGACCAAACUUAAAUGGGAAUAACCCGUCAAUCCCUCGGAUCUAGUCCGAUGAGGCCACUGGCAGGAUCAAGUACCACAGUCUCACUCGAUGGUGAGUCACAGAGCAAAUACAAUAAAGCAUAAAACCAUACAUUAAGGAGUAUUAAACUUAUUACAUCAUCAUCGGAGUUUUAUCAAAAGUAGUCAUCAUUGUUCGAAGUGCAGCGGAAUAAAACUAACGGUAAAUAAACAAAGAGAUGGGGAAGCCUGUCCCAUCACUCCUCAUGCUCCUCCUCAGCCGAGGUAGGGUCCCACUUGACUGUCCAACCCGGUGGCAAGAUGGACGGCCAAGUCACUCCAGCAACCAUGUCUUCCAGAGAACCUGUAAAAAUUAUGCCACAAGCAAGGCUGAGUAUAUUAAUACUUAGCUAGACUUACCCGGUGUGAGGAGUCUACUCCUCUUCCUCUAGACAUGCAGCUGUUUGGCUGAGGGGUUUGGUUGCCAAAAGCACUAGCUGGGUUUAUAAAUACAGUUUUAGCUUUGUCAAGUUUUAGUGUGACUCUCUUAAGACUAAAUGUAUACCUAUCUAAUCAUACAUGGUAUCAAACAUUUAGCAAUCAACAACUUUUGCCAAGUCAUCUCAUUUCCACUUGUUACUCAAUGUAGCAACAUGGAUCAAGCAGUCUCAUUAGCUGCGAGAAGCAAACAAUUCGAAUCGAGUUUUUAUCCUUGCAAGGUAAACCUAAACACACGACGUGGCGAGGCACUCCGUCCUCACACACAUCAACCGUCCCCAUCGAUUCCCCGUCAGCAGAUCAGGGCUCACCGCCUUGGCGUAUAAUGCCUCACUGACCCCGACUGCCGUCGUGCAGUGACCGCACUUGUACCCACCAUAACCGGAAUGGGAGACCACGUCUUAGGUCGUGUGAGGGGAUAUGUCCACUACUAGGUUCACUCAGGUACUAGACUUACCGAUUUACCAUAUUUCUCGGCAUGUGUUUAGUACAUUCAAACGCUUGACACACGGUACCACACCUUAAUCCUUAUUCCAAUUCCCGUCUCGUAGACAAUGCAUCCCCAUGGACCGUUGUCCACAGACCAUCAUCAUUACGAUAUCAAAAAUGGAUACAACCAAUUCCUGACCUCGCGCGAGUGCUAGAAAAAUCACUCGACUUCUACCGAGAUCCCUAAUUAGUAAAGCAGCUACUCGACCUAGCAUACUAGUAUUCAUCUCAAUAGGAUUCCUGAGAUCAUGCAACUAGGGUUUCAAACAACUCCUACACUUAAGUGCACAUUCAAUCCUACAAUCAUUAAGUGUAGUAAAAUAGCAUAGUAACAGGUUAUGCAUAAAACCGGGGCUUGCCUUCCAAAGCUGGGGCAGGCAGAUCCUCUGGGGCAGGCUCUGGUGCUGGAUCCGGGGCUACCUCCUGAGCAACUCCUUGCUCCGGCACGAGGACGUACUCUCCGUCAGCGAGGUUGCAAUCUAUCGAAUGCAAUGAAUAAGAUUAUGUAUGCUAUGAUUAUGCAGGAUUUAAUAAUCAUUAUGCUAAGUGAAGAAAAACUAAGUUAGUUAGUAACUUAGGGUUUCCUGGUUAUACGUGGCUCUUAGUGGUUUAUGCUUAUCAACUUUAGGUUUGGGUUUUGCCUAGGGAUAAGCAUAGUGGAUUGAAACUUAGAUGUUUUAGUAGGCAUUUAAGGGGUUUUGCUGGUUGGGUUAGGGUGACAUUAGUCUCCACUAUUAAUUCCCCUUUCUCAUUUUCUACUUAUGAAUUCUAGUGUGGGUUUGAACUACAACAGUGAUUUAACUUUUUCUAAAAAUUCUGCAAAAAUUACAGUGGGUCACUAGUUGUCACUGUAAUCUGUCCUACAAGUUUGAGGUGGAUACUAAUUCAGAUACUACUUAUGCAAAAUUAACAAAGAUAAGUUUUUAAAAGGGCAUUUUACACUAUAGCUGUAAUUUAAAUGAGGUUUCUGCACCAAAUUUUAUUUUUGUCCAGAUACAUAGGUGAUAUUAGGCCUCUGUGUUAAAAAUCAUAGAAAAGGGCCCAGUGGAUAUUUAGUUGUGAAUUUCUAAAGUUUUAUGCCAAAAAGGUGCUUAUAACUAACUUUUUAUUUGAAAAAUAUCAAACAACAGAUUUCAUAUUUUUCCUAUGUUCAUAAUAACAAAACAUUAGUUAUCCCAAGGUUUGGGGUGUUUUCUUUUUGGGGUUAUUUUUCUAGAGUUUUUCUAAGGUUUCCUUGUUUUUCUAAUUUAAAAAGUAUCUCCUUUCUUUUGCACUAAACAAGGGUAUAAUAAAUUUUUCUAGUGAACUACACUGAAUAAGUAAACUAACAAAAAUGUGGGUGUUCCCUGGUUCUUAUUUUAAACUACCUUUAAUAUUUUCUCUAGCUUUAAGCAAAAAGUGUUUUAAAUGGAAAAUUCUAUCUUAAUGGGGUGUGCAGAGGGGUUUAUUAUUUUUAAACAGGUUAGGAAAUGAUUAAGUACCUCUCUAAAUUUUCUUGACCCCAGUCAAAUAGUGUAGCUAUUUUUCCUUAUUUCUUUUAGCUUUUGACCAGUUAAUCAUUUAAAUCAAAACUUUAAAGUUUUCUAUAACACUUAGGGGUUUUAUAUUAUUUCUAAGUAGUUUACAUUAUUUAGGAUCUGGCAAAAUUGGUUUGACUCGAUUUGGGUAACCCAAAUUGAAGUUAUGAAUUUUUCAAGUUCUGUUUGGAUUUAAAUCAGAAUAUUUUAAAAGGUUUCCUGGAAAACUACUUUGCACCGAAGACCCUGGGUUCUUUCUAAAUCAAUCCACUCAUUUCUACCCCUGCGCCACUAUUCCCUUGAGUCACUGACAGCGCACAAAACCCCCUGCCCUUUUCUUCUUCUCCCCCGAGGUCCCUCUCCUUAUGUAAAUAGUAACCGUGGAAAGGAAAAGGGCGGCGCGGGUUACCGGCGGCGAGAGAGGUCCGGCGAGGGGCGGGGUUGGCUUCGGGAGGUCCUGGCGGUCACAGCGAGGUACGGCUUGACGGCGGUGGUGGCCGGAAUCGACCGGUCCACGUGCGCAGGCGGGUGAACUCGUCGGCGGCGAGUGUUCCGGCCUAACCACGGCGAUCUAGUCUAAUUAAAUGGCACGAUGAACUCCACGAGAUGACGUAGAGGCUAGGUGUGCAGGGAAUCGGAAAAUGGUGCAGAGACUUACCCGGUCUACGUUCACCGGCGGUCGGGUGAAGUCCGGCGACCGUGGACUGGUUUCUCCGGCGAGGCAAAGUCCGAUUCCUUGCUCGGGGAGCUUCACCGAGGCAUGCACGGUCUCUUCCGAGGGUCGGGCGUGGCUGGGAAGGGCUCUGCAGGCCGGUCUACGUUGGCGGGGGAUCGGGUGGCCACGGGCACGUCGUUUGCAGGGCAAACGCCGGUGAUCUCUGGCUCCGGUGAGGUCGAGCGUGCGCGGAGGAGUACGGUCGACGUCUAUGGGGGAUUUAUAGGCGCGGGCGCGGGCAACGGCGCCGGCUCGGCUUUGGCGCGACGCGGGGCACGCGGGGGCGCGUGCGGGCGAGCUCUGGCGAGCUCAGAGCGCGUCGAACACGUGGCUCUUUGCUUCUGUUCGUGUUCUACCCUCUGCUGAGCGGCCAAAACGUGCGAAUCUUGCCCUAAGACCUGUGAGAGAUCUCUUCUCUGCACCUAGGGCUACCUAGUUCAUGUGAGUUCCAAGGGGAGAUGUGGUCGGGUUAGAGAGAUAUGGGGGGAAGUUGUCUCUGCCCUAGCUGUCCAAACCGAGACAAAACUUGUGCCAAGUCAUGUCAAACGACUUUGGGUUUGGUUCAAACUUCUCUAGGGUGUUCUAGAGGUAUUUUGGCGCCACUUUGACUAUGGAGCCAAUUGGUUUUAAGUUUGGGAUCAAGGUGAACAUGUUUGAUCUUUGGAAAGGGGGUGGUUUUGGACUUAGAAGAAUUCUGAUUUUUCUUUUGUGCUCACCCCUUUGGUGAAUCUUUUGGGGUUUUUCUGGAUACUUUUUGGGGUCACUUUCUUACUAUCAUUUGUAGGGUAUUAAGUGUACUACAUCUUUUAUAAUUGGCCCAAGUCAUGAUCAUGUGGUUUUCAUACCCUUUUAUUCAUGCUUAUUUCUAGUGCUCCACUUGUCCAAAGGGGUUUGAAUUAGGGUUUGGGCAAUUCUUCCCAUUAUAUGUGCAUAACAAGCCAAGGUAUGACUUCUAAGGUGGGUUGCACUUACUUAGGAUCUUGAGUUCCAACUUUGGUGUACUUUUCCCAACUUAAGUCACAUGUGAUGAUGGGCUUACUUGUGUAGUCUUGAGUGAAAACCCUAAGUAACACCUGGGGUGUUACAAACUCGCACUUGCUCAACUUUGCAUACAACUGGUGCUCUCGCAAUCUCUGCAAUACCAUCCUCAAAUGAUCUGCAUGCUCUUCUUCGUUUUGAGAAUAUAUCAGAAUGUCAUCAAUAAAUACCACCACAAACUUAUCAAGAUAAUCCAUGAAUACACUGUUCAUCAGAUUCAUGAAGAAGGCCGGUGCAUUGGUUAGGCUGAAAGACAUCACAGUGAACUCAUACAACCCAUAAUUGGUAAUGAAUGCCGUCUUCGGAAUAUCUGAAGGUCGAAUCCUGAGCUGGUGAUAACCUGACCUCAGAUCUAUCUUGGAGAACACACUGGCUCCUCUCAACUGGUCGAACAGAUCUUCUAUUCUGGGCAAGGGGUACUUGUUCUUGAUGGUGACCUCAUUCAGAGCUCGAUAAUCGAUACACAUCCUUUUGGUGCCAUUUUUCUUUUCCACGAAUAAGACAGGGGCGGCCCAAGGCGAGGUGCUUGGCUGGAUGUAUCCUUUCUCUGACAACUCAUCAAUCUGCUUCUUAAGCACAACCAAUUCUGGUCCGGAUAUUCUAUAAGCUCUCUUAAAGAUAGGGGCGGUUCCAAGAAGAAGCUCUAUGGCAAAUUCAACUUUUCGCUCAGGUGGCAUACCUGGUAAGUCCUUUGGAAACACAUCUGGGAACUCAGACACAACCUUGAUACUCUCAAUUGGGUCUGCUUCACUGCUAUCAACAGCCAUCUGAUAACAACUUCCUUUCUUCAGCUCAGGCGAGACUAACUCGGUCACCACUUCCUCUCCUAGUGGGGACAUCAACUUGAUGGUCCUCUUAUCACAACUGAUAACUGCCUGAUACUUAUCUAGCCAAUUCAUCCCUAGGAUGACAUCUAUUCCCUGAGUACCCAUUACUAUGAGAUUAGCGGGAAACGUUGUCCCCCUUAUUUCCACACAUACAUUCAAACAAAUGCUAUCGGCUCGAAUUCUACCACCGGCUGAGUCAAUUUGAAUGGGGGUUGACCUGGUAGUUAUUGGAAGAUUAUGUGCUUCUACCCAUGAUGCAGUAAUGAAUGAAUGUGUUGCUCUAGUAUCAAAUAACACUUUUGCAAUAUGGGAGUCGACUAGAAACAUACCUACUAUCAUGCCGGGGGUCUCCUGAACUGCUUCAGCCUCCAAGUGAUUCAGUCUCCCCUGAUUAUAGCGCGGCUAAGGGCGGUUGCCUGAUCCUGGCUGAGGCACAUUCUGCUUUGCUAGGGCAUUGGGGUCUGACUGCUGCUGGGCUGCCUUCUUCGGAUAUUGCAUCACCCAAUAGCCUUGCUCUCCACAGUGGAAACAUGCUAUGUUUCCACCCUGAACUGGUGCUGCUUGAUUGUUCUGUUGAGUUGCUGGGGCAGGAAGACGAGGUGCUGCUGAUUCUGCCUCUGGAACUGGUCUCCUCCUGACUGAUUGUUCUGGCGAUUCUGAUGCUGAUGCUAAGGAUACUGCCUUUGAAACUGCUGAUGCUGGGGUGGACGCUGGUUCUGCCUAAACUGCUGAGGUUGAUUGCCUGAGAAACGAGGGCGAUUGCUGCUUCUAGGCUGGGGUCCACUGAUCUUGCGCUUGCGAUCCUCCAUCUCCUUACGCUUCCUCUCUGUCAUGAUUGCUCUGUCAAUCAGGUGCUGGAAUGUCGGAAAGGUAUGAUUCAUCAGCUGAUACUGCAGAGGGUCAACCAAGCCUCUUAGGAAACGAUACUGUCUCUUGGCGUCGGUGUUGACAUCUUCAGGAGCAUAGCGAGACAACUGCACGAACCUGUCCCAGUACUCACUGACAGAUGAUGACCCUUGCUUAAGUGACAGGAACUCCUCCUUUUUCACUGUCAUCAGACCUGCAGGAACAUGGUACUGACGAAAGCUACCUCUAAACUCUUCCCAGAUGAUGGUGUCGGGGUUGGCAUGGGUGGCAAGAUAAGACUCCCACCAUGACUGGGCUACUCCUCUCAACAGACGAGGACCAUACAAGACUUUCUCCCUGUCAUCACACUGAGCGGUAUGCAACUCCCGCUCUAUGGUGUGCAGCCAGUCUUCAGCAUCCAUGGGGUCAGAAGAGUGAGCAAACGUUGGGGGAUGACCUCUCAUGAAUUCAGCACGCUUGUCCCUAGGCAUCUGAGGCAUUUGAGGCUGGGGUGGUGGCUGCUGCUGUUGCUGCAUGGCGGUCAGAGUCUGACCGAUGGCUUGAACUGCCUGAGUCUGCAUUAGGAACAUCUGCUCGAUGGACAUCGAGGGCGAGGGCGGCAGUUGCUGUUGCUGGUUACCUCAUCCUGUUGAGCUGCUUGCUCCUGCUGAGCACGCCUUCCUCCUCUGCGCCUGUUUUCUGACAUCUGCAGAAUGCAACCACACAUCAGAACUGAUCUAGCAAAUCUUGCAGCAUAAGAAAAGAGUAUAGAAUUCUCCACAACACUGAACAGAUGAGCAUCUUCACUGAUCCCCAACACAGACCAACACAGCUUCUCAGAUAAAUAGGAAAGUGGAAUGAAAGGCUUCCCAACUAGAUAACUAACUUCAUUAACAUAUAACAGAUAAACCAAAAUGCAGGGGAUACCCACACUCUGGUGACAGUCAUUACAAAGAUCCAAAUCAAACAUAGUUCAUCAUGACAAACAUAAAUGCACAGGAUAAGCAAACUACCCUGUCUAACUAAGACUAACUAAAAGCAAGACUAACGCUAAGACUAUAGCUUCUAUGUAUAUAUAUUUUCGUAUUAAUUACAACAUCCGACUCUGACGAUCUAUGGUUCUAAAUCUAUCUUGGUCUUGCAGUCGGGGUUGCCAUAAGACGGGUGUCUACGCCGAGGUGAGCGGUACGGGUGCUGAGUCCCUACGGGAGCGGGGGAACCAUCAUCCAGGUGACGAUGCUCCGCGCGCUCAGCCCGCAACUGGGCGAUCUCAGCACGAGCCCUACUCAACUCGUCUAAUGCAUGGUCCAGCUCCGUGUUUAGCACAGCGGCUAGGUUGACUGUGCUGCUCAACCUAGGAUUGUCCUCACCAACGGGUGAGACAAUCACGCCUCCUGUGCUGCUAGAUGGACGGUGGGGGUAAUACUUCAGGUUGAGACCGUCAGCUACCUCGCUGAGAACCGAGCAGUAGUGUGAAAGCGCACGCCGUGCGGCAUCUUGCAUGGCCGCCUCAGCUGAGUGCCGCUUAGAGAUAGAAUGGUGCUCUGAGCAGACCUCAGCACCUAGAGACUGUUCUCCGGACGGCGCACCAAGCAGGUCGCCUCCCAGCGGUCCGGGUAGACCCCACGACUGUGCUGGAAGACCACAUAGCGAUACUCGAUAGACCAAGUACGCCGGUCAAGUGCCCGACGUAGCAGGGUGUCGAGCACAUCGUGGAAGUGGCACCCGCGAGCAGCGUCGCGAGUGAUGGGUCGAGCAACCCAUCCUUCUGGCUCCUGGUCAGCAGAAAAGUCGGUGUCAUGGCUCGAGCUACUGUUGCCACCUCCAUCGUAUGGGUCUCCUCCAGCAGCUACUCCAGCGGCUGGGGCGCUCAGUGGUGGUGCAGGGGGCGCCUCCAGGGGGAGCACAGGGGAGCAGCUCCUCACAGACUCUAUCUCCUGCUGGAGCGAGAAAGAAGAGCCAUGCUUCUCCUGUCGUCGACACUCCUGCUCCUCAUGCAUGCGGUGGUGCAGCCUCUCCAAGUGGCUGGACUGACCGGUCACGGGACGGCGAAGCGGACGCUCCGCAAGACGGGAGGGUAAGAAGGGGAUGACAGACUUCCAUGCAGUGUGUCUAAGACGAGCCAUCUACAAAAGACACCGCAAGCAUAAGAGUGAGAACAGAACUAGUAUGACCAUCAAGUAAUGAACCAUAAAUAAAUGAAGGAUUAGAAUAAAACACAAUUUUCAGCAAGGUAUAAUAUAUAGUAGAACAUAGGUUUGGUCGAUACGACCAACUUUUGAAGGGAUACCGAAGUCAAGGCAGGGACAGAGGUCUAUAAUCCAUAGAACGACCAUUCUACUCUAGGUUAGCGGUCCUACAGUCAACAUGGCUUUGAUACCACUUAUGUCACACCUGGUUUUAGAAGGCAAACCGAAUGUGAACCAUGUACGUGCCAGGAUUAGCAAUUCACGUACACAGAAGUUACAUAACAUGGACAUCAUCACACAGUGCUCAAAUAGUAUUAAAAAGGGAAAUAAUAGUCGAUUACAUCAUAUGUCUGAGACAUUCACAUAGUCUUGACAAUAAUCAAAGUGCGGAAAAGAAACGUAGAUAAACGUGGCCUUCACAGGCAGCCGACUGGGGGGUUGCCAUUAACCCACGCCUAGAACUCGUCGUAGUCUCGGAACUCCUGGAAGUCUCCUUCCACGGCUUCAUCUUCUCCUGAGCAGUGGUUGCAAUGCUGACAACCUAGGGAGGGGGGGUUUGGUGUGUAGAGCAAGGGUGAGUACACAUCAACAUACUCAGCAAGUAUCCUGUUUGGCCGUAGUGGACUAGCUUUAUGUGGGGGUAAGUCAAGCAGUUGCUUUUAGUUGGUCAUAUUCUUAUUACUAGUAGAGAAGGCCAGGUUUUAGAAUUAACCCACGUUAUUAACCCAAACGUACUCCUUUCCAAACGGAAAGAGUACCACUUACCAUUACCAGAGUCAAUACCAAGAACCAUCAAUCUCAUUGCCACCUGUAAUCCGAACGUCUCUGAUCAAGUACCACUAAUCAUUGGAGCUCCCUUGGCCGCUCAUAACCGCGAGCACGGCUGAUAUAUCAGUUUUCAAACACUCUGUAUAGGUUGUGCACUUUACCCACAAGCCGUGAUUCCCUUUCUGCCCGGAGAUCAUGACUCUCCAUUGGUCACUACCAAGGUGACCCAGCAGGGCAUCACUACGUAGCCUUUACAAAGAUUCCCCUUGGCUGUAGCCGCCCAUUAGGUUUCCUAAAUGCACCGCACUCCUCCCCAAGGGGUGAACCAACUUGGCAGAGCGAGCCGCAUACACCGAGCCCCAUUGACGGCACGACGGCUAAGCAAACUACACCCUGGUUCCUCUAAUUAUUCAGCUAAGGGCAUCCCAUUCCACCCUCAUGGUUGCACUGUUUUCCCGGGCGGUCAUCCAACAAACAGGUCCUUACGGAGAGGCACUCGAGAAACCGCUCGAGCCCCCUUGAAUGCCACAAGUAUAACAUCAUAAUAAAGGAAGGGAAAAUAGUGUAUCAUUGAUAAUUCUCAUCAUGUUCAUUGAUUAGAGUUGAGCAAUAGCAUAAAGCUAAACAAUAAUAAUCCAACCCAAAUAGGUACACAAGGACAUGGAUAACAAAAGCUAGUCAAUCCUUAGGUAUAAAUGUGUAAUGUGGGAGGUGAAUUUAAGAAUGUAUAGGACAGAGAUAGGUCAAGGGACACUUGCCUCCACCAACCGACUGCUGCUCAGGGGCUUCUCCUGCGAGUUCUUCGGGCUCCUCAACCAGAUCGUUCUCUAUGCGAACGCAAACAUACAUACAUCCAUCCAUUCGAAUUAGGAAAUAAACAGUACACCAUACAAGAGAACAGAUAGAUUGAAUAUGCAUAGAGUAUGACAUACGAUAUUGCAUUCGCCAUGGCUAGAAAAAGAAGAAAGAAGGUCUCGCAGUGGUUAAAGCUAUACUCGAAGCGUAUUAUGGGUAGAUGCAUAACUAAUCAUUACGUGAUCUAAUUCCAUUGAGUUACACUAACAAGUAUUAGCCACAUGCACUAAUAUAAUUAUAACUAUUUUCAAUUGAUCAACAUUAAACGAGGUCCAAGAUUAGCUACAUGAAAUAAUUAAUGUAACAAAUUUCUAAAUUGAGUUCCGUUUAUUGAUAUAAAUAAAGCGAUCACUACGCAUGAAGUACACGAGGGGGCUAGACAGGCACACCGAGGGCACGGCGAGCCGUGCCAAAGCACCGUGCGCACCACGCGAGCACGUGCGCGCGCAAAGACACGCUAACGUGCCGCGAACGAGCCACGCACACGUCGGGGCCGAGCUGCGCACGCGCCUCGAGCGGCAACGAGGCCAUGUCGAGGCCGACCGCGUGGGGCCGCGCGCUAGCCGAGCUCAAGGCCGCGCCAGGCCGACACACCGUGGCCGCGCCGGGCAGGGGCGAGGCACGCCGAGGCGGGCAGGCUGCCGGGGCCGCGCCUUGGACACGCACCAUGGCCGGCGUGGUCGGGCCACCAUGGCCGGGGCAGGGGGACGGGGCUGGGCCGCGCCGGCGAGCGCGCCAGGGACGGGGCAGGGGAGCGCGCCGGAUGGGGCGGGGCACGCCGCGCCGCGGGAGGGCGCCACGCCGGGGCAGGGGAGCGCACCAAGCACGGCGGGGCACGCCGCGCCGCAGGAGAGCACCGUGCCGGGGCGGGGGAGCGCGUCGAGCGAGGGCGGGGCACGUCGCGCCGCCGCAGGGAGGGGCUGGGGCGCUCGCGCACGUCGGGGACGGCGGCCGAGCGGCCAGGGCGGGGCCGCGCGGGCGCGCCGCCGCGCCGGGCAGGGGAGGGAGGGGGCCGUGACGGGGAAGGGGAGCGCGCCGGGGCCGCGCCGAGGGGCACCAGGGCCGGGCCGGGUGGCGCCAUGGCCGGCCACGCCGAGGUUGGAGCCGCCGCGCCGGCGAGCCGCCAAGGCCGGACCGCGCGGGCGCGAGGCCGCGCGCCGAGGGCGGGUAGGGGGCUGCGCGGGCAGGAGAAGGAGGGAGGGAGGAGGGCCGCGCCGAGCCGGGGCGGGACGUUGGGCCACGCCGCGCGGGGAGGGGCGGGGGCGUCGAGCCGGGGCGGGACACCGGGCCGCGGGCAAGCCGCCAUGGUCGGGGCGCGCCCAAGCCGGGGAGGGGAGGGGGAAGACGUGGAUGAGAGGGGGAGGGGCUUACCACGCGGGGAGGGGCGGCGCCGGUCGGGCAGGGGGCUGCGUAGGCGGGGGUGGGGAUCGUGCGCGAGGGAGAGAGAGAGAGUUUUUGGGGAGGGGAGAGGGAUGACAGGCGGGGCCCACGGGGGGAAGGCGGCGGUGGUUCCAACCGCCACGCGUUCCACGUGCGGGGGAGCAAGGGGGAAGCUGGGCCGCCGAGGGGAGGGGGCGAGCUGGGCCCACGGCUGGACCGCGCGGGGGAGGGGGCGAGCUGGGCCGCUGAGCCAGCCCACGAAGGGGAAAAGGGGGGCGGCUGACACGGCUGGGCCACGCGCCUGGCUGGGCCGCGCGCCUGGCUAGGCCGCGCGCCUGGCUAGGCCGCGCGCCUGGCUAGGCCGCGCGCCUGGCUGGGCCGCGCGCCUGGCUAGGCCGCGCGCCUGGCCGAGCCGCAAGGGGAGGAGGGGAAAAAAAGAAAAAGAAAAGGUUUUCCUUUUUAAAAUCUAUUUUCUAGAUGAAUGCUUUCACAGUUUCACUCAAUCAAAACAAAUGCAUGGUUCGGCAUGGUGCAACAAACAAAAGAAAGUAUUUUCUAGGGUUUACUUUACAUGAGAUCUCAAGCCGAAUCUCGCUAUAACUUUGGAAAAGAUCAAGGCUUAGCGAGGAGAAAAGGAAAAAGGAAAAGGUAACGCCCGAAUUUGGUGAGUGAAGAAAAGAAAAAAUUCAACUCCAAAAUUCGAGGCGUUACAGUAAGUAUCUCAUGGCAUGUUUUACAUUAACUAUCCUAUUGUUGCCAUGUUCUAGACAUAGAGACAUAUUCCAUGCUCUUAAAAGAAUAAGGUGUCAUAUAGGAAAUUCAAAUCCUUAGGACACUUAUAAAGGGAAUAUCUCUUUAUGACUAGAAUUGUGAGACUCUUGUUUUUGUCUAUUUGACCUAAGUAGUCUCACAUAUAGAGAAUAAGUUUCUCUAUGGAAAUGCGUAAUCUAACAUGAAAAUAAAAAUCAAUCCAAUGAUUUAUGAUGUAUUUCUUCUUGGUUAAAUUGGAUAUGAUUCUUCUACAUUCAUCGCUCUCCAUGUUAUGAAUUAGAUUUGUUCUAUAAUCUUAAGAAAUUGUUUAUGCUUGUUUUAUGAGUUAAAAUUGAGCAUAACAUCAUAUAUGGGAUAAUCUAGUUCAUGUUAUGAAGUUUCCAUGCUUUGGUAAUCCACUUUUCAUUCCUUCUCGAAAAUGAUUACAAAAAGGGAAACUAGUGCUUGUGUUACUAAUGACAUAUCUCUUGAGCAUAUUUGUGAAAAUAUACAAGAGAGUAAGUGCAUGUUCAAUUUAUUAAAAGACAUAAGCCUCAAGGGUUGCCCUUCACCUAAAGGAAGAAAGGUAAAAGCAAAGGUAUGGGAACUCAUCUUCUCAAUCAAUAAUAGUUCCCAUUCAAUUGAUAUUUAUUAUAAAUUAUCUUAAUCUACCAGUGUAAAGAUUAGAUUCAUUAGUUAACUCAAGAUGGCUAAAAGUGCAUACAAUCUUGCUUUCAUAUGUGCACUAGUCUAUUAGAAUCUAACUCAUAUCUUUGCUAUAUAUGUUCUCAUAUUGAUAUGCUCCUAAGUUAUGUUAAUAAAUUCAAUAUGAAGAAGUAAAUUUCCUAUGAUUGAUUAGAAAUGUUAAAAGGUGCAUAUUCCUCCUUUCUAAUGAUGUGCACUAAUAUUAAGGAUUUUACUUCAUAUUUGUGUGAUUUGUGGAUGAUGAAUUGUUUAUAUUUCUUAUCUAAAAGAAAUCAUCAUUCAUCAUAUGCUCCACUGUGCUGCUAAUAUCUUUCUUGAGUAUUUUCAAUAAGUUUGAAAAGAAAAAGAGACAACUACAAAGGGAGGACACUCAAAAGGAAGAUAUCAAGAACAACAACACCUACUUGGACAGUAAGAUCUUCAAAUGGUCAAUGGUGUGGUUGUAAGUAUUCUAAACCUUUUGAUUGUUGAGAAUACCAGGCAUAAGUUGAUUAUUGGAAAUAUUACAUGCCUUGAUCAAGAUGUUCAUAGAAUUCCCCUAUUUUUCGUUAAAAGAGAAGUGCAUUCAAAUUCUUGAUGCAUACCUUUAGGGGAGCUCCAUUUCUAUAUCUUGAUCAUAUUGAGACUAACAUUUUCUCUUAGUAAUCUCAUAAAGUCUUAUGUAUGAGAAUAAGUUUCUCAUGAAGUAUGCUGCUUCAAUUUAAUCCAAUUUGGUAAAGUAAUAUCACUUUUAUCAAGGAUUGUAGCUUUUAUUGUUAAAGUAGCAUAUUUACUGGAUUCUCCUAUUUUAAGCUUAUUUGAUAUUCUUAUGUUAUUAUUUUGAUCGCAUUUCUUAUUCAUUGAAUAACUUCAAUUGACACUUAUGUUGCUUAGUGCCUCAUAUACUAUCAAUCAAUAUCUCUCUUGAUAUGCACUAAGUUAAAAGGAGAAUUCGGGAUAAAUUUAUGCAAUUUGUGAUCUACUUGAUAUAUGAUAGCUAUAACUUAGAAAAGCAUCACUAGUUGUAGAACUCUCUCUUGUGCAAAAUAUUUCCAUACAUUGUCUUGAAUAUAGGUCUUAAGUAACCAAGACUAAGGACAAAACACAAUGAAGAGAGCAUCUCUAUAUGAAGGUACAUAAGGGUAAACUACUUCCUCUCAUUUACACAUGUACCUAAAUCUUCCUAUACAUUCUUUGCAUAUCUUGUAUAAAAGGAAGAGAAAGCAUGUCUAUGCAUUAUCCCUGCUUCAUACCUAGUUUAACCUCUCAAAAAUUUCAUUCCUGCAUUAAUGCAUUUUUUGUUAAAACUAGGUGAAGGAAUUUUAUUGUCAAAGAGCUUAAAGCUUAACCUUGUAAUGAGGAUAAGCUACCUUUGUUCCAAAGGUGGAGGUUCCUUAAGCCUCUUUGAAAUCCUUAAGGGUAAAUACUUAAGAUGUUUAUAACAUGCUUUCAUAAGUGCAUAGUCUGUCGUGAUCAUCACACUUAUAUUAUGACACAUUGCACUUCACAUUUUCUAUGAUAUAGAUGUUCUCAUUAACCUAAUUAUGUGCACUUGGCAUUUAAGGCCAAAAUAUGUAUUCUUCUCAAGGCACAUAUUUAGGGGGGGCAAUCUAUAUUUUAUAGAACUAUGAUAAAGCCAAAUUGACAUAUCUUUUAAUCAUAUCUCUUUCAUUUGGUACAUUUGCAUAUUUCUUAUUUCUCUUGUGCCAAGGCUAAGACUAAUAUGUUUCCAUGAGUAUCUCAUGUAUUAAGUCUUAGAUUGAAAGGGGAAUGGAGUAUUCGGCAAAGACAUCGCUUCCACUCUACACCUUCGUGUAUUAUCUAUCCUUUGCCGGUAUUCCGCCAUCUCUCAAAAUUGGUAUAAUCUUUCACUCAUAUUUACUUGUACCAAUGGGGGAGAAAGUAAUUAGGGCUCUCCAAAGUCUCCAUUUUUGGCGAUUAAUGCUAAAGGGGAAUAAAGUAAUAAGCCCAAAGCAAAAGGAUCGCACCACCACCAAUGUCAAAAUUUUCAAGAAUUUUUCAAAUUGGUAUCUAAAUGUAUUUGAUCUUUUUCAAUUGGUAUUUACAAAAAUUAGUAAAACUCUCUUGAACACUAAGAGGAGAAUUUCAUUCAGGAGGAGUUUUGUUUAGUCAAAGGAAAAGCAUUUGAAACAGGGGGAGAAAAUUUCACAUCUUGAAAAUGCUUCUUGCAAUCUUACUCAUAUGCUUUUGACUAUUUGCAAAAAGACUUUGAAAAGAUUUUGCAAAAGAAUUUGCAAAACAAAACAAGUAGUGCAAACGUGGUCCAAAAUAUUAAAUAAAAGAAAGCAAUCCAUGCAUAUCUAGUAAGAUUAUAAAUUGGUUUAAUUCCAAGUAACCUAUGCACUUACCUUAUGCAAACUAGUUUAAUUUCUGCACUUAUAUAUUUGCUUUGGUUUGUGUUGGCAUCAAUCACCAAAAGGGGGAGAUUAAAAGGGAAAUAGGGUUAGACCUUUUCCACAAUUAAUUUUGGUGGUUGAAUGCCCAACACAAAUAAUUGGACUAACUAGUUUGCUCUAGAAUAUAUGUUCUACAGGUGCAUAAAGGUUCAACACAAACCAAUAAAAGAUCAAAGUUAGGGUUCAAAAUCAAAGAAGCAAAGAAACCGAGUGUGCUCUGGUCUGGCGCAGCGGACUGUCCGGUGUGCCACCGGACAGUGUCCGGUGCACCAGGACCGUAUAGAGUCCAACAAGCCACUCUCGGGUUUCAGCAGGCGCACUCCGCUAAAAAUCACCGGACUGUCCGGUGUGCCACCGGAGCAACGGCUACUUCGCGCAACCGUCGACUGCAAAAGUACCUGAUGCGAGGAACAGUGCGCGGCACAGUCAGAGCGCAGUGUCAGAGGCACACCGGACAGUGAACAGUACAUGUCCGGUGCGGCACCGGACUGUCCGGUGCCACAUGAGGAUAAAGCCUCCAACGGUCGACCAGCUCCUAACCCUAACGGUUGGGUGACGUGGCGGCGCACCGGACAGUGUUCGGUGGCGCACCGGACUGUCCGGUGCGCCAAUCGCCAGCAGCCUUCCCCAAUGGCUACAAGAUGGUUGGUGGCUAUAAAUACCACCCCAACCGGCCACUUCAGGGCUUGUUCGGUUAUUUUCAAUCCAUAUGGAUUGGAGGGCAUUGAGAGGGAUUUUGACUUAUUAGGGAUUGAAACCCCCUCAAUCCCCCUCAAUCCAUAUGGAUUGGGGUAGAACCGAACAAGCCCUCAAGGUGUGGGAGCCCAAGCAACAUUCCAAGUCAUAUAGUUGACAUAUCCAAGCCCUCCCAACCACUUCCAUUCAUUGAUCUAUCUCAUACACAAGAUUUAGGCCACCACAAGCAACACAAGUGCCACAAAAGGGAGAUCAAGCAAAAGAGAGCUACUCGUGUGAGUUUAGCCCUAGUGCCAUGUGAGAAUCAUUGAGAGAAAGCGUGUGCUAUAUCUUGUGAUCAUUUGAGCGUGGAGUUUUGACUCACAUUCAUUUUCCUCCAAAGUUUUGGAGGCUUGUAAAGCUAGCAAGAGACACCUAAGAGUGUGGUGGUACUUGUGGGGUCUUAGUGAUCCUUAAGGUAAAGAAGAAGAGCUCGCCGAUCUUGGUGAUCGGUGGAGAGAGGGAAAGGGUUGAAAAAGACCCGUCCCUUAGUGGACUCCUCAACGGGGAUUAGGUUUUCGAGAAUCGAACCUCGGUAAAACAAAUCACUCGUGUCUCUUGUGUUUAUUGCUUGUGAUUCGUUUGUUUUCUCUCUCUAAGUUCUCUUGCACUAUUCUUUGCUAAUAUUAUUUUGUGUUGCUUUAAGUUAAAUUCUCAUUUAGAGAAGCAACGCCUUGCAAGAAAGAAAUUGCAUUAUUCCUCCUUUUAUCUAAGCCCUCUUGCUCUAUACUCCAUAAACUAAUUAGUUGUAUUGAUUUGCUAAUUCCAUAUUCUUUGAAAGCAACACUCUUUACAAGCAAGGGACUUAGUUUUACACUCCGAUAAUUGUGCAUCUUGUUCCAAUCACUAAUCAAGUGAUCUAGUUUGUGUUUAGAGUUAUAAUUUUCAGGUUUCGCCUAUUCACCCCCCCCCCCUCUAGGCGACUUUCAGACUACGACGAGACUUACAGUCCAGUGGUUAAGUCUGCCACCGUCCGGACUAUCCUGACUCUCGCUCUGUCCCAUGACUGGCCGGUCCACCAGCUCGACGUGAAGAACGCCUUCUUGCACGGCACCCUGACGGAGACGAUCUACUACACUCAGCCCGUUGGGUUUGUUGACCCUGCUCACCCCGACAUAGUCUGCAAGCUCAACAAGUCCCUCUACGGCCUCAAGCAGGCACCACGAGCUUGGUACAGUCGCUUCGCCACCUUCUUGUGUUCGCAGGGUUUUGUCGAAGCCAAGUCAGACAUGUCUCUGUUUCUCCUCCGUCGCGGCCCCGACACUGCCUACCUUCUCCUCUACGUCGAUGAUAUAGUGCUCACCGCCUCCUCUCCUGGGCUCCUGCGUCGCGUCAUCUCCUGCCUACAGCAGGAGUUUGCGAUGAAGGACCUAGGGGCGCUCCACCACUUCCUAGGGGUCACCGUCGAGCGCCGUCCCCAGGCAUGUUCCUUCACCAGCGGCAGUACACCGUCGACCUCCUUGAGCGCGCUAGCAUGUCCGAGUGUAAACCCUGUGCGACCCCGGUGGAUACGCAGGGCAAGGUCUCCGUGGCCGACCACUUGGUCUUCGAUCUGACUGGCUACCGAAGUACUGUCGGGGCACUUCAGUACCUCAUCUUCACCAGGCCUGACAUCGCCUACGCCAUCCAGCAGGUGUGCCUCCACAUGCACGACCCUCGGGAACCGCACCUCACCGCGAUGAAGCGGAUCAUGCGGUACUUGUGUGGCACCCUUGACUUCGAGCUUCUUCUGUGCCGGUCCUCGACCACAGAGCUUGGCGUCUACACCAAUGCUGACUAGGCGGGCUGUCCCAACACGCGCUGAUCCACCUCGGGCUAUGUCAUGUUCCUCGAGGACAGCCUCGUCUCCUGGUCGUUGAAGCGCCAGUCGAUCGUCUUCCGCUCCAGCGUCGAGGCUAAGUAUCGGGUCGUGACCAACGGCGUGGCUGAGGUGGCCUGGCUCUGUCAGCUGCUCCAAGAGCUCCACAGUCCACUGACCACGAGCACUCUGGUCUUCUACGACAAUGUCAACGCCGUCUACCUAUCCACCAACCUCGUCCAGCACCAGCGCUCGAAACAUGUCUAGAUCGAUCUUCACUUCGUCCGCAAACGGGUCGCUUGUGGAGCUAUUCGCGUUCUUCACGCCCGACCACCUCCCAAAUCAUCGACAUCUUCACCAAGGGGCUUCCGACGAUGGUGUUUACGGAGUUUCGAUCUAGUCUCAACACCUACAAUGGCUAGUGUUUCGACUGCGAUGGUGUUAGAGUGUAUAUAGGCCUGGCUCAUUAGGGGUUCCUAUUUCACCCGGUACUGUAGCAGCUAGGGUUCACUGUACACCAUUCCUAUCACAGUUGACAAACGCCGUAUAGUAUAUAUAAGCCAGAAAACCCAGCCCAUGUACAGGGCCAUUCAUACUUGCACGGAUGUUCUGGAUGCAAACAAGUACAAGCAAUUUAUAUAACUAUCAGCUCUUACAGGUAAAACCAAUCAAGCCAAGCAAGUUUAACAACUCAUCUCAUAAACCAGGUUAUAGGACACAGCAUGCUCACACAUGGAGCCACGAAAUACCAAAACGAUGCAAAUCUGCCACACAUAUCUCAGCAAAUGAAGGGGGCAUAACUUAAGACUAGGUAGCGAUGAUGAACAUGGCGAACCCUAAAAGCACUUGACGAACUUGGCAGAAACCUAGAAGCACUUCCUGUGAACAAUUGCCGGGCCAGACUCAUCGUACUCCUCCUUUGAUAUCCACAUCUGGUAAAUCAAUGGCAUCGCAUAACAGAAUUCAGACGUGACUUUGUUUCAGCCAUAUUGGGAGUUAAAAAGAAAUCAAGUGCAGCAGCUGAAAGCAAUAUAAACAACCCAUACCUGUUGGAAAGUGCUGAGCGAGGCUAGGAUCGACCCUCCUAUCCAGACACUGUACUUCCUCUCAGGUGGCGCGACGACCUUGAUCUUCAUGCUGCUUGGUGCAAGGGAAGUGAUCUCCUUGCUCAUCCGAUCAGCGAUACCGGGGAACAUAGUCGAACCUCCACUGAGCACAAUGUUGCCGUAGAGGUCCUUCCUGAUAUCCACAUCACACUUCAUGAUUGAAUUGUAUGUUGUCUCAUGGAUUCCAGCAGCCUCCAUACCAAUCAUGGAUGGCUGGAAGAGGACCUCGGGGCACCUGAAUCUCUCUGCGCCGAUGGUGAUUACUUGGCCAUCAGGCAGCUCAUAGCUCUUUUCAACUGAGGAGCUGUUCUUGGCAGUCUCCAACUCUUGCUCAUAGUCAAGAGCUAUAUAUGCAAGCUUCUCCUUGAUGUCCCUCACAAUUUCUCGCUCGGCAGAGGUUGUGAAGGAAUAACCCCUCUCAGUGAGAAUUUUCAUGAGGGAGUCUGUGAGGUCCCGACCAGCAAGAUCCAGACGAAGAAUGGCAUGGGGAAGGGCAUAUCCUUCAUAAAUGGGCACAGUGUGACUCACA
rnacentral:lncRNA from 1 species